CCAUCACAAGGUAGGAUAAGAACUUGUGAUUGAUCUUUAUGGAUUGGACUAAUUAAUUAAUUGGAACCUAAUUAGGCUAAUUAAUUAAUUAAGACCUAAGCAAACUAGUUUAAGUUACACAAGCCUAGGAUGGACUUAAGUGACUUAAGCCCAUGGGAAGCUUAUAUAAACUCCUUUAGGGGUUAGGGUUUCAAACUUUUAUCAUCUAGUCUUCAAUUCCUUAAAGAGAAUAGAACUCGAGCCAACAACUCUCCUAAAGGAUUCUAUUGCUCCGUGUCAAGAUUCGAAAAAAAACUAUUUGAUGGAAGGUUGUUAUGUUUAUGAGAUUCGUUAUGUUUUUUUACACCUUUUCACUAAAUGGAAUUGAUAUAGGAAUGUUCAUAUCUCAAGUGCAACACACUUAUUCUCUUUAGAUUUAUAUUGCUUAUGGUUUUUUUUUUUUUUGUCAUGGUUUUCCGUUAAGAUUAGAUUAAGAGAGCCCUAUGUCAUAGAAUGCUUCAAAUGAGCCUCCCCGGGGGUUUGUAUAGAGCCCAUGAAGCUUCUAGAGACUCCUAUACUUAGCCAUUGGUGGGAAGAGUGUGAAAGGUUCUACAGAUGUCUAGAGAUAUUUACACAUCUCUACACUAUGGUGGAAGGCAUGAGAGGAGUCUAAGGCAUUCUAAAGAAUUAUAAAGAUCUCUUAUAUAUUCUUGUACAUAGGCUUGUACAUAGAAUUGUGUAGGAAGUUAUAGAUUAUUCUUGAGCUGUAAGGAACCCUCCAAGGUUCCAGAGAGUUCCAUUGGUGCCUAUAAAUAGGUGAAUGCCUCAUUUGGCCAAGACACUAAGCAAGUGAAUUCCAAAACACUUGUAAAGCUUCCUUUGAAUAAUAAAAGUUUCAAUUCUUCAAGAGUUGCCUAUUAUGCCUUCUAAAACUUCUAAGUCAUGAGCAUCUUAACCUAACAAGUUAAGCAUUGGGAGUAAUGCUAACUUAGCAAGAUCAAGGAUCUUGACUUGUCUAAGUGUUGCACGAUCUUAGGAAAAGAUUAAGUUUGUGACAGUUGGUUUCAAAGUGUGACUACGAAGUGAGCAUAGUAAAGGAAACAUGUCGAGCUUCAACAUGGAGGAAACUAGUGAGCAAACCCGUGGGAAAGAAACCGAGCCUACUGCAUAGGACAGGGACAUGAAGGAUAAAUCUCGUAAUGCCAUAGCCAACGUGGAGGCAAGGCUAGCCAAGGUGGAGCUAGCCAUGGCAGACACCCGGGAAGGGGUGGACUUAAUCGAGCAAGGCAUGGAAAAUGGCUUAGAGGAUCUAAAUGAGCAUAUCCAAGACCUUCAUGAGAGAGUGCUAGGCUUACAAGUUCGGCCGAUGUCAUAUGAGGAGUUCAUGUCCUUCCAAAACGAGGUCAUGAGCAUGUUUGCUAGCAUGGAGUCGAAGGUGGAGGCCUUGGCUGCACGCAUAGAGGCCCAAGACCAAGAGGUUCAACAAGAGCUAGCUAUCUACAAGACUGUCUUAUCAGCACGAGUCAUGGCCACUCAUGAGGCACUAAGGGUGGAAGUGCCCAAACCACACACGUUCAAUGGCAAGAGGGAUGCCAAGGAGUUGGACAAUUUCUUGUGGCACAUGGAGCUCUACUUUGAGGUUAUAACACUAAUAGAUGAAGCCACUAAGGUAUGUACCACAACCCUCUACCUCACCAAUAAAGCUACUCUAUGGUGGCGUCAGAGGUUUGCCAAUAUAGAAAAAGAAAUGUGCACCAUAGACACAUGGGAUGCCUUUAAGCAAAAGAUCAAAAAACAAUUAUACCUUAAUGAUGUGGCUUACCUAGCAAGGAAAAACACAAAAUGUCUUAAGCACACAGACUCGAUCCGUGAGUAUGUCAAAGAAUUCUCUACACUUAUGCUUGAGAUACCCAACAUGUCUGAGGAAAAGCUACUAUUCAACUUCAUGGACAACUUGCAAAGCUGGGCCGAGCAAGAGUUAAGGAGAAGUGGUGUCCAAGACCUAGCCACGGCCAUGGCGGUAGCGAAGUCCUUGGUGGAAUACAAAAAGGGAGACUCUUUUAAGCCCAAGCCACAGUCUAAGGGUAAUCAUGCUAAAGGUGGGGAAACAAGGGAUCAAGGAGGUACACUCCUAAGGAAUGAUCAAGCAAGACCUCUGGUGGCAAGGAUGGUAAGGGUAAGGAUAAACGGAAAUAGUUCACGCCUAAGAUCAAUUGCUUCCUAUGUGAUGGUCCACAUUGGGCGCGAGACUACCUCAAAAGAAAAGCCCUAAAUGCCAUGAUCGAGGAAAAGUAGAAGGAAGACAAUGCUCAUGUGGGAUCAUUACAACUCUUAAAUGAUAUCAAGGCUAAGUCAGUGCUUAAGACACCUCAAAGUAAAAGUCUAAUGUACAUAGAAGCCCUUGUAAAUAGGAAGGCUACCAAGGCUUUGGUGGACACUAGUGUCACUCAUAACUUUGUCUCGAAGGAUAAGACAAAGAACUUAGAGCUCCAAGCAUCUAAGGAAGGAGGUUGGCUCAAGGCAAUUAAUUAAGUUUCCAAGCCAUCACACGAAGUAGCACGCAGGGUGGCAAUGCACAUUGGCUCAUGGGAAGGAAUGGUCGACUUCACAGUGGCACCCAUGGACUACUUCAAGAUGGUACUGGGAAUGAACUUCCUAUAGAAAGACAAGGUCAUGCCACUACACUUCCUACAUUUAAUGGUUAUCCUAGAGGAUGAAAAGUCAUGCAUAGUCCUUACGGUCACCGAAGGUUCACCCAAGACCCCUAUGAUAUCGGUUAUGCAAGUAAAGAAGGGAUCAAAGAGGAAAGAGGUGACCUACCUCACCACUCUUAAGGAGGAAAAUGAUGAUGAGUUGGGGGAGCCCAUGCCUAAGGAAAUCAAGAGAGUCUUUGAUGAGUUCAAGGACGUGAUGUUGCCUAAGUUGCCUAAAAGACUCCUUCCUAGAAGAGAGAAAGAUCAUAAGAUCGAGUUAGAUGCAGGAACUAAGCCCCUUGCUAUGGGGCCAUAUAGGAUGGCACAACCCAAGCUGAAAGAGCUAAGGAAACAACUUAAGGAGUUGUUGGAUGCAGGGUUUAUCCAACCAUCCAAGACUCCCUAUGGCGCACCGAUUUUAUUUCAAAAGAACCAUGAUGGGUCCCUACAGAUGUGCAUCGAUUACCAAGCACUCAAUAAGGUAACAAUAUAGAAUAAGUACCCCAUUCCACUCAUUGUUGAUCUAUUUGAUCAACUUGGUAAAGCAAGGUAUUUCACUAAGUUGGACUUGAGAUCAGGCUACUACCAAGUGAGGAUUGUGGAAGGAGACAAACUGAAGACUACAUGUGUGACCCGAUAUGGCUCAUAUGAGUUCUUAGUGAUGCUCUUCGAUCUCACCAAUGUACCAACAAUGUUUUGGACACUCAUGAAUAAGAUCUUCCAUCCCUAUUUAGACUAGUUUGUGGUGGUAUACUAAGAUGACAUAGUCAUCUACAAUAGCAUCUUAGAGGAGCACGUGGAGCAUUUAAGGAAGGUCUUCAAGAUCUUAAGGUAAAACGAGUUAUAUGUAAAGAAGAAGAAAUGCUCAUUUGUUAAAGAGGAUGUGAGCUUCCUAGGGCAUCGCAUCAAAGAUGGCAAGCUGAUGAUGGAUGACAACAAGAUGAAGGUCAUCUAGGAAUGGGAUCCACCUACUAAGGUACCUCAACUAAAGUCUUUCCUUGGCUUGGCUAACUAUUACCAGUGGUUCAUCAAGGGUUACUCUACAAAGACAGCUUCACUCACUAAUCUUCUUAAGAAGAACAAGGCAUGGGUGUGAGACAAAAGGUGGCAACAAGCCUUUGAAGAUCUAAAAAGUGUUGUGAUUGAGGAGCCAAUGUUGGCAUUACCCAACCACAUGAAGGUUUUUAAGAUACACACAGAUGCCUCAAACUUUGCUAUUAGGGAAGUUCUGAUAAGAUAGACAUCUAAUCGCCUUCAAGAGUUGCAAGCUAAAUGACAUAGAGAGACGCUACAUGGUACAAGAAAAUGAUAUGACUGUCAUUGUCUAUUACUUGCACACCUGAAGACACUAUCUUCUAGGGUCUCACUUCAUAGUGAAAACCGACAAUGUUGUCAUUAGUUACUUCUAAACACAGAAAAGUCCUAAGUAAGCUAGGUGGCAAGACUUUCUGGUUGAGUUUGACGAUGCGCUGGAGUAUAAGACAAAAAGUACUAAUCAUGUGAAUGACGCCCUAAGCCGUAAUGUAGAGCUAGCAUUCAUGACGAGCCAGCCCCAAUGAGACAUAAUAGAUCUUCUAAGAGAGGGGUUGCAACAUGAUCUAGUGGCUAAGAGCCUUAUUACCUUGGCCCAUGAGGGAAAAACUAAGUGUUUUUAGGUAGAGGACGACCUACUCUACACUAAGGGGAGACUACUCUACGUGCUUAAGUGGGGGAACAUAAGGUAGAACUUGAUUAAGGAGUGCCAUGACACCAAGUGGGUUGGGCACCUUGGGCAACGACGCAUAAAGAGCACUACUCGAGUCAGCUUACUACUGAUCUUAGAUACAAGAUGAAGUUGAGGCAUAUGUGAGGACUUGUCUUGUGUGCUAACAAGACAAGGUAAAACAACAACAACCUAGAGGCUUGUUGGAGCCACUACCUAUAGCAGAGCGUCCAUGGGAGAGCAUCACCAUGGACUUCAUCAUCGGGCUACCUAAGUUGGAGGGCUAUGGCUCGAUCAUAGUGGUAGUGGAUAUGUUCUCUAAGUAUGUGACCUUCAUAGUAGCCUCUACUGACUGUACUGCAAAGGAGACAGCAAGGCUAUUCUUGAAACACAUGGUCAAAUACUGGGGGUCGCCUAAUUACAUCAUCAGUGAUCGCGAUUUGCAUUUCACUAGGAAGUUUUGGACAAAGCUCUUUAAGCUUAUGGGUUUGAAGCUUCACUUCUUCACAAGCUUUUCACCCGUAAACAGAUAGGCAGAUUGAGAGGGUGAACGCCUUAUUAGAGUUAUACUUAUCCUUCAUGAGUGUCAACCAAAAGGAAUGGACUAAGUUGCUAGAUGUAAUCCAAUUUUCAUACAACUUGCAAAGAAGUGAGACAACCAACAAGAGCCCGUUCAAGCUAGCCAUAGGGCAGCAACCAUUGACUCCUCACACACUACCAAUAGGCUAUACGAAGAGAAGUUCAGCGGCUUUGAAGUUCACUAAGGGGUGACACGAGCCAACUGACAUAAUAGCUCAUACUUGGAUAGGGCCGCUAGAAAGAUGAAGAAGUGGGCUGACAAAAAGCGACAUCACACUGAGUACAAGGUCGGAGACAUGGUCUUUGUCAAGCUCCUUCCUAAAAAAUUCAAGUCACUAAGGCCGGUACAUAAAGGCCUUAUGAUGAGGUAUAAAGGACAUUUCCCCAUACUUGGAAAGGUCGGCAAGGUGUCCUAUAGAGUUGAGUUACCACCGAGGUUGAAGAUUCAUAUCGUCUUCCACGUAAGUUACAUAAAAUCAUAUCACGAAGACAAGAAUUAUCCAAGCCAAGGGAUGUCCUAGAUGACACCUACAUCGAUUAUGACCUUCUAUGACAAGGAAGUAGAACACAUCAUUGCAGGCUGAGUCAUCAAGAGAUGAGGCGUGCCUCCUGCUACGGAGUACUUGGUGAAAUGGAAGGGACUACCAGAGAACGAGACUAGCUGGGAGCCAAUAGAUGCACUAUGGCAAUUUCAGGAGCACAUUAAGUGGUUCUAGGUGGAAGGUGCGACAAGGACGUUUACGGUUUAGGUAGGGGAGAGUGUCAUAGAAUGCUUCAAAUGAGCCUCCCCAGGGGUUUAUAUAGAGCCUAAGAAGCUUUUGGAGACUCCUACACUUAGUCAUUGGUGGGAAAAUGGUGGAAGGUUCUAAAGAUGUCUAAAGAUAUCCACACAUCUCUACACUAUGGUGGAAGGUAUGAGAGAAGUCCAAGGCUUUCUAGAAAAUUCUAGAGAUCUCUUGUAUAUUCUUGUACAUAGGCUUGUACAUAGAAUUGUGUAGGAAGUUUUAGAUUAUUCUUGAGUUGUAAGGAACCCUCCAAGAUUCCAAAGAGUUUCAUUGGUGCCUAUAAAUAGGUGAAGGCCUCAUUUGGCCAAGGCACCAAGCAAGUGAGUUCCAAAGCACUUGUAAAGCUUCUUUUAAGUAAUAAAAGCUUCCAUCCUUCAAGAUUUAUCUACUACGCCUUAUAAAGCUUUCAAGUUGUGAGCAUCUUAACCUAGCAAGCUGAGCAUUGGGAGCAAAACUGACUUAGCAAGAUCAAGGGUCUUGACUUGUCUAAGUGUCGCACGAGCUUAGGAAAAGACUAAGUUCAUGACACCUAGGACUAGUAGCAUGCACCCUAAGUAAUCCAAGGCUAGAAAUGAAAUGAUACAAGGAUUCCCAACACUUGACUUAAUUCCUUAGAAAUUGAAACUCAAUAAAAAACAUUAGUGUCAUUAACCUCAUUUUUUUUAUUACCAAUACUUAAUUAGGGGAAACCUUGAGCUAACAACCUCCUCAUUUUUUAUGAUGAUAAAACUGUACCAUCUAAAGAAAGCUUUCCUUAAUGUAUGCAUAUUAUAAGCAAUUUAAACAUUCAUCAUAAAAGAUGGAAAACAUAAACUCAAAUGGAGACAUGGAUAUAUAGAUAUAAGAGACAUCAUAAAGGUUGCAACAUGAUCGUAUAUCCGAAAUAGCAUCCAAAAGCAUGUCAUCCAAAAAAAAAUCAACCAUAAUAACCAUGUUCAAAUUGUCCCAAAAAGGAAAAAAAUAUAUAUAUGAAACAAAAAGUAUUAAAUAGUUUACUAAAUGUUAUGCCCUAGAUACCUAAAGAUAUCUCCCCCUUAGGCAACAUCGAAACAAUGAGGGAACUAUAUGGCUCAAGGUUGAGGUGGUGGAAACAAGGAACAUAGGACAGCUAUUGAAGAAGCUAAAAUUCUUCAUAAAUGAUUGAAUUUUAUUUCACCAUGAGAAACAAUACAAAGAGGGAUUUUUUUUUUUUUUUUUUUUUUUUUAUCAAGGGGAAGACCCCUUUCUCUUUACUACUUAUCCCUUUUAAUAAAAAUUCUUCCACAUUUUUCCACUUUAUUUUGCCAACAUUCUUUCAACCCCUUUUGCACAAAAAUGCCAAAGAUAGUAUUAGGAUAACCUUUUACAACCAUUGCUAACUUUUGACACAAGUUGCUAAAAAUUGUUGAAGAUUUGCUUUUAAUGUCAGGUAGGAUAGCAGAUUGGUUCUAAUUGAAGGUCAUUUCUUGUGGAGGACCUUACUUAUAAGUGAGAUGAUUGUUCCUAUCUUCAUGGUUUUAUGUUGUAUAGUUAUAGAGACUUUUUAGAGGCUAUCAGCUUUAGAGCAAAUUUAUGUUGUUUGUUAGGGAUUAAGUAUUUUAUUCAAAUUGGGUGAAUGGUACUACCUCUUUACUUGAGAUGGCUUUGAGAUUGGGUGGUUGAAUAGUAGUACUUUGGAAUGGUCUAGUUUUUGUUCGCUUUAGCUAUCAUUUUCUUAUGCUGUGUCUAUAGACGAGUGGAGACGUCAUUUGGAAAUUGGUCAAAUUGCCCGUGAAAUUGAUCAAAUUGUCAAGUUGUCAUCCUAAAAUUGACUAAACCUAGUUUGUAAAAAUGAGAAACGACCGUCACUAGCGACUAACAUCUUCUCAAGCUAAGUAUUAAUAGAUCCAAUCUGAGCAUAAAGGGCAUCUUAAUGUUGCAGGUUCAAUGCUCAUGAAGCAUAAUAUUUUGGAUACUUGGUGUGAGACACCUCAGCAUAAGUCUAAUCCAUAAGGAUAGUCUCCUCAGGAGGUUGAGAUGUGGGCAAUUGAAUGGUGGCAUCCAUGCCCUUGGUUUGCAUCUCCUGUUGAACAUCCUCACCCCCUAAUCCUUUAUGGUCACCCUCAGUCUCUAUCUAUAGAAUCUCUGCCUCUUACUCAACCCGGUCUUCAUUCAUAGCAGGACCCUUUCUUUUUCUUUCCAAUGAUCCAUUAGGCAAUUUCUCAAACAGCAUUCGGUCUGGAUUUUACGUUAUAGGUAUCAUAGGAUGAGGCCUGAAUGUUUUUUUCUCUUCUUAUGUCCACAUUGAAUGCUUUCAGGAUUUUUGUGAUCAGUCUUCUUCCGUUGGCCACUACUUUAGAAUUGCUUUUACAACAGUUUUUCAUGUGUUGAAAGAUGAUAAGGAAACCUUAGAAUGGAUCGGAGUCAAUAGAAAAUGCUACAUAAUAGGACACCUUGUCUCUAUGUCCACCCUUAGGUAGAAAAAUAUGUUUGAUCAUGUGGUGGUGCACCCUAGAGAUAAUGCUCAAGGCAUGGGCAUGGAGCUUUGAAGUCACUGUGUCGAUGGGUAAGUUACAUAUCCUCUAGAAAGCCCUACCUAGGUUAAAACUAGACACUAUAGGCCAUCCCUUCGUCUCAAAUAAACAAAGUCCCCCACAAAGGAUCUCCAAAAUAUCACAAAGCAUAUCAAUAUUUAGUUUAAUUCAACUCCUCUAACAAAUGUGCUAAUUGGCCUUCAUAUAUUUUAGGUUCAAGUAAAAUACCUGAACAAGGUUGGGGUAUGUAGGCUCUCUUGAUGAGAUGGUAUUGGUGAGUAUUUUUUUUUCUUCAAUACAAAACUAUUACAACACUUGGUUUUUUUUUUUUCUAAAAAAAAAAGAAAAAUAAAAAUAGUUUUAUAUUAUACUUAGUUUCAAGAAAAAUAAUAAUCAAAGCAAAAUGAAAAAAAAAUUCUCAUAUUGGUUUCUCGUGAAAAAUAUAAAAGCAAAUAAAAUACAAUUAAAAUUAAUUAAAAUCUUAUGUAUUUUUAAAUUAUUAAUUUUUAUAUAAAAAAUGAAAAAUAGUAUAAUGAAUUUAGAAGAAUAUAUAAAAAUAAUGUAUUAACUUUAAAUCUUUUUUUCUUUAUAUAUAUAUUUUCCCUUCAAUUUUCUAAUACCAACACAUAAUAAGGUUAAUGUCUUCUAGCCAACCAAUUGUAAGUCAAUUUUCAUAGAGCUUUUUUUUUUUUUUUUUUUUACAUGCCACCAAGUAGUUAUAUAAGCAUUUUUGCAUGUUAUUGUUAUCCAACAUACAAUAACUAUAACAUCCAAUUAUUAUGAACAUGAACAAUAAAAUUAGAUGCAACUAACUAUUUAGUGUAUAACAAGAAGUUGGUGAAGUAAUUCAUCCUAACAUGAUUCAACAAUUUUUGUUUAUUUUUCAAGAUUAAUUAUAACAUACCCAUUCUAUUAAAGUUGUUGAGAUAUUUGAGCAAAACUAAAAAUCAACAUUAAUUCAUUUUAUACCCACAAGAGAAAUAAGAUUUGUUUUUUUGUUUGAUAAUAAAGUAGUUGUAGUUAUUAAUGAUAAUUUUGAUCCUAAUUUAAUAGGUAUCCAAAAAAAAAGGAAAAAUGCAAGUAAACCAAUUCUUAUCUAACACAAUUAUUACCACCUUAAAAUCCUGAGGGGUAGCUCAGUUGAUCAGUUCGAGUCCCUUUAGGACCAUGAAAAGCUUACCCGAUGGUUCACCUUAAGAAAAGCAAAGCAUUUAUAUAAUUCAACUGGUAGUUGAUAAGUCUUAGAAAGGGUUUUGCCAUCAUUGGCUUCUCAGUAAAGGGCAAAUUUGGGUUGUGGCUGACAAUUAUUGAAUUUGUGAAGAAAUAUGUGAAGAAAGGAAACAAAAAGAGUUGAGGACAGAAUUCUUCAAUUAAAAAAUGGUUAGCCCAUGAACCCAUUCUUCAAACAGUAAGCCAAUGAGCCAAUGAGCCAAAAAGAAAGAAGAACAGCUGGUUUCAUCUUUUUAUCUUAAUGACUUUGACAACCCAUCUUUCUUUUAAAUACUUGUGACUUUGGAAUAUAAUUAAAAUGAAACUUUGGAAUGCCCACAUCUGAUUCACGGCCUUUUUACCUGUUUUCUUGUUUAACAUUUUUUUAAAUAUUAUAACAGAUGGAAAAACAUGAUUCUAACAGGCUGGAAAAUAGUGGAAGUUGGAACACCAACCAUAACCAAACUAUACCUUCCAUCUUUCUCCAACACUCGGAAUUAUUGAUACAAGUUGGUGGUUUUAUGAUUGUUUCUAUUGAGGGGACCCCUCUCCAUUUCCAAUUUCAAUGGAAAGGUUCUUCUUUCCCUACUUUUUUUUUUUGUUUUUCAAAUUCUUGUAGUUUUGUCUGUCUCUCUCAACAAAGCAAACUGCAAUCACUAAUUCAAAGAAAAGGAAUCCUAAAUGAAAAGAAAAGAAAGGAAAGGAAUGGUAAUUUAGGCUAUGAUGAUGCUCCUAUAUAAUGGCUGUAAGUCAAUAACAACACACUGGACCCGCCUCCUAUCUCAAAAGAUCACAAACCCAAAUAUCAUAUACUUCCAAAUUUCAAUUUGGUUCCCUGUUUAUAUCACAAUCUGUCCUAUAUCCUCUUAAUACAUCUAAAAUCUCUCUAUAUCAUAAAAAUAAUGAUGGAAAAAAAAAUUAAAAAGAAAGAAGGAAAAAAUGACAAAAAAAAAAAAACCUUGGUGCUGCUAUGGGUCCAUAGGAAUUGGCAGGACUGCACUUCUGGAUCCCCUUCCAUGGCCAAAAGAAAAGAAUGAUCUUCGGAAUCUGCUGCUGCAACCUUCACUAGGGCUGAAGUCACUGACAGGCCUGUUCUGUUGCAAAAUCUCUUGAAUUGCUAAAUACAGCUGCCUGUCGUUGGAUGAGUCCAUUGAAAAAGACCUCCUGAUGGGUUGGAUUGAGAACUGAUCAUCUUUGCCUCUAGUGUCAAUGCACUCAUCACCCAUGCUUGCAACAUGAUGAAACUUCCUUGCCUUUUUAGGCACAAUUCUCUGCUCUAGCUUCCUAGGUGAUGGACUAAUUGAUGGCGCAGAUAACUCUCUGGAAUUCAGUCUUUCUGGUGGCCUAAGCAGUGAUGAAUCAGCAGAACUAUCAUUUCCCAAUUCAAUUACUACAAAAUCUUCAUCCCCUCCUAUGUAAUUAUUGGCGUAGGGGCUUGGAUCUUGGGGGGAAGAGCUAGGAGCAAUGAUUUGGUGAACAGGAAACCGGGGUGUGGUUGAAAUGCUUGUUCUGCAAAGUGGGCAAUUAGCAUUGCUUUGAAGCCACACGUCUAUGCAAUCUAUAUGAAAUAUGUGACUGCAGUUUGGUAUGAUUCUUAGCUUCUCUUCUUCUUGAAACUCAUUCAAGCAAACCGCACACUCGCAAUGGCUUCUUUCUCCAAACUCUCUGCCACCUCCUUUCCUGAACUGGAAUAUUGGGAUUGAUCUGAUGACUGACUCGUCCAGGCCUCGACUCUCGAUUGCUGGGGAGUACACCAUUAAAGGGUCUUCCGGGUGCCGACUCCUUGAGAAAGAAAAUCGUCUCAGCAGAUCAAUCCGGUGCCAAUUGAGGCAGCAUUUGAUUACAAAGAUGUAGUAGCUCACCAGCAAGAAAGCAGUGGCCAGGAUUCCUAUUACGGCAAUGGCUAUAAUGGGGAAACUGGUGUCCGAGGAAUGAGAGGGAGAAGGAAGCACUGAGCUCGCCUGGCUUUUGAUGGGAGAAAAGGCUUGUGAUCCAUGGAUGGAGGAGUCUGUGCUCACAAGAUCCAUGAGAGAGGCUAUGAAAAACAUUUAGAAAUGAGUCUAUUCGGAUCUUCAAUUCACAGAAACAUGCAAAUGCUAGAAUAAAAUCGACAGACACUCAGAUAUAGACCCUACAGUUGUAAUGCAGCAUACCAUAAAUGUGAUUGAGUGAGUGAGGCUGAAACAGCAAAUGGGUCACUUCAAGAUCUCAACAAGACAGAAAACCCAUGUUGAAUUCACCAGGAGAGUAUUGAAAAGGGAAAAAUUAAGGACAUAUAGCUGUAUUGAAAGUUGAAACAAAUGCAGAAACAUAGAGAAGAGAGAGAGAGGGAGAAAACCCAGGAGGGUUGAAUGAGAGCGCUGCUGGGGAAGACAUCAAAACGCUUCAAAUUCAAUGAGAAUCUGUUGGGGACCUCUUUAAGAGGACUGCACAAAGCCUGAGCGUAGGGUACGUGGUUGGUUGGUGAAUUUCUCGGCUUCCAAAAGAGAAAUUUGGUGAGAAAAUUUUCAAGUCUCUUGAUUAUAGUAACGUAGCGUUUAUUUUAAUUUUAUGUAACCGAAACUAAUGGGCUGGUUCAAAAAAAUAAAAAAUAAAAAAAGGAACUUUCUAGGAUAGGCCAGCAGUCCACCGUUGGUCAUGUGGUUUCUUUUGCAUGUCCACAUCUUCCAACUAGUGGAGGUCCCUGUCACAACAGUAAGAAAACACCCAAUUGAAUAAAAGUAUGAACUUUUGGCUCCCAAUAUUACUUAUGCCCUCAUUCAAUACCUCAAAUAAAGCAGAGAUUUUGUGUCCCAACUUUUAUGAUUUCAUUUCAUCUUACUUCAAAUGCUAAUGACAAAAGUCCAAGUAUAUUCUGUAAUCACCCACACCCCAAUAGUUUUGAAUCACACUUGAAAUAGUUCCCAUGCUUUCUUAAUAAUUUAGAUAAUUAUUUACAGAAAAAAAAAUUCAGAACAGGAUGAUAAUCAUUUUGUGAUAGCAUGGAAGAAACUUUACUAGCCACUUUGGCCCCAUGAAGUUGAGUACUUGAUGCCAAUUAAUGGCAGGGUGGAAAAUAGAGAAAAGGGAUCAUAGUCAAAUCUAGAGUACAAGGCAUUGAAUCUUUGUUAAUAAUUAACAAAUGGGUAAAGCAUGGGUCACAGGGUCUACAGUUUGGAUUGCAAAAACCUCAGGCUUCUAUAAAAAGCUCAUCCAUUAUCAAUCAUCAAUCUGAAAGCCAGAAAGUCCAAGGCACAUGCAACCCACGACAGGGGUAAGAUUUCUGCAUCAUGUCCCUGAGUUGCAUUCACAUCAUAUGUUUCCCUCCGGGCCGUUCCAAUUUGAAAUCUCAUGGAAAUCUUCAAGAGCAAGGCUACAGAGUUUAAGAUAAUACUAGGGGUGGGUCCUGAUGGGAAAAGAGGUAGUGUAGGAUAGUCAAUAAAGGGCAUGUGUCUCUGGUGUGAAGUCAAAUCCAGUGUACCAUCCUCAAUGGAAAAUUUAGAAAUAGAACCGACACUCUACAGACUGCCGUGUUGACAGAUUAGAGAAAGACAAACCCACUUACACUUGCCUCAAAACCCAGUCCUGCCAUUUCAAAGGCAAAAAAAAAGGGUUUCUUUUUAUAGUCAAAGGUUGAGGCCUGGCCUGGCCUAGCAAAGAAACUUCACCUACUCUUUUCUUAUUUUUCAAAUUAAGGCCAUUCAACUUUUCCUGUUUGCAGGCUUGCUGCCAUAUCUUACUCCAAAAAAGGUGAAAACCCAAAAGAAAAAGAGUGUUUGCUUCAAUGGAAAACUCAUGUUUAAUAAAUUCACCGCACGAGUUUUGUUCCAGCUUUUCCUAUGAAAGCUGUGAUGCGUUUGGUAUGAAGUUGAUUUUGUUCCUAAAAAUUUUGAUCUUGGCGUGGAAGGCAACUUUUUCCUUUUCCCCCUUUUUCUUUUUGAAAAGUUCGGCAUUAGUUACCAAAUGUCCUUUUACUUGCAUGUAGGACAGCGGAAGCAUUACACAUCGCAGCAAAAUCCCAUUUACCCGAAUUUUCCACUAACUCUUUUUAUUUUUUACCAUCAUUUUUUAAUAGAAGUGAUGCACUCUUCAAAUUACAUGAAGCUUUUAAGAAGGUAAUAACCCGUUUCAAAGCGAACUUAACCUACAGAGUAUGUUUUAAAAAUAUUUAGGUAUUUGAUAAAAUUUAAAAAAUAUUUUUUAAAAUCUUUAAAAUGAUUUGUAAUAUUGAAAAUUUAUUUAUACUUUUUUUAAUAAAAAAACAUUUUAUAGGUAAUUUUUCUAAAAUACUUUUAGAGAAAAUGUCUUCCCUUCACUAUAAAUAUUAUAUACUAUCAAAUACACUUUAAAAAUCUGUUUAACAAUAAUUUUAUAAAGUGUUUUUAAUUUUAAAAAUAUUUUUAAAAACAAAUUAAAUUUUUGAUAAAAUUUAAAAAAUCUUUUUAAAAAUUUUGAAAAAUAUCUCGUAAUAUUAAAAAAUAUAUAUAUUUAUAAUGUUUUUUAUAUAAAUACUCAAAAUUCAUUUAAUAGUGAUUUUAGGAAAUGUUUUUAAUAUUUCUAAUACUUGAAAAUUUUUUAUCAUUUAAGUAUUAAAAAUAUUAAAAACACUUUAUAAAAUCACUUUCAAAUGGACUCUUAAUGAUUUUACUAAAAACACUUUUCAUAGAAAACAUUUAUAAAAAAUAAUUAUGAAAUACACUCUAAAUUAAGUAAAAGUUGUUUUUAACAUUACCACUAUUUAUUAAUAGUGCAUUUGUUUAAAAUAUUUAUAUGAAAAAUUCAUUAGGGUGGGAUAUAAAUAUAGAAGUGUUUUUCUUUAUAUAUUUUUUAUAAUAAAAAAUGAUUUUUGAAAUUAUAAAAUUUGAAUUUAAGAAUCAUUUGAUAAUAAUUUUUGUUAAAGCACCUUUAAUACGUGGUGCUUCUAUUGAUAGCGCUUUCAUUUCUAUGAAUGGCUAUAAAUUAUAUUUGAAUAAAUUUUUUAUAAUGUAUUAUAUAAUAAAAAAAAAGUCAUUUUUAAAAAAAUUAUACAUUAAAUGAUUAUUCAAAUAGUAUUUCCUAAAUUUUAUUAAACAUUUUUUUCAAAAAAAAAAAAAAAGUUUUCAAAUACUAGAAAACGUUUUUAAUCUCUCACACGAUCACAUCCAAACAAGUCCUAAUGCUACUCCUAGAAACACUCCAAAACAAAAGUCUUCCUCUAUUAAUGUUCAUAAAAUCCACAUAUAUUCUUCCAUCGUUUUUUCAAAAUUCAAAAUCAUUUCUAAAACAUCAAAUCAUGUUCUUUGGAUUGGCUGACUUGUUUUUUGAAAAUAGAAGGCUCAUUAUUGACGUCCGUUGACUUCAUAACCCAGUCUUGAUCUCUUGAUGGAGGGCAUAAAUGUAAAUUGGACGAAACCCUAGGGUGCGCUAGAGUGUAGAGGAUGAAAGGUUGGAAAAAGGAUGAGGUGGGGGUGUAAUAAAGAGGAGGGUUGGGAGAAUGGGACAUGUGUAGGUGAAGCAUUAAAUUCAAGACUAUGCUUACCAACAACAUAUAAAUAAAUAAAUAAAUAAAUAUAGGAACAGCACAUGGGGUGAGUAGGAGACAUCAGAAGAUGUGAACAACCCCUUGUCAGUCCAAUUUGCGUCUUUUAUCUACUCUAUUAUCUAUAUCGAUUUUCGUAUUUAUUUAUUUAUUUAUUUAUUUUUACCAUUUGAUUUUGCAUGGAUGUCGAAGGGUUUAUUGGCUGCCACGUGUAGGGUUAUGGUCAAGAUCACGUGGGGUGCCUACAUGGGAGUCACGUGAGUGCAUGAGGCAGGCUUGAAUUGCAGGAGGAGCAGGAGCAGAGCAGUGGCUGUUGUCUUAAGACUUUGCUCUCUUGGUGGAACUGCAGCUUAAGCAGCAUCCACGUGUUGUCACGUGCAAUGCGAGCCAUCCACACCACCAGUUUCUUUUUAGUGAUUUUCUAAAGUCAGUUAAGGUUGCAGUCAAUACCUUCAAAUGUUGACAGAGUUAGGGAUCUUUGUUAAAUGGAUUUUAUUAAGAUAUUAGUAAGUUAAUUAAUUGAGGGUCAACAUAACAGAUGGGUCGGGUUGGGUUGAAUCUGAAUUUAAAACGAUUUAAUUUAUGUUUAAUCAAAUUUAACAUUUAACUCGAAGCACUCAACUUAAGUUUAAUUGAAUCUUAGUUUUCAAAACAUUAUUUAAAUUUGGGUCAUUUGGAUUAAAGUCAAAUGGGUUAGAUUAAUCGGGUUAUAUGGUUCAAAAUCCACUUACCUUAUUUUUUAUACAUUAAUAUUAAAAUUUAAAUAAAAAAUAUUAGAAGAAAUUUCAAACUUGGGAUUAGUUGAUUGUAGCCAUGCAUUUGGAUGUUGGUAUUCUUGUUUCUUGUCUUGUUUCCAAAUACCCUUUCAAAUCGCUUUGUUAUUCAAUAGCAUCCUCCCGAUCAUUUAAAAAUUUAAAGAGCAUUGGUAUGAUGGAGGAAUUCAGAAAUUUUAGUUGAAUAAGUAAAAUUUUUCUCUCAUAAAACCAAAUAGCCUCUAUAGCUCAGUGGUAGAGCGUCAGUCUUGUAAACUGAAGGUCUGUAGUUCGAUCCUGCAUGGAGGCAACUUUUUAUAUUUCAUGAUCCAUUAUGCUCUAGUGAUUUAGUUUUCAUUAUAAUUUUAGAUUAAAAAAUUACAUCAACAUUUGAUAAGUUGGUUAUGACUUUGAUAUAAGGAUGAAACUAUCAAUAAUAUAUAUAAAUAUUUUGACACAAAAUAUCUAAUAUAUUAAAAAAUUAAAAAAAAACUCUAAAAAACAUUAUAAAAUUAUAUAUAUAAUUUAUCAUAUUUAAUAAUAAUAUCUUCUACCCUAAUAAAAAAUAUAAAUUUUAUAAGCAUACAUUUAUUAUUACAUUGUAUUAUAUAUUAUUUUACAAGAAUAUUAUGAUAACAUGUCUAAUUUUAAAAUAUAUUUAAUAUUAAAAUUAUCAUCAAUUUUAAUUUAAAUGUAUUUAAUGAUAUCAAAUAAUAUAUAUAUAUAUAAUUUUUUAAUAUUUAUAUAUUUUUAUAUUUAAUAAAUAUAUAAAUUAUGUAAAAAAAAAAGACCUAUUAAGAAGAUUAUGUUUUUAUAUUUGGAUCAAAAUUAAGUUUUUCCGAUAAAAUAUAUGAAACUAUUGAUAAAUUAUUGAUUGAAACGUGAAAAAAAAAAUUCAAAAAAUAGAUGAGAUAUUAGUAAAAUAUCCGAAAAUAUUGAUUGAUGAAUAUAUCAUUUCAAAUUUUGCAUCAACAUCCACAUAUGUUGGAUAUAUUGGCCAAAUAUAUUUAAACCUUGUUUCCAUGAGAAGUCUUUCCUUCAACAAUUUCAAAAGGUUAAUGAGGUGGUUUCCAAGAGAUGUGUGUAGGGGUCUCCAACGGGCGGGCCGGGCCAGCGGGCUUUUUGAAAUAAGCCAAAAUGGCUUUCAAAAAAGGGAAGGGAGAGGAUUUAAACCCCUUCCUUCAUGCUUAAAUUUCAAGGUUCUAACCAAUUGAACUACAUUCCUUUAAUGUUUAUUAAUUGAGUUAGUUAUAUAUAUAUAUAAAAAUAAAGUAUAUUAUUUUUUAAAGGGGCGGGCCUACGGGCUGGGCCGGGCCGAAAGCGGGCCACGGGCCACGGGCUUUUUGGAGACCCUUGGAUGUGUGCAAUCACAUUUGGUAUUAUAGGUGACAAAGUUUGAUAAAUGAGUAAUUAUUAGGUUAACUUAUAAAAUCCGAAUUUGAUUUAAAUUGAUUCAUUUAAUAAUCCCAUUUAUUUACCCAAUUAAAACUUUAAAUUAUUUAACUUAUAUUUAAUUUAAUUAAAAUUUGUUUUUAAAUAAAUAGAUCAAUUAAAACAUAAACAUAUUUGAUUGAAACAUUAAUAAUAUAGAUUUAAAUAAGACCUAAUUCAACCUAACGAUCAAAUAGAAAUAUCUAAUUAUUAAAUAAAUUAAACAUGUUACUUGCUUAAUAAUUAUGUGACAUUUGAAUUUAUGCUUUUGAUAUAAUUAUUAUUUAUAUCAGGUUUAUAUAAUGAAAUAUCUAGACUUUGACACCAGUCAACAUUGUCCACCAAUACAGAUUGCAACUCUUAUAUGCUACAUCACAUCAUGUUGAAGGAAGAGGAUGACGUUCAUUGGCAGCAGAGCCUCCAAUCAUAAGGAGCUUGAGCAAAUUCAAUCUCAACACUGAAAUUCACUAGAAAAAAAGUUUAUUAUUGAUACUUCAUUUGUGUAAAAGCAUUAUAUUUCUUGCAUCAAUCGUAAAGCAUGACAUUCCAGUAGGUACGGAAGAGAAAAUUUGUUAUGAAUUGAAAAAUCUGUCAAGCUUAAUUUGGAGGGCCCAAAAUUGACACGUUUAAGAGCUCUAUCAUUAGCCCAAUGAUAAGAGUCCAUUUCUUGAGUUUCAAGGAAGGCCCAAGUUUAACUUAGAGGGCCCAAUCUUGGUACCUUCUAAAAGGUGCAAACUUUGGCCCAAUUAUAAAAGCUUAUCCUUGCUUCCUAAGCAUCAAUGAUAUAUUUGAUCGAAGUAUUCACAUAACUAUCACGAAAUGAAAUGAAAUGAAAAUGUAUAAGUAAAUGAUGAUUUUGAGUUAUUUACUGACAAUAAAGAAUUAGGUGGUGUUUGUUUUUUUUUUUUUGGCUUUUUACUAAAAGCAAUUUGUUUUCAGAAUUUAGGUUAUUUAUUUUUCUAUUUUUUCAUGACUUAUUAUAAACUUUUUACUAAAUAAGAAAAUCCAAAAUAUAUAGUUUUUUCUAAAUAGAAAAAAUAACAUAUUGGUUUUCUUUUUUUUUUACUUUUUAAUAUUUAAUAGAAAUAAAAUAUUAUAAAAACAAACAACCUAAUAUUUAACACUAUUAAGUAUUAAGGUUUUAUUUAGAAUUAAGUAAAAAAACAAACACUACCUUAAAAUGAAAAGUAUGUAUAAUGACCUUAUACAAAAAAAGUCUCAUUAUUUUCUUCCAAAGAACUCAUACUUUUGUUUUUCAACUAUUACUUUGUUUUUAUUUUUUAAAUAAUAUUUCAAGUUUUUUUUAAUAAUACCUUUCUCUUUAUUAGAUAAUUUUAAUGACUUUAAAAGUAUUUUAAUAUAUUAAUUUAUUAUAUAAUUUUAAUGAUUUAAAAAUAUUUAAAUGUUGAAAUAUUUAUUUUCAAGUCUAAUUUUAAUUAUUUAUUUUUUGAAGUAUUUAAAUAUAUAAUAAAUGUGGGAUUAUGUAAAUCUAGUUGUAAUUAUUUAUUUCAUUCUAUUCAUGUUUUUAGUUGAAUUUGCUCAAAAUUUACACCUCUUUAUUUAAAGAUCAUGGAUUAGUUAGGUGUCUUGAGAUUUUUUUUCUCUCAAGACACUACUUGUUACACUAGAAAAUAAUUUGUGGCUAUAUUUUUUAGGCAAAAAGAAUUAUAUGUUAAAACUUCCUUUAUUGACUAGUUUAUCAUAGGGUGUAGAGGAAAGUUUGUGAUGUCUUUUUAUGUCAACUUUGGGAGAAAAAUAUCACUUUAGCAUUUUCCUUAGAAAAUUUUCAUACAUAAUUGAUUUUGGAACUAUGGAGGAGCAUAAGUAGGGAUAGAUAAUUCGAUUUUGGAAAAAUUAUAAUAGCUUUUCAACUUGGUGUUAAUGAUAUAUUGUUUAUUUCUUAUUUUUUUUCCAUUUUAAUAUAUAAUUGGGGAUUUUAAACUUGUAGAACAAGGCUUUUUCAAUUGAAUUGACACGUACAUAUGAAAGUUCUCUUUGGUUGCUAAUCACAUUUUUUUUUCUUUUGCUUUUUGUUUUUAUCAUAAUGAAUAUUGAACUCGAAAUUCAGUUUUUAAAAUCUUAUGAUGUUUUAAAGUUUAUAAAUAUUAUUGAUUUUUAUAAAUGAUGUUAUUCAUAUCUUGGUAAAGACAAUAUUUUCAUAUCGGUCAAGAUGAUUAAUAACAUAUAAGUUCAUAAAGAAAAACCUAUUGAUUAAUGGAUAUUUAAUGAUUUUUAUUAGGAAUGUUUUUUAAUUAGUUUCAAUACUCAUCUUUUAGAGCAUACAUAUAGGGUUUUAGAUGCUACAUUGGUUUUCAGCUUGUGAUUUAAAUUAUUGAAGCAAAAAAUGAGGGUUUUGCUUUAUGGAACUAUCUAAAGGGAGGUGAAUUAGGCGGUCUUCCUUUUUAAAAUCCAAAAAUUAGAUUUUUAAUACUUAUAUUAGUUAUACAUGUGUUCAAUAAUUAAAACAAAGAACAAGUCCAUAAUUUACAUGUGAUGUGCAUGGAAAAACACCUACAAAUUCUCUCAAAUACUUUACAAAUGAAAAAAAAAUCAAGGAUCGAUCAAUCACAGAGCAACUUCACUAAAUAUGAAAACAUGACUAUACAAUUUUACUUGGAUGAGGUGCUACCUUCUCUUAAGGGUUUUUACACUAGCCAACAAUUACACUCACCUUCACUCUCACCAUGCACCUCUAUUGUGCUCCAUAGUAAACACUUUAAUGACUGUAGCAAGAUUGCGAUAAAUUACUGCGAUUAAUUUGAGAGUGUUGAUAAUGAACAAAAAAUAAUGAUAAUUAACUAGAGAGCAUAUGAUUUUGUAAAAACACCAAAAAGAGGCAUAGUUAUAAGUGAAAACUUUAAUGGAUUGGAUUGAAUAUAUAAUUGAAGUAUGAAUGAAAAAUUACCAAAACAAUGUUCAAAACCGUGCUAAUCAAAGCACAAUCACUUGAGUACUCUCAUGGGGCACUUGAAUGCUCCUUUUAAUCACCGUAAUGCUGAAAUUAAUAAUUUGUCUCAAAUUGUUUUUCCAAAACAUAAAGCAAAAUAUUAUAAAUUUAUAUAAUCAAACCCAAUUUCAUCUUAAAGCUAGCCUACUUAGUCUUAAUUCAUGUCCAAAAAUACUCAUACUUGUCAAAGAAUGAAUAUGGUAUAAACAAAUUCUUUAUUUUCAAUUAUAUUCAAUUAUUGAAAGAAUAAAUCGGUUUACAUACAUUUUGAACAAAGGUAUAUACACAUAGACUAAAUCAAGGAAAUGAGGAAAUCAAUCACAAUCAAAUCAAAAUCAAAUGAUAGGUUGAUAUCUAGGAGAAGGUUAAGUUAGAACCAACUCAUGUAUUCAAUAUUCCCCCUUAAGAUGGCAUAUGGAGAUCAUGAAUAUCAAACCUAGAAAGUAAGGGAUAUGAAAUAUCUAUACCAAGGGAUUUUAUGAAAUAUCAACCAAUUGUUGUUGUGAUUAAACAAAUUGAAUAAGAAUAAUUUCAUUUCGAAUCUUUUCAUAGAUCAAGUGACAAUCAAUUUCAACGUGUUUAUUCUGUUCAUGGAAAAUUAGAUUAAUAGCAAUGUAUAGAGUUGUAUUAUUGUCACAAUAUAGAUGCAUUGACCAAGGAUGAUGAACUCCAAAAUCUAUAAGUAAAUAUUGCAACCAAUGCAAGUAGUAAUCAUUAAAUAAUAUUUCACUUUUCUUCAUGAGUGUUAUAUCAUUGAUUGCUUUUUAGAUCUUCAAGAGAUUGAUAGGCCACCAAGUAAAAUACAAUACCCUAUAAUUGAACAUCAAGAUUAUGCACAAUAGGCAUGGAGGAAGGCAAAAGAAUUCCUUGACCUAGACGAUUUUUUAAAUAGUAUAACACUCAUGUACUUGUGAGAUAAUUGAGACUACAUUGGCUUGUCAAGAAUUUGAACAUAAUUAGCAAUAUUAAGCCCUAUCAUUAUGAGUCAAAGUAACUUCCCAAUCAAAUGCCUAUAAUAAGAAGCAUCCAACAAAGGUUCUCUAUCUAAUUUACUCAAUUCCAAAUUUUGUUUCCUAGGAGUUUUUAAAGUUACAUGUUCCAAGAAAACCAAAAUCUUUUAGUACUUCUAGAGCAUGUUUUCAAUAACUUAAAUAAAUCUCAUUCUUAAAAUAUGUCAUUUCAAUGAUGAUGAAGUACUUUAAUUUUCCAAUCUCUUAGUUAGUUUGAAAAUGCUAUAUAGGUUUUCCUUGACCACCUUAAUUCCUUUAAGAUCAUUCAUUGUAAUAAUUAUAUCAUAAAUGUAAACAAGAAUGAUUGUGAAAUAGUUAUUUGAGGCUUGAGCAAAUAAGAAGUAAUAUGUACGUCUUGGCUUGCUUGUAAACCAUAAACAUCAAUGUGAUAGAUAAUUUGGCAAACCAUCAACGUGAAGCUUGCUCAAGGCCAUAAAGGGAUUUUUUAACUUUGCAAAUCAUAUUUUUGGUUCUAGAUUUCCUACAAACUUGGUGGAAGCUGCAUGUAUACCUCUUUAUCUAAGUCUUCAUAAAGAAAAACAUCGUUGAUGUCAAGUUGGUGAAGAUGUCAAAUUCUAAUUAUACAAUAAUUAGGGGUGACAAUGUGUCUUAUCGUGUUGAGGUGAGAAAUAGUGAAAAUUUACUUAAUCCGACUAUGACCCGUUUGAUAAUCGUGUCAAAAUAACCUAACAUGAAUACAAUUAGUUUAUUUCAUGUAACAUGACCCUUUUAACAUGUUUAAUAAAUAUAUUAACUUGGAUUAUGUAUUAAUUGACAUGAAUAACUCAUUAACUUGAUUUCAACCCCUUAAACUCAUUAACACAAUUCCAACCCAAUAAACUCGUUAAUAUGAUUUAACUCAUUAAACUUGUUAAUAGGAUUAUAACCUCUUUAACCUAUUUAAAAUUUUAAAUUUAUAAAUAAUAAAAUACUUCUAGAAAGUUUAAUUUUUAAAAUUUGAACUAUAAUACAUGUAUGCACCAAUUUCAUGAAGUCCUGAAAAAUUAGCAAAAUUAUAGAAAAAUAAUAUAAACAAAAAUUUGUAUUAAAAUUAAUAAGUAUGGGCUACAAUAUUAGUCAUAGUACUGCUUAUUUCUGAAUGACUUUAUUAAAAAGCGAAGAAUACAUGUGUAGUUCUUAUGUGAUUUCUUAAACUUGUAAGGCGAUUUUAUAAAGUUUUUUUUUUCUUUGUGAAACCUCUUUUUCUAUGUGAAAUUGUUUUGCCGAUUUGAAAUCUUCAUUAAAGGAAGUUACUAUUAUUUAUAAUUGAAAUUAGAGAAUGAAAUGUGGAAUCCCCAUGAUUUAGUUGCUUAAUUCAAGGAAUUUGAUUAAUUGAUUUUGGUAACUUGUCUCAUAAAAUUUUCUAACAAGAAUAUUUAUUUUUAAUCUCUUUUAUUUCAAUUGGAAUAUUUGUUUCCUUUGUAAAUUUGUCAAUAGAAUAUUUAUUUAUUUAUUUAAUUCUCUUUUGACUACAAUGAGAAGAUUUGAUUUUGUUUGUAAGACUAAAUUUUAUAACCUUUCAAAUUUGGCCAAGUGACACCUUUUGAAUAUAUGUCACAUGUCAAAUGUGUGUGACUCAUUAGUUGUUGAACCUAAAUUUUCUUGAAUUAGAAAGCUAUACUUUUGAAGACUAAUUUAGUGAUAAUUUAAUUCAUUAAAUUUUUUUGGUGUCUACAGUAUAUUUAUAAUAUGAAAAGUAAAUUAAAAUUUUAAUUUUUUUACUUGUUUAUUAUUUUAUUUAUUAUUUAAUGAUAAAUAUUUUUAUUCUUUAUUGAAAUAUAUAAAAUUUUAAUUAAUAUUUUAAUUUUUUUAAUUUCUAUAUAUAAAAUAUAUAGAUUUAUAUGGUCUAAUUGAGUCAUUAAAAUAAAUAGGGUAAAUAACUCACACAUAAGUGAUGGAUCAUUCUAACAUGAUUAAAUUAACAAGUUAGAUGAAUUGAGUAGUCAAAUACAAACAUGAUUUGUUUAUUAAAUAAGUUAUAUGAAUUGAUACGAUUAUGACAUCAACUCAAUUAAACUUAACUCAAAUAAGCUUUGUCUUUUAUUUUAAGUUGUCUAGUUGUUCACACAAAUUUUCUCAAAAUAAAGAAAUUAUAUAUAAAAUUGUAAAUUUGAUUAUUUGAGGGGACCAUUUUCAAUACUCUUUUUUAAGUAAUCUGGUGUUUAAUUUUGAAUCAAAGGGGCUUUCAUUAACAAAUAAUAGACUGUAGUUUUCAUAUAAGAAGAAAUCUCAAGCCUUUUUUUCUUGAAGGAAUCUUUAAAUUUUCUUUGAUACUUUAAAAAAUCAAUCUUCUUUGAUUUUUUAAGAAAUCUUUGAAUUUUCUUAAAGUCUUCAAAAAAAAAAAAAAAAAAAAAACUGAGUUUAAGGAAUUUUUUUAAUAACUCUCCAAAUUUCUUUGAUAUUCCAAAGUGUCCUUUAGAAGGGGACAAAUCCUCUAUUUACAGGAUUGAGAGUUUUAUUUUAAUAUUAUCUCUUAAUUUUUAAGAAAUAACUCUCUUAUUUAUGAUAAUUACUAUUUAUUUUAUUUAUCAUAAUUAGUUGCCUAUGAUAAUUAUCAUAAUUAAUUUUUCUAGAGAUAAAUAAUUAUAUAUAUUUAAUUAAUCAUGAUAACUAUAAUAUUUAUUUAAUUUUUUAUUAAAUUAUUUUACAUAACAUAUCAAUAUAUAUUAUUAGUCAAUUAUUAACACCGAAAAUUAAUGAGUUGGCAUAAAAUUUAUCUCUCUAUAAUAGUAUCAAAGCGAGCCUUAAUAAUAACAUUGCUUAUAGUCAAUUUCACAUGCCAACUUUUUACUGGGCAUUGGCGAUUUCAAUUUUGAUAGUCCGGUUAGAAAAAGUAGGUAAAGAUUAUUUGAUGUGGUAGGUCAUUUCUUUCAUAAAGACGAUGGCGGUGAAUUCAUGAGACAGGUGAUAAAGGAGAGAUUCUUUCUUUUGGCUUUGGAAUUUUAAUGAGGUCCUCGAUCCUCAUCCAAAAUACACCUCUCCAAUUAUAAAAAUCUUAUUAAAAAAAAAAAGAUUUGACAUGUGCCUUUCGAACUGCUGGUUUUCUGUUCCAAAAAUGAGAAUGGUUUCAAGUGGAUGAAGGAAGGUGAAGAACCCUUGGUUUUGUUAAGCGAAAAGCCACAUGAUUAAAUAAACAUAAGGCGGCAAAGGCUGAAAAUUUAAAAUUAUACUAAGGAACCCACCCCACAGGGCGACUACACUUUUGGUGAAGCCACGAGAAUGAAAGAUAUCGAAGGUGACACCAAGACAUUAAGCAGCACCAAGGUUUCGAUAUAUUAUAAGAUGGGAUCUUAUGAAAGACGAUCUCUAAUCUCUCUCCAAUCUCUUCUUUAACCUUUUCUUACUUAAAUCCAUUUCCAUGGUAGGGCACAUGUCCAGCUGACCCUACCCCCUCACCUACCUAUACUGCUAUACCCUUUUGUAUAAUUUGAUAUGGAUUGGAAGCCACCCCAACAUCUUUCUAAUUGCUCGUAAAUGUUGAGGUGCCUUUCCAUUUUGAGGCUGCCCUAAUGUGUGGCUGAAGUACGUAGGAAAAAAAAAUUGUGAUACAUGCACUGACGAAUCAAAUCCCAAUGUCAAAUUAUUAGACUCACCUGGUUCUUAAAUUAUUGUGAAUGCCGCUGGCCAUGGAUAAAUGGAAUUAGUGCGUGGCUUAAUGAAAAUUUAUUUUGAAAGGGAUAUUAAUUUGAGAGAAUUUUGGCUGAUACUUGGAGUUGAACGUAAGCAUAUAUGACCUCAUUUCGGGUGUGAUAUUGUGCUUAUAACGAACCUUUCGUUCUUUCCAAUUCCAGUGGGUAUUAAAUAAUUAAAGAAUUCAUGGUUCGAAGGCGAAAGGUAGAAGACCAAAAAGGGAUUACAAAGCCAUCGGCUUGACCAUCCAGAUGCAAUGGAUACAAACUUUGGACUCUAUCGAAAGUUCUUUGGGCACGUGCCCAAGUGUCCUACCCAUAUGAUAAGUUACACGUGGCUAAUUGCGGACCGGUUGCUCGUGCUAAACAGGGUACUUUUUCUACGCAUAUAAGAUGUUUCACUAGUGGGGCUUCACCAUGCAAACUCAUGGAUGAAGACCCUGAGGCCAAGAUGAAGGAACAGAAAGAAGGCGGAGGAGAGGUUCGGUAUCGAGGCGUUCGGAGGCGGCCAUGGGGGAAGUUUGCUGCGGAGAUACGUGACUCGACUAGGCAUGGAGCGCGCGUCUGGCUCGGGACUUUCAAUUCUGCGGAGGAGGCUGCAAGAGCAUAUGACCGAGCUGCUUAUGCCAUGAGGGGUUCCUUGGCGAUUCUCAACUUCCCUAAUGAGUAUCAUACACCCGGCACGGCUAGCUCUUCAGCUUCAUCCUCAAUGCCCGAAGGUGAUCAGCAGGGAAAACAAGUCAUUGAAUUGGAGUACUUGGAUGAUAAGCUGCUAGAGGAUCUUCUCGACUCUGAAGACAAAAAGAACAAGAAAACCUGAAGUUUCUGCUGCCUCGAAUCCCCUGAAAUCUAGUGCUUCAUCGAAAAAAAAUCCCCUCGCUCCUGAUUAACAACAUUUUUAUUUUAGUCAAUGAAUGUGUUCUCGGAUCAUUAUAAGUAUUUCUGCCGAAGUCCAUUGAUUUUUGGAGACUGAAAAAUGUCAGAAAAAUUGGUGCGAACAGGUUUACUCCUUUCUAAAUUAUGCAAUUGAAGUAUUUGGAUUAGUGCGCAGUGUAAACAUCAAGGAAAGCAUGAUCCACUAUUUUAAGGAGCCUAAGUGCUUUCCCCUUUACUCUUUUAGGAUGUCUUUUCAGUGAAGAAAGUUGGGAGACCACCACUUACCCUUUUGAUUGGUAUAUAACUGCCAACUAAUAACUGGACUAACAUUUGGCCCGUCUGGCCCUACUUCUUUGACUUUGUUGUUAAUUUAUAACUUUAUGUGAAGUGGGGGCUGUUUGGGAAUGUGUGAAGCAAGGAUUUGAGCCGACUUCGCCUAAUCUGAUUCUCCAUAAGUGACUUCAUUUUAUCAUAUUGGUGUUUUUUUUCUUCUUCUUUUUAAAUGGCUGGGGAGGAGGGGAUUUGGGAGGGAUGCAAUGCCAUGGUUGCAUGCUGGAUUAUCCUUCCAAAUGAAACAUCCAUUUGGUUUCUAGUAACUAAUUGCAAACAAUUAAAGAGAAUAAAAUUUUAAGAUGAUUAAACAAUAAGUACCUAUGUCCAUGAAAAGGAGAGAAGUUCACUCAUGGGUGUUCAUGAAAGACAUCACAAAGAACCAUCAAUAUGAGAAGAAUCCUGAUACAAUUAACUUUCAUGCAUAAGAAAAGACGCUCAAAAAAGAAUAAUGCUUACAAGGAAAGAAUCUCACUACGAUCAACUGAAAAAAUAUUCCAAUUUAAUUGGAAAUCCUUACAUGGGAAGAAUAUCAAUAAAAUCAACUAAAAAAAUAUUUUAAUUUUAUAUCAAAAUAUUUGUGAUUUAACCCGUAUCAUUUCAUCAUGACUUCUUAUAAAUUUUGUUCCUUUUUAUCAACACCACCCCUUGAGUUGGAGCAUAAAUAUUUAUUAAGCUAACUUGAACAAGAUCUUGAGAAAUUUUGUCGCAGGAUUUGUUUGCACUUUUUUUUUUCAAAUAAAGUCAUAAUUAACUUUAAUAUGUUUAAUCAUUUCAUGAAAUACUAGAUUUUAAGCAAUGUUGAUAGCAUACUUAUGCCUGAAAGCUUUAUCCCAAAUCACAUGAGUACAUGAAGUGAUUGCAUCAUUAAUGGUAGUAUUAUUACUUUAUAUUCAACUUCUCCACUUGAUAGGAUGCAUGAAAGCAUUGUGCUUUCUUCUGUUUCAAGUAAUAAAGAUUAUCACCAAGAAAGGUGCAAUUAAUACCUAGUAACAGAGUACCUAGUGGUAGCAUGCACCUAUCCACUGAACUUGUACUCGACUCUAUGAGUGUACGUUACAUAGUCCUUUUUUCGAAGUCUAAAUGUCCCUUGAUAAAACCUUCUAAUAUUUGAGGUUUUGGUAACAUUCAUGUAUCAAUGAACAAAUUAAUUUACUAGCUAAACUUUAAAAUUAGGCAAUGUUUUUCAAUGGGUGAUCAAGAUCUUGGAAUUUUCAAUGUUGUUUGAAUAGCUUCCACACACAAGCAUAUUUUCUCCUAUUUAGGAAUAAUCCCUUUUUUGAAGGUGUGAUCUUUAUGCUCAAAAAAUAAAGAUACUCAAAAAUUUAAUAUUGACCUUCUCGUGAAGGAAAAGCUUUAUAACUAAUUUUUUUUGUGCAUUAUAUAUAUCCUCAAUAUAGACUUUAAAAAAAAAAGAAGUAACUCCCUCUACAAAGAGUGAAGAGUCAAUUAAACUUUUUUUUUUUUAAAAAAAAGGAACCAAUUACUCGUAAAAGUAAUGAUUAUUUUUACAUACCAAACUUGAGGAGAUUACUUAAGAUCACAAAAGUUUUUAUUAAAUUGCAAGCUAGAUGCAUUUGAAACGAUCGUUGAUGUCUUAGCAACACCUUAUGUAACUCAUCAAUCUUUAUGUAAAAAUGCAUUUUUAACACCCAUAUAAAAUAAUGAUCAAUCCUAAUUUAAUAGAAACAAAUGGUAAUACAUGAAUAUCAUUCAUAUUAAUGAGAAAAGUAAAUAUUGAUUUAUAAUCAACUUCUUAAGUUUGUGUCAAUGCCUUAAUCAUUAGUUUAACUUUGUCAUUCAAUGAUACCAUCAUUACGACAUUUAAUUAACUUAGAUUUGCGUAAAUCCCUUAAUCACUAGUCUAGCUUUAUGUCAUUCAAUGGUACCAUCAUUAUGGUAUUUAAUUGAUCUUAUACCCCCAAUUUGUAUACCCCAUGUUUUUCUUAAUUUACCAUACAUCACUUAACAAUGUUCCAUGCAUGGAUUUUGUUAAGUGCCUUAAGUUCCUUUUGCAUAGCCUUUCUCCAAAUUGGAUGAGGAUUGGCUUCAUUAAUGUCAUUAGACUCAUGAUAUAUGGAACUCAAACAAUUGUUAAGUGAUUUUGUAUAUAUAUAAAAAAAAAAUUGUAAUUAAUGUGGUAGGCAUAAAAAUCUCACAAAUGAGGAUUGAUUAAUUGUUAUAAUUGAGCAACAUGCUUGAGGCUUAGUCACAAUACUAGAACUUGAAGUCAGACAUUCUCUUCAAAUAAGGACGUAUAUACAUUAUAUUGGAUCUCCAUUAAACAAGUAAAGAACUAUUUAGUAGACAAUGAAACCUCAUUGAUCAAUGGUGGUAGAGAGACACAUGAUGACCAGACUAUUCCCCUGGAAAUGAGAAUAAAAAAUAUCAUUAGCCGCAAAAAUCUCAAAAAAAUUUAGAUAAUGGGAUAUAAAGAGUUUAUGAAUUUUACAAUCAUAACUCUUAUACUGGUUUAAGUGGUAGAGUAAUCAAGAACACAAAACGAGUUUGAUGAGUGGUUGAGAUAUGAACAAAGCAAAGAUUUCCAAAGACACCAAAAUCAGAAAUCUCAAUUUUUGGGCUAAGGAUUUCAAGAAGAAAUUUAAAAUUAACUACAUGACUAGAAAAUUUGUUCAUCAAGGAAAUAGAAGUAACGAUAUCAUAACAUCAUAAUUAAUCAAUAUUUUUAAUAACAUGCAUUUGGAACAUGAUAUACCGGCUUUCUAAUAAUCAAUGAUUUUUGGUUCAACCACACCAUUUUGUUUUGGGAUGCCAAUACAACAAGUUUAACGAANNNNNNNNNNNNNNNNNNNNNNNNNNNNNNNNNNNNNNNNNNNNNNNNNNNNNNNNNNNNNNNNNNNNNNNNNNNNNNNNNNNNNNNNNNNNNNNNNNNNAUGUAAGUGCCAAAUUAGGUAGUGUCGACAAUGAAAUGGAAAUUUUGGAAUAUAGAAACAACCUCAUUUUUAUGUUCUAAUAAGUAAACCUAUGUAGCAUAAGAAUAGUCAUUAAAAAAAAAGGUAACAAAAUGUUGAUUUCCAUCCUAUGGAUCAAUUAGGACACAACCCCAAGGUAAACUAAUUUGAAAGUUGCAACAAAAAUGGAAAGAGAUGAAAAAAUAAUAGAGGAAUUUAAGGUUGUUUCAAAAUUUCAAGACAUGCUAAGAAACACAUGAGAUUAUAGAUGAUUAGGUAACAACCUUGGUUAAGUAUAUUCAACAUAUAUAUCCCACGAGGAUAAAUAUCUUCACUAAACUUUUCCUAUUAUUCAAUCCCCUAAUACCAUACAAGUGAAAAAUUAAUGUCACGGUCAAAAAUUUUAAUAAGCUUCCAAAGAGAUAAUAAUUUUGGGGAAAAAAACAACCUAAGAAACCUAUGAAUUGAGAUAAUUUAGGAAAAAACUAAAUGUUCGUUAGCUCUAGAAGGGAAUUGAAGCUCAUCAUCAAUAAAGAUUGUUGCUAUCUCGAAUAAUAUCAAGUAAACCAUUAAGAUCGCUAUUAAUGGUAUGAUUAGCAGCACCAAUUAUCGACAAAAAAAUUAUUAAAAAUAUAAGAAAUGAGAGCUUUAAGAUUAUCUAAUUGAUUUGUAAACCUAGGUAAGUGAAUCAGUAUUACGUUUUGUUAAGGAAGCUUAGAUCCAAUUGGUAUCAUUCACCAAGUUAUUGGAUUAAAUUACACUAUCAAACUUUGGCUUUAAAUGAGAAUGAAGAAUCUAACCACAAUCCUUAUUGGGAUUAGAUAUGUUAUUGCAAUAAUGUUUACAAUCGGAUGAGUGCUAAUUUCUAUUGAAAUCAUGAAGCAAUCUCUGAUCAUUGGUCUUCUUUGUAGAAACAUGAGCAUUGAAUUUAAAAUUAAUAAUUGUUACUUGGGAUUCAACCUUCAUAAUCAUUGCCUGGGUUUCCUAAUCACUUUCAAGAAUUACUUAUAUAGUGAAGGCACUCGAAACUAAUCAAAUUUGUCCUCUUAUAAAGUUGUCAUAUUCAAGCUUCAGAAUAGCCAAUAAUUGAAAAACUUAUCAUACUCCGCAAUUUGUUGAAGAAUAUUUGGGUCUAUUGAAGGGGACAAUAUAGGGAAUAUUUGUCCCAUAUGCUCAAAAUGUUCAAUUAACAAAGUGUUCUGUAUGUUUAGGGAUUUGUUAGCUUUAAUUACACAAAACAUUAGCAGUUUUAGAGAAAAUUAAUUUUUUUUUGCAAUCUUAGGUUCCAUGAAAUUAAAAAGCCAAUAACAAGUCAAUAUGGCUUGAGACCCAGUCAUCAUAUUCAAAGUCAUCCAACUUAGAAGCAUUCAUUUUGCCACUAACAUGUGCUAAUUUCCAUUUUCUAUCUUUCAAGAGAAAAAGACUGCUCUUAACCAUGGCAAAUAAUUGAACCCAUUAAGAAGAUUGAGGAAAGUAUCAUAUGAGGGUUGUCAUUUUCCUCCAUGACAAAGAAAAAGCAACAGAGAAAAACUCAUAAUAUUAGAAAGAGAAUGAAAGAAAUUGAGUCAUAGAUACACACAGAAGAAUCCAAAAAUAAAGCAAUAAUACAACCACAAAUAUGAGAAGAAGCUCAAUUACAAAGAAAGGAACUCAAUACAAUCAACUAAAAAGCGUUCCGAAGUUCAUACGAAAAUAUUCAUAAUGUGAAGAUCAUUUCAUGAUUCCUACAAUUUCUUCCUUCUACCAGUCCACUCCAUACAAGGUUUGAUCAACAACUUCUUCAUUGAUUUUCUGGUCUCUCUCCGGUGUAUCAUAGAGCAUUUUUGACAUGUUUCUGCAAGAUACACUUGUUAACUUUAAGCGACAUAAGUGCAAAAAAAUAAGAUCAUGUUGUAUUGCCUGUGCUUCCACUCUGCCUUGUUUAGUACUAUUAUGGAGCAGUACUUCCAUAUAGAACCAGUGAUCUCCAGUUCAUUAUGUUGCCUUCUUUAAACUAACUUUAAUUAUCUAUACAUAUAAAACAAAGUGGUCCCAUCAAGGGGCUAAAUCAAGAAUCAAGUGGGGCGAACAGGAAACAGUGGCAUCAAUUUUUAAGUCCAUAAGCUUUAAUAAAAGGAAUAAAACCAAGGAUAUGAAUAUGUUAUUUUUUCAUUUGUUCAUGCACUGGAAGAUCUUUCCUCUUCAAGCAUUGAACCAGCAUCCUUCUGUGCAAGUUGCUGUCGGAACCUUCUAUAAUUGUCAGAAGUCUGUUUCUGAAAUAUACAGAUAAAACUUUUAGCAAGUCUUGACAUUGCUCAUCACUAGGACAUUGUACUAGGAUACCAAUUCAUCUAAUUAGGGUUAAGUUGGCAUCUCGUACACUAUUUUUUAUUUUUCCUUCAUCUUUUGUUCCCAUUUGCAGUGGAAGUGGCACUUAGAAUAUCUGAUCAUGAAGAAUUAGCUUUCGGUGAGAUGAUACUAGGUCAAUUGCCAUUAUCUUUUUGAGUUACUGUGCGAGCAAUCUUGAAAAUAUUUUGGGAUAAAUAGAAUUUGUGCUUAUCAUAAACAUGCUAAACAUCCAAAUCAAGUGCUUUUACUAUUGAUAUCAAAUCAGUAAUUGAUUUUAACCUUUAUGCUUAUCUUUCAGAUUCUCAAUUAUGUAUCUUGAAUAAUGAUAUUAAGCAGAAAUCAUGAAUUGAAUUGCUUUAAUUAACUGUGCCUUAUCAAGCUUGUCAGCAGUGCUAUUGCUACCGCGAAUCAAAUUCGCUGUGCUUCCCGCCUUCUCCAAAUAAGCCACAAGCCCAAUUAUAUCCGCCCUCCUCCCAUCUCCAAGGGAUCAAAAAAUAAAAUGACUUCAAUCAAUUUUCAAGUUUUCCAUCUUGAUCAGUAGACCACCCGGCAUGAAUGUUACCCUCAGUUUAGGAAUAGGAAUUCCUUUUACUAAUCAUUUGGCACUAAAAACUAUGACCCCUAGCAAUUCAUUCCCUCCAUUAGAUAUCUGGGGGCAUCUUGGCUCAGCCAAAAAUGAUAAGUCAUUGCAUUUCACAUUGCAUUCAUUUGUAUUAAUGAGCUAAUUUUUUUUCACAGAAUGUGAUGUGAAUCGAAUUACUUCCAACCAUGUGUCUCUAUAAGGGUUUAACAAAUGUAAUUUGCAUUGUCUGUACACUUUUUUUUCGGUUUCUUUUCUUUUUUAUGCAUGAUUCAUUAGUCCACGGAUCUUCUAUGCAAAGUGUGCAGGCCAAACACCUCCUUCAAUGCAUUAUUCUAGAAGUUAAGACUCAGUUUACUCCUUAAUUGAUCUGUUCCAUUUACUUCAAAUCAUUUGAUUACAUUAAAUGAAUCUUGAAAUUCAAAAAUGCAUCAAAGUUAAAAGACCUUCCAAUGCAUUAAGAAAUCAUCUGAUACAAAUAUAUGUGAACCUGCAACAACAAUAAUGUCAAAAUGGAAAACUUAGGUAGAAAAUAUUAGAACGGAAACUUACGACGAACUCAAUUUUUGGCGCCUUUCUUCUUCUCAUCUUCUGAUCCAAGAAGCUCUUCCAACACCGUGUCAUCCAAACACUCGAACUCAAUGACUUGCUUUUCUUGCCCAGAAGAGGAACCUCCCAUCUCUAAACUCCUACAAGGCCCAGAAGAUGACGAGGAAGACGAUGAGGAUGGUGAUGGUGGGGGGCGAUGGGAGCCCAUGAUUUCAGAAUAGUACUCAUUAGGAAAGUUAAGAAUGGCAAGAUGACCCCUUAAGUUAAAGGCCGCUCGAUCAUAGGCGCGAGCUGCAUCCUCCGCCCUGUCAAAUGUGCCUAGCCAUAGACGAGCACCUUGCCUAGACGGAUCCCUAAUCUCGGCUGCAAACUUCCCCCAUGGCCUCCUCCUCACCCCUCGGUAUCGAACUUCUUCCUUUUCCUUCCCUUCCUGCUCCUGCUUCUCAUUCCCUUUCGAAUGAUCUUCCAUGCUAAACGUGUCGAUUUGCUAGGCGCAAUUUUUUUGGUUUCAAAUGUGCUGGUUUACGAGAGGCAUGGAUGCUUAUGUAUAUAUAUGGUUGCCACAGUCAGGUCUGACGUCACCGCUCAAUGUAUGUUCCACAGCGUGGGUUGACGAGCUUUCUGAGGGGGUUUCCUCGAAUUCAAAGCAAGUAUAAAAAUUCGAUUCUCCGACCUUUCCAAUGAGGAUCGAACAGGCCUUUUAUUAGAACCGUAUGAUAACUCCACACUGUUUUCAAAUAGUCAAUGUGAUCUAGAUUCUUCGUUAAUUUUUUCCACCUGACUGAUUGUUUACAAUUUUAUUUUUCACCGUCCCAAAUUUAAACCAUUUACGCGAUUCCCUGGAUUGCAUUUUUCUUUAAUGUUGACUUUACGAGGCAAUAGGACCCCCCAGCAACCCCACUAGGGCGACUUCAUGGGAACCAGAUUACUUUUGGAUCCAGAUAUGGUCCAGAAGAAAUAAGACAAAUCAAUUAAUGUCCACUAAAGUUUUGAUGGAACCCUUAGUCCGUGUUUCCUGUGGAUGUAUGUAUUGUAUGCACCUCAAUUUUCACCAAUCCCUGCUACGAGUCCCUUUAAUUUUGACGUUAUAAAUGUUUUUCCUGACAUUAGCAGAGUGUUUUUCUGCCGUCUUUGAGGACCUUCCACGGCCCAUAAACUAAUAAGGAUCGUCCAGUGAAUUUAGUCUUCCCCAGUUAAUUAUCCUGCGAGGGAAACUUGGGCAGUAAGUUGCCUACAUGAGUGGCUCCCGCCUACAUGAGUCAAGGGACCAUACGUCAGGACGACAACCAGUGUGGUCACACCAAAGUGGGUUGCCUGGACUCCAGGGUGGUCGCUUCAAAGUUGUCAAAUGAAGGCUAGCUUGGCAAGUUUUGGAAAACAAUUAUUGAAAAACAUUUUUCAUGAAUAACAGUUUCUAUGAACAGAUUUUAAGAAAGUUUAUUUUGUGAUUUUUAGGAAUAUUUUUAAUUUAAAUUUUUAUAUUUUUAAUUUUUUAUUAAUUUAUUGAUUAUUUAAUAUUAGCUUAAUUAAUGGAUUUUUCUUGGUCCCAAAUUAUUAAUUUAUCAAGAUUUAAUCGCAUCCAUAAUUAGUCUAAUUUCUUUUGGAGUGAGUGUGACAAAGUGCAAAUUUCUAGAGUUUUAUUAAUGUUAUUCAAUGUCAUAAUUUAACUAAUUAUAUUAAUUAUUUAUUAAUCAAAAUAAAUCAUUCACUUGAAAUAUGAUAAUUUAAAUUAAAAGUUUCAAUUAUUUAUUAAUUAGCAAAGUAUGAACUUUUCUUCUUGUUUUAUUAUUGUUAUUCCAUGUAUAUAAUUUAAUUAACUGUUUCCAAUAUUAAUCAAUAAAAAUAGAAUAUAAGCAUGAGAAGAAUUAGUAAAAUUCAUUGAUUUGGAAUUAGAUAGCUAGAGGAAGAACUUCAUCAUCUUCCCAUUACUUAAAUUUGUAUAAAUUCUAAAUAUUUAAACCCCCCCCCCCCCCCCCCCCCCCAAAAAAAAAAAAAAUGGUAAAGAAAGACUCCCCAAGCUUUCUUGGUUGGUGUUACCCUAAAAUUUGUACAAUAAGAUGAACCAUUUGGCUUAAAGCUUGGUGCGAAACCCCUUAUCAAUUGAAAAUAUCAAUGAAGUUGUUGAAUGGUUUUAGAGGACUAUUCUUAUGCAGAGUGGCAUAAGAAGCGAGGAGAUGAAGAGCGGAGAGACGUUAACAUCGGAUGCUGCUACGAAGGUGGGAAUACGGUUAAUUAAUUAGAUUUUGUGAUGGCUUUGAGUUUGAAGGAGUUAGUUUAAUGGGUAUUAUUAGUGAACUGAUAAUUGGAUUUGAUGUAAAGAAGGUUGGUCCAUUGGAUUAGCAAUUGGUUUGGCCUUUUGGGGGCCCCAUUUCCAAAUGCAUUGCCUUUUACAAGCAUUCAACAUCGCUGGACGUAACCAGGCUUGGUUCACCUAAAAGUAUCGCAUGGAUUGAAUUGACUAAGUUUUCAUUGUAGACUAGCCUUGAUUUUCCCUUGACCUGCCCACCAAAUCCUGAUGCCCACGCGAGGGAAUACCUCAAUUUUCUAAUAAUUUAUGCAGUUUCUCUUCAAAGCUCGUGUGAUCACUUGGGUCGGUAAAAUAAUGCAUUCCUCUACUUUUUCUCCCUUCCUAGAUGCAUGUUAUACCAUUAAUUCAAAUGUGAACAUGGGCUUGGCUUUGAAACUUGGUUCAAGGCCCAACAUGUUGACCCACAAUUGAGGUGUAAUUGAAUUUGUACACUUUUCGACUUUGAUACCAUUUGUCAUUACCAUUGACAUUGGGUCAUUGUUGAUUUUGAGUCCACAACUUUUAAGGUUGUUAUUACAAUUUUAAAUUGCGCCCACCCAAUUUAUAUGCAUUAUCCCUUAUAAAUACCGAUAACCUCUCUUUCUUCGAUAAUAUAAAAUGUCACAUAUAUUAUAUAUCUCAAUGUUUUCUUUUACUUUUUUUUUUUUUAUCGAUCGACAUUCUCUCUCAGAUGAUAUGAGAUGUCACAUAUAUUAUAUGUUUCAAUGUUUCUUUUACUUUUUCUCUUUUUCCUCAUGAUUGACAUUGUCUUUCUCAAAUGAUAUGAGUUGUCACAUAUAUUUUAUGUCUCAAUGUUUUCUUUAACUUUUUUUCUCUCUUCUUUAAUGAUCGACGUUCCUUUUCUCAGAUGAUAUGAAAUGUCAUAUAUAUUAUAUGGCUUAAUGUUUUCUUUUACUUAUUCUUUCUUUAUUAAUAAUCGACAUUUUAAGCAAUAUGUGAAUAUAAAGCAUUAAAAUUAUCUCCAUCGUUUUUGGAUGUGGUAUAAAUACACAAUUCUUAUUUUUGUUUUAAAUAUUUCUAUUGCUAUCUAUUGAAAUUUUAUGCAUGAAGCUACCAAGUUAAUUAUACAUAUAUCUUAAGAUUUUUUUUUUUUUUUUUUAUAGGAUAUAUUGUCCAUGAAUAUUUUCUGCAAUGGUAUCUUGUUUGAUUACUAUAAGAAAUAAUAUAUAUAUAUAUAUAUAUAUAUAUAUAUAUAUAUAUAUAUAUAUAUAUAUAUAUUAUAUUUCAAUGUUUCAUAUUUGCUUAAAAUAAAAAUUAUAUUUUAUCACAAUAUUUGGUAUUAAAAAAAAUGAAAUCUCUCUCAUUUAUUAUUACAAAAAAAUUAUAAUUUAUAAUUUUCUAAAUAAGUUUUAUUUAUUUGCUAACUAUAUUCAUGAUUAAAAGAUUUAAAAUUUAUAAAUAAAAAAUAUUAUGUCAUGUCAUUAAAUAAAUAAAAAUAUAUGUAUAUAUUAAAAUUAUGUUUUAUUGUAGCUUUUAAUAUUUUUUUUUUUAUUCUUUUCUUUUUUGAACUACAAUUUUAAUUUUUUUUAAUCAAAAUUUUUUAAUUUACAAAACGAGUAACAUAAAACUUGCCUUUGAACUUUAUUGGAAUGUUAUAUACUACCAUUUGGCUUUCAAGACAUUAGAAAAGGCAUAAGUGUCCCUUUUAUUUUUCCGAAAGGCAUAUUAGACUAUAGUAGGAAGUGUUGUAUAGAGGCAACUAAAAGUUGCCUUUAACUUUAUGAAGUCAUAUACUCCUCUUUGGCUUUGAUGACAUCAACUAGCAAAUUGGAUUUUGUUUCCUUUGCAACAUUUUUCCAUCCAUUAGCCAGUUUUUUUAUACUGUUUGGUGCUUGCCAACAUGGCACACACUAUGGUUCUUAAAAAGUAUUUUUUUUUUUAAGAUACUACGAAAUAAAAUACACGAUUGAAAGAUGAGUCACAAUAAUUUUCAAAACUAAAUUUUUUAAUAUUGUUAAGAAAAUUUGACCACCAAAUGAUUGAUUUUAAAUUACAAAUACUUUUGUUAGCUAAGAAAUUUGUUGUUCUAUUUGUUUCCCUAUAAAUAUGACAACAAUCAUAAAUAUUUUCAUUUUAAGAUAAUUUUCAAAUAUCUUCCAUUAAUAAUAUAAUAGAAUUAGGAAUUUUUUUUUUAGUUAUAACAAUCUAUAAUUAUUUAAGAGUCUUCCUCAAUCUCUAGGUUUAAGAACUUAUUGUUCUUAACAACUAACAUGUCAUCUCUUAAAAUAAUACAUUCUGCAAUAAUUAUUGAAAUAUGAUAUAAUAUAUAUAUCUACUUACAACCAUUUUUGUAGUACCAUUAGAAUUUUUAAUUACCCAUUCUAAAGUAUUUUUAUUCUCUAUUCUUAAACCAUCAAAAUUUAAUUUAAAUCUUUCAUUAAUUGGAUAAAUCCAAUGAAUCUAACAAGUUAAAGGAUUAUGAAUCCGACAAAACAGUUGAUAAUAAAUUAAUAAUGCCAUUAAUAUGAUUUUAAUGUGAAACACAAUUAUCACAUUUAAUACAGUUAGUCCUUGUAUGAUUAAUGUUUUGGAAGCUAAAAUCAAUCUUUUGACUAUAAUAAGAGUUUCUACUAUUUCUAUUUUUGGAUGAUUUUAUAUUUUUCUUAUUGUUUUAGUUUAAUACAAAAAAUAAAAAUAAAAUUACAUUAGUAGAAUUUUUUUAACUUACUCAAAAACCUAUUUUAGUUGAAUGAUUUUUUUAAAAAAAAUAUAAAUAUUUUGUUAAAAGGGAUAAAAUAACCUUACCUUGUGAAAAAGACCUCUUCACCCAAGAUUACUUGUUCAUAAUCCUUUUAAGACGAAAAUGCCCCCUUCCUAAAAAAUAUUUCAUCUUAAACUUAUUUUUCUUUUUAUUGCCCUUUGUUCCAUCCUUCCGGCUUGGGAGAGAAAUUCAUUCUUCUUUUGCGAAGAAAAAUUCCUAUUGCGAUUUUUCAUUUCAAGUGGAAAAAAAAAUUCUUAUUUCAUUUUAAAGAAAUUGUACAUUUUCAAUCUUUCUCUUUGUUCCUAGUUGAGGGUUUUUUUUGUAAUUUUAUCUUAACACUACAAAUUUAAAGGUGAGAUUAAAUCUUAAUGGUUAUUAGUUAAAUCACAUAUCUAACUUUGUUUUUGUCAGGACCUAUAAUAUGAUUGGAACCACCAUCCAAACUUCAUUAGGUGGGAUACUCCCCACCCUCCCCCUCCCCCCGCGAAAUCCUUGGAUUUUAGUUUUGACUUGGAUUUCAAUUGCCCGUAUCAAUUUUUCUUUAUUUAUUAAUUUAUUAAUUUUCAACUUUAACAAAAGCCUUGAAUCAUAUUUAAAUUCAAAUAACUUAAUCCUAAUUAAGUUCUUUUUAAAUAAAAAUUAAUCAUUGAAAAGUUCAUGUGACUAUUAUAAUUGAGAAUUUAUCCCAAGUUGGGUUUUUUGCAAAUAAAAUUUUAUUAUAGGACAUCAUGAUGCAACAUAACAUAAGGUUGUUACUUAAGUUUGUUUUGACCUUGUAAUAUGUUAAAAUGAAAAUGAAGCCAUUGUAACAGGAGAGAAUGAUGAAGCUGUGGAGAGAGCUUAACAAAGCUUGGGUUGGAGAGACUUCACAGGAAGAGAGAGAGAGAAAUAAAGGGUAAAAUUAUCAAAAGAGAAAAGAAAAAAAAAAAAAAAAAAGAAGGUUAUGUCUUCAAAUAAUCAAUAAGAGAUGUCAUUUUUCUAAUUUUCAAAGUUCUUUUGGUCCUUCUCUACAAAUAUCCCUAUAAAAAUAUUAUAAUAUCAAGUUAAUUUGUCAAUACCAAAAUUUAUAUUUUAUAUUAGGGCGACUAAAUAACAUAUAGAAAGAAUUUUAAAUGAGUAAAUCAAAUCAAUUUUGAAACCAAAACUUAAUAAUUACCAAACUUGUAAUCUUAGUCAUUAAAAGUGUACGAUGAAAUCUAAAUUAUUAAGCAAUGAAACAAAAAAUUAAGAUUAAAAUACAAAACGUUAAAAUCAAGAUACAAACUAUUAAAAUGUAAGUGGGAUAUGAGAUGAUAUUAUAAAAAAUAGUGUGAUCCAACAAAAAGUCUAGUACAUCAUUAUCUUCACUUCCAACCAUGUUUAAAAGGUCACAAGUUCUAGCGGUUUCCAAGGACAAUGUUAAAAAUAAUAAAAAUAAAUCCAAUUAAAUAUUAAUUAAUUUAUUUGAAUUUGAGUCCGACAAAAUAGUUGGUAAUAAGUUAAUAAUGCCAUUAAUAUGAUUUUAAUGUGAAACACAAUUAUCACAUUUAAUACCCGUUAGUCCUUGUAUGAUUAACUUUUUAGAAAUUAAUAUCAAUCUUUUGAUUAUAAUAAGAGUUUCUACUAUUUAUAUUUUUGGAUGAUUUUAUAUUUUUCUUAUUGUUUUAGUUUAAUACAAAAAAAUAAAAAUAAAAUUACAUUAGUAGAAUUUUUUUUAACUUAUUCAAAAAACCUAUUGUAAGGUGAAUGGUUUUUUUAUUUUUUUUUUAAAUAUAAAUAUUUUCUUAAAAGGGAUAAAAUAACCUUACCUUGUGAAAAAAGGCCUCUUCACCCAAAUUUACUUGUGCAUAAUCCUUUUCAGACGAAAAUGCCCCCUUCCUAAAAAAUAUUUCAUCUUAAACUUAUUUUUCAUUUUUAUAACCCUUUGUUCCAUCCUUAUGAUUUGGGAGAGGAAGUCAUUCUUCUCUUGUGAAGAAAAAAUUCCUACUGCCAUUUUUCAUUUCAAGUGAAGAAAAAUAUUUAUAUUUCAUUUUAAACAAAUUGUACAUUUUCAAUCUCUCUUUGUUCCUAGUUGAGGUUUUUUUUUUUUUUUUUUUUUUUUGUAAUUUUAUCUUAAUUGUACAAAUUCGAAGAUGAGAUUAAAUCUAUAAUGGUUAUUGGUUAAAUCACUUAUCUAACUUUGUUCUUGACAGAUCGUAUAAUAUGAUUGGAACCACCAUCCUAACUUUAUUAGGUGGGAUCCCUUUUUUUUUUUCCCCAAACCCUUGGAUUUUAGUUUUGACUUAUAUUUCAAUUGUCUGUAUCACUUUUUCUUUAUUUAUUAAUUUUCAACAAGUUCUUUAACAAAAGCCUUGAAUCAUAUUUAAAUUCAAAUAACUUAAUCCCCAUUAAGUUCUUUUUAAAUGAAACUUAAUCAUGUGAAAGUUCAUGUGACUAUUAUAAUUGAGAAUUUAUUCUUAGUUGGGUUUUUUGUAAAUAAAAUUUAGUUAUAGGACUGUGAUGAUCCGUUCUCAACCGUAUAAAUAUUGUUCGUUUUGAAUUCAAAAUAACUUUUACGGCUUUAAAACAUGUUUACAAGAUUAAGAGGAGUCCAUAUUUAUAUAGCUUCACGAACUUUCCCCCCUAUUCGAUGUGGGAUGUCACAAGGACAUCAUGAUGCAACGUAUAACAUAAGAUUGUUUCUUAAGUUUGUCUAACCUUGUAAUGUGUUAAAAUGAAGAUGAAGCCAUUAUAACAGAAGAGAAUGAUGAAGUUGUAGAGAGAGCUUAACAAAGCUUGGGUUGGAGAGACUUCAUAGGAAGAGAGAGAGAGAGAGAGAGAGAAAUAAAGGGUAAAAUUAUCAAAAAAGAAAAAAGAAAAAAAAGAGGGUGAUGUCUCCAAAUAAUCAAUAAGAGAUGUCAUUUUUCUAAUUUCAAAGUUCUUCUGGCCCUUCUCUACAAAUAUCCCUAUAAAAACAUUAUAAUAUCAAGUUAAUUUGUUGAUACCAAAAUUUAUAUAUUAUAUUAGGAUGACUAAAUAACAUAUAGAAAGAAUUUUAAAUGAGUAAAUCAAAUCAAUUUUGAAAUCAAAACUUAAUACCUACCAAACUUGUAAUCUUAGUCAUUUAAAGUGUUCCAUGAAAUCUAAAUUAUUAAGCAGUGAAACAAAAAAUAUAAGAUUAAAAUACAAAACGUUGAAAUCAAGAUUCAAACUAUUAAAACGUAAGUGGAGACGUAAGAUGAUGUCAUAAAAAAUAGUGGGAUCCAACAAAAAGUCUAUUAAUCAUUAUCUUCACUUCCAAUCAUGUUUAAAAGGUCACAAGUUCUAGCGGCUUUCAAGGACGAUGUUAAAAAUAAUAAAAAUAAAUCCAAUUAAAUAUUAAUUAAUUUAUUUGAACAAUAGAUAGGACCAAAAUAAUAUUCUAAAAGGAAUCAUAGGGAAGUCCUUGGACAACCUACGACAUUGAACAAAGGUACAGUGAGACAAUGCACUUAGCCCUUCCUUGUCAUUGCGAUGAAUAUAAAAAGACACCCUGAUUGAGGGUGCCCCACUAAGCCAAGAGUGAUUCUUUUGUAUUGUAUAACGUGAAUAUUUUUGAACUUUGAAUGACCCUUCCUAUAGUCAUCAUUGUCAAAACUAGAAAAUCAGAAAGAUGCGAUGUACGAAGGCACCAUUGAAUAAGAGGCUUAAUUCUCUUUGGCAAUUAGGAUAAAGUUUCAAAAUAGAAAAAUUAAACAAAUGUACAGUGUACGGACACUUGGGCAUUGCCUAUUUGUUUUGUUCUUCUAGAGUUGUAUAUGGUAAAGGUCAUAUUGGGUUGGUUCUAUUUGGUUAUUGAAGUCGGCUAGAAUAUUAGAUUUGGUUUCAAUCUAAUCCCAUAUGAUAUUAGAAUACCAGCCCAUACAGAAUUUUUGACCAAAUAUAAUAUUUCUUUUAAAUAUAAAUAUAGUAAUUAAUUUUAGUCUAAGAUUAAUUAUGUAGUUUCCUAAAGAGACCACUUCCUAAACGGUAGCUAUGUGGAAGUUGGGCCAGGUCCUGCCGAGAAGGUUUCCACGAGCUGAGCCCAAAACUGAGUAGCUGUGAUGGGAUCAUUCUAGCAUUCAGCCUGAAACUUGUAACAUAACGGAUCGAGAGGCCUGAACUCCAAGACCAUGGUUCGUCAGCCCAUUAACUUCAACAGCACGCAUUUUAGAGGACUGGGCUUGCAAGGGGUGAGGUUUCCGGGCCGCGACCCCAAAUAUGAACAGCCUCAGAAGUGAUAUUGCUUACUGGCACGUGAAGAGCGCAAGCGUAACUAGAAGAUUUGUAAUGCCGCUUUAAUUGUUUGAUUAUAGAAUCCCACGCAUUACGCAUGGAAAGUGUAAAAGAUAAAAGAUGUAGAAUUUUUUCUUAGAGAAAAGUUCGUUUGGAUAUAGUUAUUGUUUUUUUUUUAAAUAAUAAUUGUUUUUUUUAUAAAUUAUAGAUAAUCUUAGAAAUUUAUCUUUAAAAAAAUAGUUUUUAAAAAUAUUUAAGGAGAAUAAAAGUGAUAAAAAAAAACUUUACAAUUUCAAAUUUUUAAAAAAUGAAAAUUAUUUUUAAGAAUAUAAGUUAAUCUCCUGCAUUUAAAUCUUAGGUGGUUUUUGUUUUUUUUACUUUUCGCUGAAAACAAUUUGUUUUCAAAAUUUAGGUCAUUUGUUUUUUCUAUUUUUUCAUGAUUUAUUAUAAAUUUUUUACUAAAUAAAAAAAAUCAAAAUAUGUAACUUUUUCUAAAUAAAAAAAAUAACGUAUUGAUUUUUCUUUACUUUUUAAUACUUAAUAGAUAUAAAAUACUACAAAAACAAAAAAUCUAAUAUUUAACACUAUUAAGCAUUAAAGUUCUAUUUAGAAUUAAGUAAAAAAACAAACACCACCUUAUAUUUUAUAUAAAAGUUACUUAUAUUUUGGUUUUUGGAAAUAAAAAAUAUAAAGCAUAUCCAAACAUGAGCUUAGCUAUUUUAAAUCAUAUCAAAAUAAUAAUCCCAAUAAGGUAAAUGGACUUUUAUACGGAGAAUAAUCUUUAAGGUUUUCAUUUUUAUUGGAUUUUUUUUUUGUGGUGUUUUUUCAAUCCAUCUUCUCAAUUAAUUCCUUAAAAUUAUUUUACUGUUUUUUUUUUUUUCAGUUUCUAAAUAUUUGAUUUUUCCAAAAUGCUUAAAUGGAAGACACUAAUUUUUCAAGAUAUUUGGUAUUACAAUUUUCCCUGUUCUCCCUAUUAUCUAUCAGAUUCAUGGCCCUUUUGUUUUUUCAUUGGUUUUCAAUUUAAUUUUCCAAAUAUUACAUUGUUGUGUUUUGAAUUUGUGAAACCAAUUUUAUAUAUAUAUAUAGUAUGUAAGUCUACUUUGGGUAACAUGUACAGAGAGGUUUUCAUGUGUUUGAAACCUUUUACCUCAAAAAUUAAUUAUUUUUAAUUUUAUAAUAAAUCUUUUUUUAUUUUUUAUUUUAUUUAGGAAAGCCUAUAUUUAAACUACAUGUUUGCAACGCAACACCAUACAUACUCCUAGUGGAACUUACCUUAGUGCUUGAGGGGGAUGCAGAUCUUCUUCUAAACCUAACUAAUAAGCAUAAAAUUGUUCACUAAUUAGCAUAUCUAGUAAAUCAUACAAAUUGGCAAUAUUUCAUGUUUUUCAUGUUUUGUCAAUAAAAGGCGUCUUGACCAUUUUGUGAGUUUUGUAAUAAAUAAAAAAAAAAAAAAAAAAAGGGCAAAAGGUGACUAAAAUGAGGCACUUUGGAAAGGUUAAUAACCUAAAAGGAAGAUGAAUUAAUACCCCCUUAUUCCUCUUCAAAAACCAUUGAGAAAAUGCAAGAAAUGCUCUUAGUUGUAUGCUAGGCUAACAGCCUAGCAACCAUAAUACCCUUCUUUGCAAUUGUAAGCAUUUUUUUUUUUUUUUUGAAGGCCAAACAACGUUGCAAACUUCCCAAAUCCCUUCUUUAUUUUUUAUUUUUUUAUUUUUGUUUUUAGAAGGAGAAUGAAUUUGAUGACAAACUCCUUGUCAAUCUUAUCCAAACCACGAUCGAACAGAACUCCUUGUCAAUCUUAUCCAAACCGUGUUCCACCUCAAAAACAUGUGUAGGACUUAAGGCAGCAACUGGCAAGCAUGACUGAUAGGGCCAAGUGCCCUUGUCUCUACAAUCCAUUAAGUUAACCAAGGGCAGUGAACCAUCAUUCUUUUCAAAAGCUUCAUUCCGUGUUGAAAAUGUGAGACUGAAGCAUGGUGCCCCCAAAAAUAACGAUCUAUUUACUAGCAGCAUGCCUGGACCCAUUAAAAAUACUCUACUUUAGGAAUAGAAAAAAUUACAUCUUUAUCCAAUAAUUUUAUAACAAUUCAGACGUUUCAGUCUAUAAAUAAUUGUACAUAGUUGCCAACGUUUAGCUAGUUUCAAAUGAAUAGCCUAGGUUCAUGCACCAGUUUGGCUGGUGGAGGAAAGGGAUUCGAGACAUUGAACCCUCUUUUUAGUGUGCCAAAUAUUCCACAAAAAUCACUACCUUCUCUUUGUGUUUGUUCACUUUUAGUUUAUAUUUAAUAAAUCUAUGUUUUCGAGUAGAGGUUGGGUUCAGGUGCGACCCACGUCACCUCUCGGACGGUCUUGAAAAAGGAGACCGGACCACGUAAUUUCAAAUGUAGUGACCAUCUCACUUUUACCUCCAUCCUUGAAGAUGGUUUCCCAAAUCAAUAUUAAUCUUUUGUUUACGACAAUAUCGAUCACUUUAUGUCUAUAUCGUUGUUAAUUUACCUUUUUUUUUUAGCCACAUUAUUUGAAAAUUGAUGCAAACUUUACCAACAUCUUGGUACCAUUUUAAAAUAUUAGAGUUAUUUGAUUAAAAAAAUAAAAUAAUCUCGAUAACUUGUUUAUAAAAUAAAUAUCUUUUAACAUUUAGACUAUUCUCACGCAUGCUUUAAAAUUGUAAAGAUAUUCAUAAAGUGGAACUUUAGACUUAAUCAAUAUCGAUCACUUUAUGUCUCUAUUGUUGUUAUAUUUUUUUUUUACAACAUUAUUUGAAAAUUGAUGCAAACUUUACCAACAUCCUAAUACCAUUUUAAAAUAUUAGAGUUAUUUGAUUAAAAAAAUAAAAUAAUCCCGACAACUUGUUUAUAAAAUAAAUAUCUUUUAAUAUUUAGACUAUUUUCACCAUGCUUUAAAAUCAUAAAGAUAUUUAUAUUCAUAAAGUGGAACUUUAGACUUAAACAUGAUAAUAGUUUUUUUACAAUAUUAUAAUUAUUUUAUCGUUUUAAUUAAGCCCUUUAUCAUACAUAUAAAUGUAAAUUAAUGCUAAAUUUUUAAAGCAACGUAUAACCUUUUACAUCUUUUUUUAAGAUGGUGCGAAAAUCCUAUGAAAAAUAAUAAAAGUCGAUGCAUAAGAAGAUUGUUUUGAUAAUUCAAUAGAAAAAUUCUUUUAAAAUGAUAUUAAAAAAUACCCAUAGAGCCUUUAUUAAAAAAAUCAAUUAUUUUCAUAAUAAAAAUUAUAAUUUUUUAUUAUGUAUUAUUAUUUUUAAGUAUCUUUAUUACAAAUACUUUUUUUGAGUUUAUGAGAGGAAUCAACAGGUUGGUACAAGCUUAGGCGUCCUCGUACAUGUUCCCGCUGUGCAAGGUUUUUGUCUUGUUUCGAGCUAGUCGGAAUUUACGUGUUUGAUAACGUUUUGUCCUAUUUUUGUAACGCUUUAAAGGGCGGCCCACCGUUGGAACAGUUCAAGCCAUCCAAAUCAGCCCGGAGGGUUAUGGCGACGUGGCAUGACGCCUACCACCUUAGUUCACAUGAACCCUAUGAUCGUACUACCCUCACAUGACAUCUGUGAUUCUUCACCUCCAAACCCUCUUUAACUUGGUAAUGUAUUCAAAGCUUCAUCAAAUCAUAGCGAUUAGCGACCCUCUUCCACCCUAAUUUUAUAAUAAAAAAUAAAUCUUAGUGGACAUUAAAGUAGUAUUUUGUGGGGGGAAAGAAAAACUCUAUGGGCGUAUCCACUAAAUACGAGCCAAGUAUAAGAGUUAUCACCAUGGAAUCAAAUUAUGAAGCAUUGACAUUUUAAUUGUAUUCAGAUUUGAGGAGGGCACCGCGGCACCAGCUGGCCCAGUGUAGUCUGCUAGCCUACCCGCCAUAAUGACCAAAUUAAUAAAGUAAAAAGGAUUACAGGGAUAUUCCCAACUUUAUUCUGGGUCUGAGCUGGAACUUGGGAGUUAUCACGAUCAACGGGAAAGAUGGUGGGUAGGGGACGAGGAUUGAGGGCUCCAUAUUCACAUCAGUGAAAAACGAAAUGUAUUGAGACAAGUCUUCUAAGGAUUUUCUAGCGUAUUAUAUGGUUUAAAUGAUUAUAAAUCUGUAGUUACUGGUAAAGAGUAGAGAGUGAAGACGAAAGACGUUGAGUGAAAAGGAAGGAGGAGAGGGGAUGGGGCCAUCUUACCGUGUCGGGGAGGAUCCAUAAAAGGACUACGUUCCCUGAAUCUGUAGGCAUCAUGCCUCGCCUAACGGGUUAGUCAAAAUACAGUGAUGUGUGUGAGUUGGGGGCCUCACUCCUCAUUUCUUUCCUUCUUUUCACCCCCACCCCCACUUUUUUUUUUUUUUUUUCGAAUUUUUCUUUGUCCUUUUCUCUCACUUGCGCACGCGGGAGAAGGACCACAAACUAGACAAUUCCUCUGCUCACGUGACCCCGAGUUUUUAAAUAUUUGCCUAUUUGGAAAAUAGUCAUGAAUCAUGAUCGUUAACAAACAAUCUUCACUUUAUUUAUUUAAGAUCUAUUUUUUGGAGCUCUAGUUUAGUUUAUUAUUAUUAUUAUUAUUAUUAUUAUUAUUAUUAUUAUUAUUUAGUAACUCCUCUUAUAUUAAUGAAAAAGAGAGGAGGAAUCCAAACUUGUUUAUUCUUCCUCUUUUAAGGUGUUUGUUUUUUUUAUUUUAUUUUUAUGCUUCAUAUGUCUUCAAUUUCUUAGCAUUUGUCUUAUAUUUCUUCUUAUCCGAUUCAUUAUUGCAUCCUUGGUCAAUCUUUCACGAGGAGUGCCUACUUUUUUCCUUUUUAUUAUUUAAUUCACUUUAUCUUUAUAUUUUCCUUUUACACUUUAUUUCCAAUUCAAAACGUGUCAAAAAAAAAAAUUGGUAACAAAAAAAAAAAAAAAAAUCAAUUGUAAUGAUUCUUAUAUAAUUUUAUUUAAUUUUUAUUAAACAAUAAAGAAAUUAAAAAUAUAUAAAUUUUUAAAUAAUUAUUAUAGUCUUUCAUUUUUGUGUAUAAUUUCUUUUGCAAGAAAUAGUGUAGGCUUUCCACGGUCUAAAGGAAAUGGAAUAUCAAAUGAGAAGGUAAUAAUAAUAAAGUGAGUUAUAGAUACUAAUCAAACUAAUCCACUAAUGAAUUAUUUAUUUUUAUUUCACAUGGACAAAUCCUAAAAGUUGGAGUUCUAAUUUACUUUUAUGUUAAGCUUUUUUAAGUAAAAAUCUUUUAUUAUUAUAAUUUAUAGACAAAAAGAAACCCAUUAAUGUGAUGGAUAAAAAAUUUCAAUUUAAAAAAAAAAAAAUUAAAGUUGCUAAAUUUUUGUAUUUAUUAUUUCAAACUCAUUUAAAUAAUUUAAAAAUAUGUCUUCAAUUAAUUUUAAUGAAACAAAGCAUGAUUUUUUUUUAAUUUUUUUUUCUUUACCAAAUAAAGCAUUAUUAUAAUACGUUGAUUAAAUUUUCAUCAUGUCUCUCAAGAUUUGGAUUAAAUAUACUUAGUUGUCAUAAAUUUGAAAUUUUAUUUAAUGUAUUUUUUAUUUUAAAUUAAAAAGAUGAAUGCAAAUAAAAAAAAUAUGUAUAUUUUAUAAAAUUUUAAAUUAAACGAAGGAUACGUGUAUUUAACCAAGGUGAAUGAAAUUAAUCCAAAUACUUUUUGGUAACUUGCAAAAUAUCUUGACGAAAUCAUUAUGGCAGGCAUCGUACAAGCUCAACCCUUGUCGCCUUGCUAGAAAUAGAGAAACAAAAAGACCCCCAAAUUGGGUUGCAUCCUAAAUAUGAAGAAGUGGUAACAAAGGAAGAAAAAAUGCUGUGUUAUUGAAUAGUUAAUACAUUGAACAUGAUAUGUUACAUAGAGAGCCAGAUUAAUCCUAGUGGAAUUCCACUGUCACGAUGGUAACCUAGGGUUAUGUUUGGUUAUUGAAAAUACCAAGAAAAGAAAAAAAAAUAUAAAGGAAAAUAAUUUUUUCAUUUUUGAUUGUCUUAUAAAAGAUAUAAAAAAAAAACAAAUAUAAUUAAAACUAAUUAAAAAUUUAGGUAUUUUUAAAUUAUUUAAUUUUUAUAUUAAUGAGCGAAAAUAAAUAAAAUAAGUUUAAAAUAACAAAAAAAAUAAUUUACCGAUUUUUAAUCUAUAUUUUAUUUUACUUUUUCUUUGUAUUUUUUUUUUCUUAUAUUUUCCCUCAAAUUUUCUGAAUCAAACAUAGCAAAAAAGGAGCUACCCCUUUCGAAAGAAACUCCCAAGAAUUUCAAAGAAACCUGCUGAGAUAAUGAAUGAGGGAUCACUGUCGGUAAACAGUAUCCAUUCUUUUGGGAGGACUUUCAAACUGAGAAGUUGUUUUCAUGACUUGGAAACAAAAUUUUGAGCUCUAAGGGGGUCUGUAUUUGGGCCCUAAAAUUCAAUCCAUCAAUCUGAAAAAUGCUUAGGAUAAUGAUUUGAUUUAGCCACAAUCACUAAACAAAUUCCAGAGGAAAAUUUCGCUACUCAUAGGUGGCUGAUUCUCAUAAAAAGACAUCGUGGUAGGGUGUCUCAAGUGCAGGCUCACCAUCAACUUGCUGCCCUUUUUAGAUUAUUGUAAAAUGAUUUCACAUGAAGCCCAAUGCAAAACUUUGAAAGAAAAGGUUGGUGGAGACGUGAAGAAUAUGUAACCCAUAGGCCAUAACUAGUACCGAAGAUUAUUGAACAAACAUUCAAGGUUUUUGUAUAGACGAAACUGAAAAGAAUGUGUACCAGACUCAGGCGUUCAGAUCAGAUGAUGCCGUAAUGUGGAUUGUGGAGGAGCAUUGUGCAGACAGAUAAUGAGAUUCUGAAAGCGAGGCCACUGAUGGGCCCUUGGAAGGGGGGCGUGCCUUCAAAAUUAUAUAUAUAUAUAUAUAUAUGUCAUUGAAAAUUGGAAGCAACUUUUCUUCUUAAGUUAUUUUAAUCGAAGAAGAAACAAAAAGUUAAAAACAUACAUUAUUCUUCCUUCUUACGAGGUUUCCGGGUCUAAAUUACUAUGGUCUCUGCAACUGGCGUCGUUUUCUCUCCCCUCUCUCUAUUUUCCCUUUAUUUUUUCACUUUUAGAAAGAAGCAUCCCAUCAAGAAUCUACUACAACCCUACGCUUCCAUUUUGAUUUAGAAAGUUAAAAAUAAGUUUAAGUUAAAAAAAAAUAUUUUCUUAUAUAAUUAUUUAAACUUAUUUCUUUUCCUUUUUAUAUAAAGAAACAAAUAUUUUGCAAAUAAAUAAAUUUCUAAUUAUUUUCAUUAACAUAAUAAUAAUAUUUUUCAUAUGACUUUAAUCACAAUUUUUUUUACCACUUGUCCAAGGCGGUGAGAGGUGAUAAAAUGUAUUAAAAAAACGAUUAAAUUGCAUUAGGUAUAGAAGUUUUGUGCUUCAAUUAUCACUUAUAAAAAUAAAAUAAAAAUAGUCAAAUUUGAGUGUGCAAGUUGGUAUUCGUAUGUAGAAGGAAUUGGGGGAUUUGGGGGUCCUAACAAAUUUGAUAUGAUUGAUGGAAGGAAAUGAUUAUUAUAGGAUAAAGUCCGAAUGAAACGCUGACGAGGGGGGAAAAACAACAGUGGCAAUGCACUAUCCACAGAUCCAUGAUUGAUUUAUGUUAGCAAUAAUGAAUUAUUUUGACUUUGAUAACCUUGGUUAAGAGAAUUUGGUCUUGUUAUUAUCAUUUUUUCAAAAAAAAAAAGUGUAGGUAACUAGGUAGUUGAUUUAUUAGAAUUUAGAAAUGAGGAUCCCCUCCUCCUGCAAGAGCCGUGACAGACAUGCCUGCUUUCUUGCCAGAUUAUACCAAUGUGCCCAAAUAAUCCCCCAUCUAUCAUCUCUGCACCCUGGAACACGUCACUCCCUCCUUUGAGCAAUAAAAUAUCUCUUUUAUUUUCUUUUGAACCACUCUUCUAUUUCUUUGUACCAGACUGGACCCAUUUAAAUUCUUCGCUACGCUGUUCCCAAGGACUACGAGAAUCAAAAUAGCAAAAUUCUUGAAUCAUUUUAAUGGGUUCAGAAACCACAUGUUUCUCUAGAUCAUAAGAGGAAAAUCUUUUUGGAUGGUGUUUGUGUUGUGUUGUGUUCAAUAUUAAAUACUCAAUUAAAUAAGCUAAAUCAAAUAUCACAUGAAAAAUAAUCAAAUUAAAAAUAGGGAGAAUUAUGUUUUGAGGGUAGAUGGACCCCAAAUUAACAAAAGGUUCAUGUAACUCUUCAAAUUGAGCCCAGACCCAAUGAAAAUAUGGAAAUUGAGUUGAAGUAUAUCAUCAUUCAGUAUUUCCAAAAAUGUCCUUUGUUGAUUUUGAGAAAAAAAUUAAUAUUUUUGAAAAAUAUUUUUAUGUAAUUUAAUAUUUUUUUAAAUACUUUUAUUUAAUUUAAUAUUUUUAAAAAAUAAAUUUAUUUAAUUUAAUAUUUUAAAAAAUAUUUAAUUUAAUAUAUUUUUUAAAUACUUUAAUUUAAUUUAAUAUUUUUGAAAAAAAUUUUAAUUUAAUAUUUUUGAAAAAAAAAUUAUUUAAUUUAAUAUUUUUUAAAACUAUUUUUAUUUAAUUUAGUAUUUUUGAAAAAAAAUUAUUUAACUUAAUUUUAUAAAAUAUUUUAUAUGUGUUCUUAAAGGGUAUAUUUGUCCGUUACUAUUUCAUAUCCUUCAACUCAAUUUAAAGAGUUAUAUGGACCUUUUGUUAAUUUGGGGACCCAUCUACCCUCAAAAGAUAAUUCUCCCUUAAAAAUAUAAAUUUAAAUAUGACAUAAUUAUUAAAUAUGUUAGAUCUUGUAUGAGUUUAUAAGAUUUAUGUUUCAAAAUAACAUGUUUAUAAUUCAUCUAUUGAUUUAUAAUCAAAUUUUAAAUAAAUUAAAGUUAUUCAAGUUAAUAAAUAUGAUUUAUGUUAUAAAGACUAACUAAAAAAUAAUUUAUUAAUUAAACGGAUCCUGGUCAAUAAAAAUUUGAUUUAAAUACGAUCAUACUUAAUCAAAACUUAGGUCAAAUUGUAUUGAUAAAUUACAUCAAAACCUUGUUGUGUUCAAUAUUUUAUAUUAAACUAUUUUUUAAUAAAAUUAUUUUUAUAAAUAUAAUAUUACAUCAUUUGGAGAAACAAAAUAGUAUUAUAUUGAUUUUACAUAUAAAGCAACCAGUUAACCCCUCAUUAUUUUGAUCCAUUUCACAUCCAUAUCAUUCUCAUAAUUUUUUUAUAAUAUAUUAACAUGAUGGACGGUAAUUGAGGGUAGAAAAAAAAGAUGAGAAGAAUAAAAUAAUGUGAAUCCUCUCUAAAUGUUACAUCUUCUGACAAAUGAAGUCUAUAGAAAUGUGUAAAAAAAAAAAAAACACUUAAUUGUGAGGUUCACUUGAUUUAGCAAAAAAUUAAUAUUUUAUUUGUUGUGUGAUUUAAAAAUAAUAUUUUAUUUUUAAAAAUAAAAAAUUAUUUUUAAAGUUUUUUAACACUAUUUUACUAUUGUUCUUUGAAAUAAUUUUUAAAAUUAAAAUGAAAUAACUAAUAAUUUUUAGAUAAUAAAUUAAAGUUGUUUUUAUUAGAUUUUAAAAAUAAAAGAAAAAUAUAAAACCAUUUGAUCAAAUUUUUUUAAACUUAUUUUUAAAAGGUUUUUUUUUUUUUUUUUUUUUUUCUAUCCUAAGUUAAAAGAUAAAAAAUAAUUUUUAAAGAUAGGUUACGAGCAAAUGCCACAAACUUUUUUCUUCUCUUUCCCUUGUUCGGAUAGAAGUGAAAAAUAUCCUCCCAUGGAUCGACAUUACGUGAGCCAUCACCAUUCCCCAACUGCAAUUCAACCGCCAAAGCUGAGGUGUCAUUAUUAGUUUGAACAAAAGUCAGCAUUGUCCACGUGGUGACAAGCGGAACUGACCCAACUUGCAAGGCAAAAAAAUAAAUAAAAUAAAAUGAAAAAAUCAGAUCACCAUUAUGACGUCAGUCCAAUUGCUGACCUGGCCGCCGUCCCCCAUUUGACCCACGUGUUCAUUUAACCCAUUCGCCGUAUGCCGUGGCUCCCCACCCAUAUGGCCAUAUCUGCCAUUUAUUUUAUCCGUUGCCUCCAUUCGGUUUUUGGAUUUUACCCAUUCGCCCUCGUCUAUUCCCAUUUCCGUAUUUGCCCACCAAGGAAAUUCAAUUCCCAUGCUUUUGUUUUACAUUCAAAUCCUCCCCCCUCUAUAUAAAGGAGGGAGUAGGGCUUGAAAGUUUCUCAAGCCAACAUGGACUGUUGAGAGUGAAAGACAGAGGAGCCACAAACAAAUAUCACUCACUCAAACCAAAGCCAAAACCAAUACCGAAUUCAAUUCAAAUGACUUCUUUCUCUCUCAUCAAUUCCCUGAAUUCCGAUUCCGAUUUCAAUUUGUUAUCGGAUUCUUUUUCCUGGGAAAACUCCCUACCUUUCAAUGAAAACGACUCCCAGGAGAUGCUCCUCCUGGGCAUGCUGGCCAGCUCCACUCAGGAAACCUCAGAAACAGUUUCUUUGAAUCGAGUGAAGGAGGAAGAAGUGACUUCCCAGGAAAAUCCCGAGAAGGAGAAGUCAUACAGAGGCGUUAGGAGGCGGCCAUGGGGGAAAUUCGCAGCAGAAAUAAGGGACUCGACCAGGCAUGGCAUAAGGGUGUGGCUGGGAACAUUUGACAGUGCAGAGGCAGCUGCUCUGGCCUAUGAUCAAGCUGCUUUUGCGAUGCGGGGCCCUGCGGCAGUCCUCAAUUUCCCGGUGGAAAGAGUGAAGGAAUCGAUGCAGGAGAUCAAGUGCAUCUUGGAGGAGGGGGGCUCACCAGUGGUGGCCCUCAAGAAGAGGCACUCUAUGCGGAGAAAAAGUCCUUGCAAGAAACAUAAAAGUGAAGAGGUGAGGUUAGAAAAUGUGGUAGUGCUGGAGGAUUUGGGUACUGAAUACUUGGAACAGCUCCUCACUUUCUCUGAGACCUCUAGUCCUUGAUCAUCAUCAUCCAUCACCUGGAUAGCUUCUUCUCUUUGCUCUGUUUCUUACUUUUCUCUCUCUCUCUCUCUCUCUCUCUCUUUUUUUUUUAUGUAAUUUUUCUUAAUGUAUUUUUGGAGAUGGCGGGGGUGUAGUGGUGGCAAUUAUCCAUCUAGAAUUUUUCAAAAGAUAUGUUCUUUUGUUUCUUUGUAUAAAGUUGAAAAGUGGGGAUCAAUUGUGAUGGUGCUCUAUGUUCAUCCACCCAAUUUAUAUAAUCAAGGUGAUUAAUGUUUUUUGAUAUCAACAAUUUGUGAAUGACAUAGAGAGAGAGAGAGAGAGAGACCUUAUUUUCUACACUCAUUACGGUGGUUUCCAUUUGGGGAAGGAAAAGGAAAUGGCUAAGAAUGUUACCAAAAGAAGUGGGGUGGCUUUCAUAUGCGUGGUGGCAUACUUGCAUACAAACUUUUCAAUUGUGUUCUGCAUGCCACUCGGGUCAAUUUCAUUUCUUUUACUCCUAGUAGCCUAAUUGGAUUUCCUUUUUCUCAUGAGACAUCAAAUAAAUUUCAUUUUUUUAUAUUUAAAUAGUUAGGUAAGUUUGAUAGUGAGUUAUAUUUUAUACAUUAAUUCAUCUUUUAGAAUGUUGUCUACAAUAUAAACAGUGUAAUUAAUUUCAUCAUUACAGAACAGUCAUCUUAUAAAAUAACAUAAAAAUUAUUGGAUCACUUGUAUGGCACCACUGAUUUGGACUUGGUAUGGCUCUGUUUGGCUUCAUAGAAAAAAUUUGGACCCAAUUUGAAUGUCUUGCAUAAAAAGAGAUACGUCCCACUUUGAAUGAUAUUGAAGAAAAAAAUUUCUGAUGAAGAAUAUAUUGUUGGCAGGGUCAUGCAGGCCAAUAGGGAAACGAUAAAUUCAGAAGAAUGAGUCCAAACCAGUGGGCUUGAAAAUUAAGAAGAGAAUUGCUGUAUAAAACAAUCAUUUCUUAAUCGAGUUCACUUUCUGAAUAAUCGUCACUUUGAGAAUGCAUACUUAGGAAGAUGAUGAUCCUUAAUGGGAAUAAUCAAAGGCAUCAAAAAAUUGUUCUGGAACAAUUCUUGAUUGUCUCCAGUAAAAUUCAAAGUCAAAAGUCAAAAGUCCAGUCGGUCAACACCAAACCAGGCCAGUCCAAAAGACAUUAAUUUGCAAUCUAGAAUCUAUGAUGAGGUGGCGAAAUCAAACCUUGGCUUUUCACCAGGGAAUGGUACUCUGAAUUUGGUCAGUUCACUGUUUCGAGUGAAUAGGGUGUAGUAAUUAGUAAAUCAUAUUUUAGAUUUGUGUCACAAGUUACAAGGGAUAUGGGCUGACGUUCAAUUUUGGCGACAAUUUGUGGGCCCGUAUAUUUGUUGAGAUGUGGAAAUUGGGUGUGUGCUUUUUUCUGCUACCACAUAAAUAUAUUUCUUUGAAUUGAAGAGUGUUUCAGACCAUUUUUUUUCAAGUCACAAAUGGACAACUGAUUGAGAUUGUAUUGGUGAGAGUAGGAGUUUAUUUUGGGCUGGUUGAGCGAAGUUGAAAGUCGAGUUGGACCUAACCCUUGAAUUCAGCAGACUACAGUCCGAUCCUGUAUUUUGGAUUUAGGGAACCUUCUUUCCCAGAAGCUUCGUCUGGGUUUUAAAGUCUAAAUGUGGCUACUCUUAAACAUUGGAGAAAGGAUGAGCGUUCACAAGCAAAUGGGUAAUUGUGGAUGGUUCAAGGACCUGGCCAGCUGGUCUUCAAGUUUGGAUGCCGGUUUGGGCCUGAGAGAGUCUUUGCAAAGUGACUUCACUUCAGCCUAUGAGAUCAAGAUAUCAUGGUGAUGUCCGAUCACUUAGGUUUCAUUUUCACCUCGGAUUACCGUUACCAUGUUCAUGAAUAAAAAUAAAUAAAUAAAUGAAGCCUUAUAGAGAAAUUAAUGAAGUGAGCUAUACAAGCAACUGGGCCAGGAGCCUACAAGGCAGAAAUUCCCUGCCCUAGACUAGGCCGAAUAAAUUAGAUGAAUGAAUUGGGGAAACCUGGGCCAGCCACACAUCCUCCUGAAGGCUGAUGUCGAACUCGCUUACGAGGAAUGGACAUGGGAGAUUGGGCUGGGACCAAAUAACCAAUUGACAGCCCUAUCCUUGUGGCAAGACGUCAGUAAAAUGGUUCAUUCUGAUUUUACGCUGCCAUUCAAUUUAAUUUUAAUUUUUGUUUAAAGCGAUGUACAAAUUGAAUGGUGUCUAGUCACUUAAAGAGUGGUUCAUAAUACACUUAAUUUAAACAAAAAAGAAAUUAUUAGAUAGGGGAUUCUCCAAUAAAAACCACCCCAUCUUGUCAGCAAGUCCGGAAACUUCCUUCACUUAGGGCGUAUUUGUUUUUUUAACUUUAAUAUUAAAGAAAGUUGGUUAAACCUUAUGACACUUUUAUAUUAUUUUAUGAAUUUUUUUUAAUUUUUAUUUUAAUGGAAUUUUAACUUUAAUACAAGUUGGAGUAAUUCUUAUCUUAAAAACAAAUCAAAAUUACUUUAAUUUUAUAUAGAAAUAAACUUACAGUAAAUUUACCAUGAAAAUUUCUAAGUCAAAUACACCAUAAGUGCUAGUAUUUUAUAAUAUUUAGAAACAUGUUAAAUUAUUAUUAUUAUUUUUUAAAAUUAUUAGUUUUCAUAUUAGUUUUAGGGAAACUUGUGCUUUAGGUCUUUUAUUUGCAAAUAAUAUGGUUUUCAAAUCCUAAGAAUAGAAAAUAUGAGAAUCAACUGUUAAUGUGGAAAAUAAUAUCAAUUUUGUGCAAUCUCUAUUGACUCAUUUUUUUGUGCCUAGAUUGCCUUCACCCACUUCCAUGUCAACAACCACAUUAAUAGAUUGUUUUUUUUUUAUAAAACAAAUAAUUAUUAUGUUUAAAAUUUUGGGGAAACUCUCUAUCUCUCUUACUUCUUCACUACAUCCGAGACCCAUCUUCCUUAAACGUUUGCCUCUCAUUUUGCCCUAACCCCAAAUCUCAUAAAUUUCUCAUUUUCUUGCCUCAUUUGAAAUAUGAAGAUGACCGAUUCUCAAACAUCUCUGUCUCUCUCUUCACGUUUUGACCAGUCUAAUUGGAAACCCAUUUUCCAAAAACCUUCUUUCUUUCAUUUUGCCCUAACCCCACUAUCUCCCUCUUCAAGACCUAAUCACCCAAACUCGAUAUCUAUCUUCCCAAAACCUUCAAGCAAACUGAACUAGACCCAUAUCUUCUUUUUUCAUCAUCAAAGGUGAAAUUUUUUUAAGGCUUUUGGAAACCGAAUUGGAGCUUUCCCUUCUUCUGGGAUUAAUCAUUCGCAAGUGAGUUUUCCAUUUAAGGCUUUGUUUGGCUGUUGAAAUCUUGGGAUCAAAGGUCUUUUAUUUUCAGGUUUCUUGUAUUUUGCUUUAUUUUCUUGUAUAUAACAAUAAUCAUUGUAACAUAUGCUAGUAGUUACCCUUGGUGCAACUUUACAUUUCCAAAUACCCUAAAGUCCAAAGCUUUUAAUUCCCUUUUCAAAGCUUUCAACUUUGAAAGCAGACUAAACCAUAAGAACUAUGAAACUUAUAUCUCUAUCACCACUAAUUAAGCAUGUCUAUGAAUCCUUCCACUUUAAGUCACUUAUUCUCAAACCAAGAAGGGCUCCUCUCAUUCUCACCCCACCUCAUCUAAAUGAGGGAAAUGAUCAAUUGCAGCCAUGCUUUGCACCAAAUUAGAGAAGUGAUCCUCCCAAUCAUCCAUUACCAAAAAUUGAUCAUGCUGAUGAGAUCAUAAGAGUCUAUUCGGAACUCCCAGUUUACUUGCCUCUUAUCUCAGGAUCCUCCAUUACCCCCUGUCUUUCCAACAUCAAAUCAACUUGCAAACAAUUCCUUUGUAGAUAAAAUGUUUUUAAUAUUGCAAAAGGGGACUUAUCAUAAUGGUUGAAUCGAUUUAUUUGAUAUAAUCACUCAAAUUCAAGCUUAAAAUUGAUCAUAAUAAAAUGUUUUUAAUAUUGUUAAAAGGAGAUUAUAAUGGUUUUAUUUGAUAUCAUUACUAAAAUUCAAGCUUUCAAACAUGCUCUACAAAGAAGUUCUAAAAGACUACAAGAAAGAGUUUCCACUAAAGAAAAACAAUGAAACCAUUUCUACUAAAGACAAACAAUGAAACCACAGAUGCUUUGUGAAAUAUGUACCCGCACAAUCCAACAAACUUUAGAAAUUCACAAACACUACCUAGAAUUUUUGCUGACCAGCAAAAAAUUUAUGCAAUUUAAUUCUUAUUGUUAUUAUUAUUUUCAAUGUGAACAAAUAUGAUUGAAUUAUGAAGUAUUUGGCCAGAAGAGGAUCUUGCCUAAUUAUAGUCAUUAAACAACCAUUUAUACCAUAGCCUCUAGACUUUAAAAAGUUUAUAAAACUCAAGGGCUUCCACCCAAUUUCUAGAUAUCUCCAUAACAUUCUUCUGACUAUUAGAAAGCAAUUACCACUUUAAUUUUUCAUUUCAUGAGUGUUCAAUUCAGAAAAAGACCAGGAUCGAACUUGCGAUCAUGCAGUCGAAAAUCCACCUGUGCAUGAAACUAUUGCCUCACGAUUGCAAACUCAAGUUGGAGUCCAGUAACAACUCUAGGUUUGCUGAUGUGCUCCAUUUGAAAUAAAGGAACUAAAGAAUACUUUAUAAAGAUUAAUUACCUUCAUAUUUUAGGUUGGGGUUAAGGCAAAAUGUGAUAGAUUGAGAGGAAGAAAAUAUAUCUUGUUCAGGAAGCCAAUAUUUUGGAGUUCACCUUUCCAUUCGAGUCCACUCUGCUAUAGCAAAAUCAGAGUCACAACUAUGCCUCUUUAAGCUAUCCUUUAAUUGGAUGAAUUGCAGAUUUGGUUGCUGAGAAAGUGGAUAAGAAAGAAAAAUGCAUACUGUAGCUUGAGAUUAAGAGUUUGUUUUCUAAAAUGAGAGAAAGGGAAAGAGAAAAAAUGCAUAUUGUAGCUUGAGAUUAAGGGUUUGUUUUCUAAAAUGAGAGAAAGGGGAAGAGAAAUGUUCGACAACUUUGAGAUGACAAAUUUUUAGAUUUGGAAAAUUUGAGAUGAGUCUCAGGUUUUUUUUUUUUUUUUUUUGUCUUUGUCUUUGUUUUUUUUUUUUUUUUUUGUUUUUUUCCCAAAAACAACCUGUUAAUGUGGUUGUUGACAUAGAAGUGGGUGAGGGCAAAAUGGGCAUAGAAAAAAGAGUCAACACAAAGUGCACAAAACCCAUAUUAUUUUCCACAUUAAUGACUGAUUCUCAUAUUUCUUGUUCUUGGGAUUUGAAAACCAUAUUAUUUGCAAAUGGACCUCCCAAAGCACAGGUUUCCCUUAGUUUUAUGUCUCCAUCUACAUUUUACAUAUAAAUAGAUUAUUUUAUAAAAUUUGUUUUGUAGAUAUAUUAGUUAAUAAUUAUAUAAUUAAUGAUAUAGAAAACAUAUAAAAAUCAUAUUUAAAAAAGAUAAUUACAUAUUCCUCAACAAUCCAUCCCAAGAAUUCGAGGUUGAGUUGAAAACAUGUAGAGUCUUUGAUGUUAUUAUAAUCAUAUCCAACACAUAUGAUUAUUGUUUAUGAGAUAUUAUUAGAAAGUUUGUCUUAAAAUAAUUGAUUUAUUACCCACCUUUAGCAAAUGCCCAUUUUUGCGUCUUUCAAAAUUUUCAUUUUUUUUUUGUUUAAAAGAAGUAUUGUAAAGAAUGAUGAAAUAAGAAAUUUGUUGAGAAAGUGUGAGUAAAUAAUUUUACAUAAAAAGAGAUUUAAUACUUGAUAAAUAAAAUAAUAAAAUCAUGAUUUCUAGUUGUAUAGGGCCGGGUGGAUGGAGUGGCUAAGAUGUAAUUCUUGAAAUAGAGGAGACAACAUCAAUGUAUAAAAGUUUAACAGAGAAGGAAAGUGUGUUUGAAUGACUUUAUUUUCUUCAUUUAAAGUUUUGACGAUGAGUGUUUAUACAAGAUAAAUUUUCAAAUGAUAGGACUCCUAUUUACAUGGAGUUUGUGAUAUACUAUGAUUAUACAAAUUUAAAAUUCAAACAGAUUCAUGAGUUGAUAGGAGUCUGCUCAAUACGCCCCUUCAAAAUGGUGGGAGAUAGCACACCAAUCUUGACUCGAAGGGCCUAAACUCGUGCAGAAGAUGAGGGCUUUGUUAGAGCAUCGACAAGUUGAUCCGUGGUUGACAUAUGGGACACCUUGAGCUCACCUGAUUAAACCUUGUUUCAAACAAAAUGAAAAUCAAUCGCCGAUGUGUUUCAUGGAGAGUGAAACAUGGGAUUUGCACAAAGAUAUGUUGCACCCACGUUAUCACAAGAGAUAGGAGGUGGUGAUAAAUUUGAAACACUAAGUUUUGAGAGAAGAGAAUUAACCCAAAGAACCUUUGAGGCUGUAGAGGCCACGACGUGAUAUUUCGCUUCAGUGGAAGAGCGUGCUAUGAACUUUUGUUUCCUCGAUGACCAAUACACAAGAUUGUGACCAAGAAAAACAAUGGGAGCAUUGGUGGAGGAUCUGACAUAAGGAUUCCUUGCCCAUUCAACAUUCGAAUAUGCAUGUAGAUUGAUGGGCGAUUUCUUAUGCAAGAACAGACCAUGCACCAUUGUGCCGACUAAGUAUCUAAGCAAUCUUUUAACACAAGACCAAUGUGUUGAUGUUGGAUGGUGCAUAAAUUGAGAUAAUUUAUUCAUCAAGAAGGUGAUGUCAGGGCUAGUAAGAGAGAAGUAUUGAAGGCUUCCAACAAUUGACAUAUAUUUAGUGGGACCAGGAAAAGAGGUGUCAUCACACAGAUUUGGAACAUUGUUGAGGAACAUCAAUGAUUGAACUGGUUUGGUAGCCACCAUUUGUGUUUUCUUAAGAAGCUCUCGAAUGUACUUGAGAUAAAAAUAAUCCUUUGGAAGUAUGUAUCAUUUCAACACCAAGAAUAAAAGAUGAAGUCCUGAGAUCCUUAAUGGAGAAUUUGACUGCUAAUUGAGAGAUCACGCGAGCACGAAAAACAUUAUUGUUACUUGUUAAAAUAAGAUCAUCAAUAUAAAUAAGUAGGUAAACAAUGAGACCACUCUUUUUAAAAAUGAAGAGGGAUGUCUCGGUUUAGGAGUUGACGAAGGCUAUUGAGAGGAGAAAUUGGCAAAGUUCAUGAUACCAUGAUCGUGGAGCUUGUUUAAAGCCAUAAAAAGCCUUACAAAGUUGGCAAAUGUGAUGAUGUGUGUAUUCGUGAACCCAGGAGGUUGAAUCAUGUAAACAUCUUCAUGAAGUGUCCUAUGCUAGAAUGCAUUAUUAAUGUCCAAUUCAUGAGUUGAUAGGAGUCUGCUCAAUACAAUGUGGGAGUGUGAUUUCAAAAUUAGGGUAAUUUCGAAAUGGAUUUUGUAUUCACAAGUUGAAUUUCAAAAUUAUUUUGAAAUGGUCUUUUAACUUUAAGCAGUUGUGUUCAAAAGGUCAUAACUUCUUCGUUUCAAUUUUGAUUUACACAUUGUUUAAAACAUUGGACUCUUUACUUCCCGAGCUUCAAAACGAUAUAUAGUAUGCUCAAAAAUGACAUCAGGAUUGGUUCAAAUUUCAUCUUGAUAUUAGAGUACAUGUUGUGAUUAGAUUUUGAGUUCCAAAUUUCCAUGUAAACUUGAUUGCAUUUGCUUCAAACCUCCUUCAUUAUGGUUGCUUGCCCUCUAUCUCACUUUGCAACAUUUGUUACUAGUAUUUUAUGUCCAUGACUUACUCAUUUCAACCUUUCUUGGAUUCUUCAUGGUUCACAAAUUAUGGAUUCUUCAUGGUUCACAAAUUGAGUCUUUCAAUUAUGCAUGUUUAACUCCUAUUUCCUUGGUUGAUAAUGACUUUUACACUUAUCAUUUUCUUUUAUUCUUUAAACCUGAAUUUAGACUUACAAAAAAAAGUUAGAUCCAUAACUAGGGUCUUAGCAUCAAUUUGAGUUAAGUUGGAUGAUUUGAAAAUUUUAUAUUACAUAAAUCAUAUCAUACAUGUGCCAUUGGAGUGCACAUUUUGGCUCUAAUCAUGUUCCAACCCAUUGUUUUACUCUUGCAUGAAGUAUGUGGCCAUUGAUUUUAAUUUUAUUUGCGAUUAGGUUCAAAAUGGUGCUUUUGUGUUGCUCAUGUGUCAUCAGAAGAUCAACUAAUGGAUUCUCUAACAAAACUACUACAUCAUAGUCAUUUUUUUUUUUCUUAAGACCAAGAUUGAGAUCUCCAAUCGGAGCCAACUCCAUCUUGGGGGCAUGUUAGUGAAAGAUAAAAUUUAUCUUUAAUUUAAAUAUUAAUAUUUAUCAGUUAUUAGUUUUAAUUAGAGUAAAAGAUAGAGUUUAAAUUGGAGUAGGAGAUAAACUUGUGUUUGAACUAGAAUAGAAGAUAAAGUAUAAAGAUUUAUGUUUGAAUUAGAAUAAAAUAUAAAGUUUGAAUUAGAGUAGAAGAUAAACUUGUUCUUUAUUUGUAUAUAAAUAUUCAUCAAUUCUUGAGAAGAAGAUUAUUUCAUAGUUUUUCUAUCUUCUUUUUUCUUCAUACAUAUCUGCAAGAAAUUGAAGAUUUCAAGUAAAAUAUUUUCUGUUUUAAAUAGUGAAAAAAGCUAGAAAUUCACUUUGUUAUCUCUUGGGGUAAAUUGACAAGGUUUAACGUUAAGAAGGUGAAUUAUUUUUUCAGAAAAACUGAAGUAGCUAGGAUAUCUGGCCAGUUGUGAUCGAUAAAAAAGUUGUAAAAUCUCUCAUAUACUAAACAGGUUUUGGAUGUUGGUAUGGUAAAUCCAUCUGCAGUCAUUCGUCAUCUCAUCUAGUGAGAUGUUUGGGAGGUGGUGACCGCCGGAUUGGGUUUCAUUUGGUUAAAUCUGUCAGUGGGUUGGCUACUACCCGAGCCUCUUGCUUUGGGGGAGGUGGGUUCUAGAUAUAAUGUUCAAACCAUUUUAGUUAUCAUAUGCAUGACAUGUAAGCAUAAUCUCUUUAUCACUUCUUCAAUGGGAGUUCAUGGUUAGGAAUUGACUUCUUUUCUUCUGGGAUGCUUGGCAUGUAAUGGACAAAGUUACUUUUAUAUCGAUCGAAUUUCUAGUAUUAUAGUGAAGACUUACCCUUUUGACAUUUUAUAUCGAAUUAUAGAAGAUGAAAGGGACAUACAUGCAAUCGACUGACGCUUUAGUGAAUAUGCUGAAAAUAUGCUGAUGCUGUGGAGAUCGUAUGAGGACAGAGGAAAAAGAUAGAAAUGGAUAUAUAAUUAGACCUAGGUUUUUAUUAAAUGAGAUGGGGAACAUAGAGUGAGGGAAAAUCAAAAUUUUUGGCUGCAGUUCACAUUGGUGAUAUUUUGGAUUGACAAAGACUAACGACUUUUCUAUUUUUCUUUUCGGCCUGACUGGAUAGUUGGACAUGGACAAUACAGAAUCCACAGAAGGAUUGUUGGGACCGCUGAAAAUUAGCUAGAAGAAGCUGAGGAAGUAGUCUACGUAGUCAAAUACCAAACACAAAGAAAGAAAGAAAUGGAUAUCAUGGAUGCCUAGAGUUAUACUCCUAAUACCGUCACAGGUAUUUUUCUUUCCUCCUUUUUUUUUCUACGAUAAUUAGAGCAUUUCUCCUCCUCCUCCUCCUCCUCCCCCCACCCCACCACCAAAAAAUAAAAAAAUAAAUUAUUGCAAGUAACACUUCAAAUAUUAAUUUAUACAUUCUAAAGUAUAUAUUCAUGAAAUAACUUGAGUAUCAUACAUUAGUUCUCAAAAAAAAAAAAAAAAAAAAAAAAAAAUUACUGGAAGAGAAAAGUUUAAGAAAACAUAAAAAUAUUCAACUACUAUUUUAAAGAGAAAAUUUAAUUUUUACACUAUAAAUUUGAAGAGAACUUUUACAUGCAUCUUAUAUAAACUACCAUUUUUUGCUAAAAGGCUUAAAUUUGUCAAAAAUACCCCUUAGGUGCUUAACGUUCUGGUCAUAAUAUAAUUGGCAUCUUUUCUCAAACAUAAGGCCUGUGUGUGGGAACAAGAUUUAAUGUUAAUGAGCUUCGCCACCGACAUUUAGUUCCAGAAAUCAUUAUUUUAAUAGAGUGGGCUCAAUUUACAACUUUAAUUAAACUCUAACCAACUGCAUUGUGAAAUGAAUAUGUUUCUUUCGUGGUGAAUCCAAUGAGUUGGGAGUCAAACUUUGCUUCAUUGUGUAUAGAUGAAAUGUUAAGACUCCAUGUAACCUCAAACAUUUCCGCAAUNNNNNNNNNNNNNNNNNNNNNNNNNNNNNNNNNNNNNNNNNNNNNNNNNNNNNNNNNNNNNNNNNNNNNNNNNNNNNNNNNNNNNNNNNNNNNNNNNNNNUUCUUUCGUGGUGAAUCCAAUGAGUUGGAGUCAAACUUGCUUCAUUGUGUAUAGAUGAAAUGUUAAGACUCCAUGUAACUCAAACAUUUCCGCAAUGAGCGGGAGUUCUAAAUUUAAUAAUUGAAAUUGUCAGUGGAACCAGUGGACAAGAGUUGGUUUGUGGUUGACAAACUUAUCCGUUUGAUCUUUACUUGAACAGUUCCAGUGUGUGGAUGGGUACUGAUGAAGUGUGCGCAUUUAUUUUGAGAAGCCUGCUUGUUCGCAUAGAUUUUAACGACAUGAACAUUGUGGUAAGGUUAGAGAGUAAUGCGAAUGUAGGAGCUUAUAUUAGAAAUGACACAAACACGUAAAUAGAAGUAAUCUAUAUAUGAUAUUACUCAUGGACUACAAGCAAAGAAGUACAAUACAUGGAGUAAGUGAUGAAAUGAGCAUUCCUCACUACUACUGCUUGACUGAUGGAACAUGAUGCACGAGAUAGCAUAAGUAGUAGUAGGAAGCAGCUCUUAUUUGUGGCGUCGGUAUACAUCAUACUAGGUAGAUGGUUCAAUUGGCAUGGAUGGGUGGUGGAGCCUUGAAGUGCUUGUGAUGGGGAGCCCACGGCUUCUUCUCAGGAGUUGGUGGCUUCUUGUAUGGAGUUGAUGGAGGUGUUUCUACUGGAGGGUGGCCAGGGUAGUGACCCUGGGGUGGUGAAGGUUCUUUUGUCGGUGGUGGCCUCACUAUUAUUGGCGGUAGAGUUGGUGGCUUGGGCGUUGGCGGUGGUCUCACUACUCUUGGGGGUAGAGUUGGUGUCUUGUGUUUUGGUGGUGGAGGUGGCUUAACAGGAGUUGGUGGCUUGUAUUCUGGGGGUGGUUUCUCCACCGGAGGUGGCUUAUAAACUGGAGUUGGUGGCUUGUAUUCUGGGGGUGGCUUCUCCACUGGUGGUGGCCUGUAAACAGGGGUUGGUGGCUUAUAUUCUGGGGGAGGCUUCUCCACUGGAGGCGACUUAUAAACAGGGGUUGGUGGCUUGUAUUCCGGGGGUGGCUUCUCUACGGGAGGUGGCCUGUAAACAGGGGUUGGUGGCUUCUCCACCGGAGGUGGCUUAUAAACGGGGGUUGGUGGCUUGUAUUCUGGGGGUGGUUUCCCCAGUGGUGGAGACUUGUAAACAGGAAGAGGUGGUUUGUGCUCAUAUGGGGGUGGCUUGUGGUCAUUAGCAAGUGAGGGAGUGGUGAGGACCACCAAUCCAAGGAACAACACGAGUGAGCAAGCAGAAGACAUGUUUGGGCUCUGGUGAUGCACAAGUAGAAGAAAUGGGAACCAUUUAUAAUGCUUCGAGACCUUGGUUAGCACCAAAAUAUGUCAAAAUCUUGAUUACUUCAUUUCAUACAUAGAUUUAAAAUUAUUUCAAUCAACCAUGAUCCUUAAUUUUCUGGGUGGUCCAUAAAUGUAAUGGGGUCAAUUUGGGACCUAACAAGCUGAGAAGUUUGACAAUGCUGCAAGGCUUCAUCCGAAAGUCCGGGGAAGAAUAUUAGGAGUUACACUCCGUUUCCUUUUUUGGGUGCAUUUUUCUCCUUUAACAUUCUAUUCCCUUUUACAUUAGCAUUUGAUCUUAGCUCAUUUCAAGUACAAGUUUCUUGAACCCUAUACCAUUGUCAAAGUUGAGUAACCAUCUCUACUUUGCUCAAGAAACAUAAAAGACAAUGACAAUAAAGAAAAAGGAGAGAGACCAUACGUGACUUGGUUUAUAGGUGGCUUUGUGUUGACAUUUGAGUAUGGAAGCCGACAUGCAUCUUAGCUUCGAUUUUAAUUAAAUUUGUACAUUAGUGUCUGUGUCAUUCAUUUUGGUAUAAAAGGUCUCUUGAUUUCGUAAGUUUGGUAAGAACCGUUGAAAAUAGCAGUAGCAGCACAUGGUCCACUUUCUUUCACAAAAUAAUUUUAAAAGUUUAGAAGCAUAGGAGGUAACAUUAGUGGCCUUGUGGCUCAGCCACGAGUACUAUGUGGUGCUCGAGAAAUUGAGUUUAAUUUCCUUCCGAUAGUUCAUGAUAAGGUCCGUCACUGUCCUGAGACAGAUUGCGUUUUUUCUUUUUUCCUUUUUUAGUGUUUUAUUGACUAGCUAGGUGUGACUUUUCCUACUUUAAGGCACGAGGCAGAAAAGAAACUGGGAUUUAGUGCUUAAGAAGGCAAAUUUAAUUCGAUUUGGAUCUAAAAUUUGCCAGCAACAUGAGAUUUUCCAGCCUAUCGUUGCUCCACAUAUAGACAAGGCACUUGUAGAAGUGGCUUGUUUGUAGCCAUUCCCGAUAUUUGGACUCACUUGAUUCACCGGACACUUUGAUAAAAUUUAAUAUUUAUUAUUUAAUAAUUUAAAUUGAUUUAAAAUUAAAUUAUACCGAAGUUGUGAUUUAAAAAUUAUUAUUUAAUUCUUACUUUUAAAUAUGAAGAUUAUUUGAUAAAAAUAAUUUAAAAUUUAUUAUAAAUUAUCAAAUUAACAUAUUUAUCCUUAUAAAUUAUAAUUAAAACAGAAAAGGUCAAAUGAUUUGAGUAUCCAUAGAUGUGGUAAAAUAAUAAAAAAGAUUAUAAAAACAAUUAUGAUAAAUAAAGAUAAAAAGUAAAAUGAAUAUGUGAAUUUAAAGAAUAAAUUAAUUAUUUUUAUUUAUUACUUAAAAUUAUUUUUGACUUUAAAUUAUAUUAUUAAAUUAUUUUACCAAACAUACUUAAUUUAGUUAAUAAUUUAAAUUUAAUUUAAGUUAUUAAAUUGAUUCACCAAAUACCCACUUAAUCAAAGACUGAAGUAUACAUUAUUUGGCCAAAUGCAGCUAUUGAAAUUUAACUUUUUCCAAACUUAUUCAUUUUGUGGAAAUAUUUUUAGAAAUGAUUUUAAAAAUGCACUAUUCUGUGUGUUGAUUUUAUAUUUUGGCAUUAAUCCAACAUAGAAAACGGUUCUUAUUUUCGCUGUUAAAUAGGUACCAGAUCCUUAAUUAGUGCCGUGAAUCCGGCAGCUUCCAAUGAGUAAUUUGGACUUGGGUAUUGACAAUGUGUGGCCAUGCUUCUACUAUUUUAUUAUUCUUGAAACAUAUAUGAUAUAUUGGACUUUAUACAGGGAAAAAAAAAAAAAAAAGUCUUCACCAAAAAUGAUUCCUCCUAAAAAAUAGACUCCACAAACUAGGUUUAACAGGAAAAUGAUUCUAAUCUAGUAGUUUCCAGCCACAUGAGCAUUUACGUAACAAUAGUAUAGUUGAUAACGACUUUUAUUUUAUUUAUUUUUAAAUAGUUAAAGGGAUAAUUUUUGAGCUUAAAUUUUAUUUUUUUAUUUAGAAACAUUUUACUUUAUUUUUUAAUCAUAAUUCUAUUAUAUUAAUGUUUUAUUUUCUAUUUUUUAAUAUAUAAGGAGAUACUAAAUUUAUGUGAUUAUUUUUUAAAAAUUUAGUAUAUGAAAUUAAAUAAUUGGAUAUAUAUACAUAUAUCAUAUAAUGUUUUUUAAGUGUGAUUUUUGAACUUUUUAGUCAUUUUAUAAGUUUAAGCUUUUGAUUUUUUUUUUUAAACUUUGGUAUUUUUUAUUUUAUAUAAAACUAUUUUGAUUUAAUUUUAUUAAAAAAUAUUGGUAUUAUAAAUUAUUGUAUUAAUUAUUUUUUUAUAUUAUAAUGUAACUGGUAUAUACUAAAAAAUGUAUGCAAGUUCAAUUUAAGUUUCAAAUUAAAAAAUUUCAUUUAAAUAUUUAAUAACUUGUUCAUAAUAAAAAAUUAAACAACAUAAUACAAAUGAAAAGAAACAUAAAAGAAAAAGGAAAAAAUGGUCCUCUCUGUGUGUCACAUUACUAGGUCAUCCUCUUUUUCUAUGACCCUUACAAUAGAAUGGCAUAUUUGUCAAAUCUACUUAUGAAAGUUGGAAUGUUUCUACAUGUGUAGGGUCCAUUGGAACUAAUGGAGGAAAGGCUUAACGUCUAUGUAAAUCACAACGUUGCCUAGGUGGGCAUAGAUCUAGUUGUGUAACAUGAGAUGGUGUGAGAGUACAAUAUAUGCAUUGUAGUCUCUAUGGGAAGAGAGAUAGGUAAUGGUAGGGUGGUAGACGGUAGGGUGAUCUCUAAUAUAAUGACAUUUGAUGUGGUGGCUUCUAAGAGAGGAGAUAUAAGAGAUGGUAGAAUGACAUUUGGUGUAAUGGUCUCUAGUGCAAUGACAUGUGAUAUGGUGACCUAUAAAGAAGAGAUAUAGGUGAUGGUGAAGUGGUAUGUGGUGUAGUGACCUUUGAGAUAGAAAAUAGAGGUAAUGGUAGGUUGGCAGGUGGAGUGGUCUUUGGUGUAGUGACAUCAAUUAUAAAUGUCUCCAAGGGAGGAAAUAAAGGUGAUGGUAGGUAGUAAAUGUUGAGGUGGUCUUUGAUAUGUUAUGCUCUAAGAGAGAAGGUAUAGGUAAUGAUAAUAGGGAAUUUGACAUAGUGGUGUUGGAAAUAAAAAGUGAAAGUGACCGUAGAGGUGAAAGGGCAAGUGUAAAAGCCUCAAGUACGAAUGGAGUAAUUAAUGUGGAUGGUGCUAACAUAGUCUUAGGUGGAUACACAAAUAGUCAUAGUCAUCAACUAGCUUGCCCACCAUCUGUCUUUCUGCUAGUGAUAGGUUACAUCUUAAUAGUAAUGGCCAACAUAAGUGGUGUGGAUCCGAUUUUUUUACGUGUGUCCCCACUCAAUCGACAAGACUUAUUUUUUAUUAGUGAAAAAUUAAUUUUGGAAAAGUUGGAGUCACCACUUAUUUUAUUUUAUUUUAAAAAGGAAAGUAAAACAAGAAAGAGAACUCUAAAGAAGUGACUUCAUAGUUUUGGAAAAGUUAGUCUUAAAAAAUCCAAGUCUUGGUCCGGAGAUCAGGUUACUUAUUGGGAAGAUACCUCUAAGAGGUAAUACCCCUCUAAACCCUAAAGAAGUCUCUAAUGACUAAGUUGAGGAGAAUGUGGUAAUUAAUUAAUUGAUUGAGGGUACCUAGGUAGACUAAGGUGAUUUCAGAAUUAACAUACCAAGCUAGAAAGUCCAAUCAUGAUCAUAAAAGAGAGUCAAAGUAUGUACCUGAACUGCUUCUCAAACGCUAUCAUAAAACAUCAAAGUUAGUAUAGAAAUAUAACACAUAAUAUUUGUUUUAUCCAAGCAAAUAAAGCAUACAUCUAAGCACCCAAGAAUCACAUCAAGUAUGGAUAUAGUCAUCAAUAGCAUACGUGUCCAUAGAACUAUCGAAAGUAAAUGUGGAGGAGCGUAUCUGGACAACAUAGAUAACUUAUAAUGUGCUUCCACAAGACAUGGGGGUUAGAUAAAAGUUAUAAUAAUAAUUAGUAAAUGAAAGAAUUCUAGCAUGUUUGGUAUCUAAAUAACAUAGCAAAAAUGAACAAGAGUACACGAAAACAUCAAUUAUCACACGAGUCAUAUUGGCUAGUAUUUAAUCAAUAAACCAACAAUAAAUGACUAUAAACAUAUAAAAUGACAUAUUCAAAGAGACCCAAACAUAAAGAGCCUAGAACACAAGCUUACACUAAAUUUAGAAAACUAAAACAUGGAAUUUUAAAAGCAUAAAUUAGCAAACAAAUUGAUGGAAACUAAAUUUAGAUAACUUAAGAAUAUUUUUCUUAUCCUUCAAUUUAAAUCAGUAAGCCAACAAUAAAAAAUUAUAGAAACAUGGAAUAUCAAGAUCAAUGGGAUACCUAAACUAUAAUUUUUAAAAGAAAAUAAACUAAGCAUAAUAUCUACAAAGCAACUAAACUAACAUUUUUUUAAAAAUAAAUUAAACAUGACAUUAAUGGAGUAACCAAACUAAAUUAAAGUAAACUAAAAACAUUUAUGAAUUUUCAAACAUGGAAUCAGCUUUCUUAGUAAAUUAAAAUUAUUAAAAUAAAAUCUAAGCUUAAAAAUGAAUUAAAUACUAACUAAAGCAAAUCUAAAACCAAAUAUUUAACACAUAGGAUCAAUUAUAUUAACAAACUAAAAUUUUAUAAGAACACUUAAACCUAAAGUUGAAUUAAAAACUAACCAAUUUUUAAAACUAGAUCUUUAACCCAUAGGAUCAAUUAUAUUAACAAAUAAAUAAUAAAUAAUAAAUAAAUAAAACUCAAACCUAAAGAUGAACUAGAAAUGUACCAAAGUAAAUUCAAAACAAGAUCUUUAACACAUUAGAUCAAUUAUAUUGACUAACUAAAAAAAAAAAAAAAAAACACUCAAACCUGAAACGAUGUAUUAGAAACUAACCAAAGCAAAUUUAAAAUAGAGUCUUUAACACAUAGGAUCAAUUAUAAUCACUAACUUAAAUUACAAUUUUUGAAACAUGAACUAAUUAGUGUUGGAUUAAUUAAACUAAUUAACUAAAAAAAACUAUAAACUAGAAUACGGUGAAUCAAGAAUUCAAAUCAACAAACAUAAAAUAUGGGUACAAUGAAAUGAAAAUCUAUUAAACUAAUAAGACGGAAAUAUGACAAACUCAUGAACCCACAUUUUGAUCAACUAGGAAAUAGAAAUUAAUAGACCUGUAGCAUGGAUACAAUGAAAUGAGAUCAGUUAAAUUUAUUUGCCGAAAUUCUAAAAAACACAUACACUCAAAUAAGAUCUAAAUCUAAGACCAAGCAAAACUCAAACUUUCUCAAUCUAAUGCAAUGAAUCAAAACUAAAAUUAAAUAGAAAUCAAACCAUUUUUUUUUUAUCUAAUAUAAUAAAUCAAAGCUAAAACUAAACAAAAUCGAAUUUUCUUAAUUUAAUAUGAUGAGUCAAAGCUAAAAUUGAACAAAGUUCAAACCUUUAUAUAAUGGAUCAAAGUUAAAUCUAAAUGAAAUCCAUACUUCCACAAUUUGAUAUAACAAAUCAAAAAUAAAACUAGAUAAAAAAAAAGUCAAAGCCUUUCAACUUGACAUAGUGAAUCCAAACUGAAACGAAACAAAAUUUUAACUUUUCCAAUGAAACCCAAUAUAGAAAAAAUUAGCUUACCUUCUUUAGAAUAUAUGUAUGGGCCAUAAAGAAGUCACCUUGGUGCAUGUGUUCCUCACUUUGACGCCAAUGGACGACUUUCUAUGGUAGCAAAUGGAGAUCCUUUUUGGUGGUAACUUGCGUGUGGAAACCUAUGGUACAACCAAUGUCAUCUUUUAUUGUGCGUGUGGACCAAUUUCUUCUCGAGAACUCAUGUGUGUUGUGCUCAAAAUAUGUUGCCUGUGAGAAUCUAUUGGUAUACCCCACAUAUGGUUUCCUUGAGAGAAUCUGUGGUUGUGUGUGGGCGUUUUCUUCAUGACAGCAUGUGGAUGUUCCCAUCUAUGGUAGAUUGGUUGUGAUGCUUUAGUGCAUGGUCUCCAUAGGAAUAGUGUGUUAUGGAAAUUUGGUUUUUUUAUUGGUGCAUGUUGUCUAGACUUUCCCAUAUGCGUGGACUGUGUGUUCAUGCUUUUCUUUUCGGAUGGUCGCCUGUGUUAAUGUGUGGCGGUGUCUACAAUGAAAGAUACAACCCUUUCUCUCCUUCUGCGUGAUAGAAAAGUCAAUCCCCCAUGGUGCGACUAUGUUCCCUCGUCCUUUUUGAAAAAUUUUGGUGUUUUCCCCCCAAAAAAUCCCCUCCAAAAAUCUAAUUAUAAAUGUCUGCUUUGGCCUAAUGUGUGUGCUACUUUUUUUUUCCUUCUUUUUAUGGUUGUGCGUGCUUUUCUUGAUACGUGGCUUAUUUCUUAAGGAUAUGAUUCGCUCCCAAUUGGUGUCUCAGCUGAUUCAUGUCCUUUCAAUGGUCCCUGACAGUGGUGCCAUUUGAUUCGUGUCCAGCUGGUGUCCCUUGAUUGUGGUCCUCAGAAGGGAGUAAUCAAUAAAAUUUAUAACCUAUUACACCAUGUAUUAGGAUAGCCUUAGCUAGCAUAGCAUAGUGGCUCUAGGGUCGUUUAUUGGGAUGAGUUUUCACUUCACAAUUGAUAUUAAUUCAAGAGCUGAAUUGGUGCCUUUUCAUUUCAAGGUUAGCUUUAAAAGAAAACAUAAUCUUUGGUGGAAAAAGGUUUGGUUUUAAACUAACCAAAAAUAGUAACUGAUUUUACUUACAAAGAAAAGUGUUCUUUGGAGUUUAGAUCACUAGGCUCAGGUUCCUCAUACAAAAAGGAGAGUUCCGAUCAUUUGUUUCUUUUCCUCGCAUUAGAGAAUUAACAUAUAGUUAAUUCUCUAACCGGUGCGGUACAUAUGCUUCCCAUUAAUGGGUUCAAACACUAAAUACCUCUCACUGAUGCACCUUGCAAUGGCUCGUGCCUCUCACCUAGCAUUUAUCAUUCAAGGUGAUCUUUAACCUUGGAUUACCCAUCAAAAGCUCGCAAGAGAUAACUAAAGGAUGUCUCCUUAGAGUCCAAAAGCUUACCAAGUGUUGGUUAUUCUAGAAAAUCCUACCUUCAAACCACCUCCCAAAGGCUCGCAAGAGAUAAACAAGUGCAUCUCAAUGGAUGAAGAUCACUUGCCUUACCAAGUUUUGGCCCAGAUGAUUUAAUGACAUUUUAAGUUAACUAAAAAGAUAAAAACCAUUAACGGGUCACACUUUCUCUUCAUUAAAAACUAAAACAACAAAACUUCCAAUUUAUGCAUGAGGAAACUUACCUGGCUUUCUUCACUUCAAGAGAUGAAGAGCCUAGCCACUCAUCAUUUGAGGAAAAAUCCUCAGAGUUUGAUUUGCUAGAAAUAAAAAUAAUGAGAAAACAAAAAUAUAUAUAUGAAAAACAGAGCAAGUUCUCUGUAAUAUAUUUUUCUUCCUUAUACAAAAGGUUGUCUCUAAGAACAAGUUCCCGAGAUCUAUCUGAUUGUAAAUAAAAUUACAACUAUAUAUAAGAGGUUAUUCACCCCUUUGUUCUUUCUUAAAGACUAAGGAAUCCUAUGAUAGGUGGGUUACAAGGAGAGUUUGGGGAUUUAGACAUCAAAUAUCUAAAGCAAAAUAUCUCAAGAUGUUAGUCGGAAAUAUCAGGAAGCUUCAGGAGAACACCGCGACACUGUAUACUGAGAGAAAAACUCUCCGGGUAAGCUCUAUCAAAGGAUCCAGACAUGUCUGACUGGGAAAGUUGAAACGUCCUUCUCUCCCAUCCGGAUGUGAGAUAUCCGGAGAAAGUGAAAUGUCGGUCGGACAGAAUUCUUUCCCCGGGUGGAAUGAGUUGUGUUGCGCGUCGCAAGGGGGACCGUCUGCGUGUACAAGUUGUAGGGACCCCUCUCCCGGAUGACACCGAGCGCGUAAGGCUAUCCGGAUCAACUCCAUUCGGAUUCCCCAAGAGGACAUGUGGCGUGCUCCCCUAUCAGGACUCCCUUAGGGAGAAGCACACGACACUCGUGAACAUCAUACCCGGACGAUAGCAUGUCCUAUCCGGAUGUGUUGUCCGGAUCAUUGACUAAAGUGAGCAAGCCUUGCUACGUCAUUCGGACAGCUUGCCACAUACCAUGUUCCGUCGCCAUCUGAUGGUGUGUCCGAACGCCUUGUCCGGACAUCUUUUGCUCCUUGCAUUCCGGAUUUGCUUAUGACAAAGGACUUCAAAGCUUCGGUUCUUCAUGUUUCUGAGCUUUCCAUUGCUUUGCCAUGGAUUCCAAAGAACUCUCCUUAAUCACGGAUUGCUUUGGUGAUCAAAAAGUUAUCAAAACACAAAAACUUAACAUAGUUUGAUUAGAAUUGAUUGCAAGGGUUCUUAAUAUGUUAAUUGGGUUAAAAGGUGAUAACUACUACUCAAAAGUGUUUAUAAGAAUUAAUUACAAGCUAUGAAAUAACACUUUUUGAGUAGUAAUCAGGAUACAUCCUAGUUUUUCAUGGAAUUGAUAGUGGGUUGUUGUGCAUGAAUGCCACCAUUUCAACUAUGCUGUUGUUAUUUUUAAAAAAAAUAUGGAUUAUGCGCGAGUGGCAAUUCUCCACUAUGGAAAGUGGAUUGCUCCUUCAACCCAUGCAUGGCUACGUAUUCCUAUGUCUUUCUACUUGUGUUUGAUCCUCCAAAAAAAAUUUCGGUUUAGUGCUAGUAGAUUUUAAGUGGUGGAUCCCCAUUUUUUGAAAAUGAAGUGGCAGCCUCCCAUUUCAAGACAAAAUGGUAGCCUGCCUUUAAUCUUUGGAGAAAAAUCUGUGCAUGACCUUUUUUUUUCCCAAAAAAUCCGUGCAUGGUGUCCUUUAAUAUUUGGAGAAAAAUCUAUGUUGGAUCUUUUCUUUUCUAGAAACAUUUGUGUGGUCUUUUUUGUUAGCCCAAGGGUUCUUCUAAUCAAGUUUUGAUGAUAACAAACCAUGGUUAAGUGACUAAUUGGUUUAAUGAUUAAGAAUCUCAAACAUAAAAUCGAAAAUUCAUCAAAGGACCAAAUGGAUACAAGAUCGAGACGCUUGGAAGACUUGUAAUCAUAGGAAACUAAUGUAAGAUGAAUGCAUGAGUGCACUUAGGAUUUUCACACGUUUCAUGCAACUUAGAAAACCCAGUUUAUUCUUUAAAACUUCAUCCCAGUUUAUUCUUUUUAUGGUUGUGUGUGCUUUCCUUGAUACGUGGCUUAUUUAUUAAGGAUACAUCCCAGUUUUUCAUGGAAUUGACAGUGGGUUGUUGUGUGUGAAUGCCACCAUUUCAACUGUGCUGUUGUUAUUUAAAAAAAAAAAAAAUGGAUUGUGCGCGAGUGGCAAUUCUCCACUAUGGAAAGUGGAUUGCUCCUUCAACCCAUGCAUGGCUACGUAUUCCUAUGUCUUUCUGCUUGUGUGUGAUCCUCCAAAAAAAAUUUUGGUUUAGUGCUAGUAGAUUUUAAGUGGUGGAUCCCCUUUUUUUGAAAACUAAGUGGCAGCCUCCCAUUUCAAAACGAAGUGGUAGCCUGCCUUUAGUCUUUGGAGAAAAAUCUGUGCAUGACUUUUUUUUUCCCAAAAAAUCCAUGCAUGGUGUCCUUUAAUAUUUGGAGAAAAAUCUAUGUGGGAUCUUUUAUUUUCUAGAAAAAUUUGUGUGGUCUUUUUUGUUAGCCCAAGGGUUCUCCUAAUCAGGUUUUGAUGAUAACAAAUCAUGGUUAAGUGACUAAUUGGUUUAAUGAUUAAGAAUCUCAAACAUAAACUCGAAAAUUCAUCAAAUGACCAAAUGGAUACAAGAUCGAGACGCUUGGAAGACUUGUGAUCAUAGGAAACUAAUGUAAGAUGAAUGCAUGAGUGCACUUAGGAUUUUCACACGUUUCAUGCAAUUUAGAAAACCCAGUUUAUUCUUUAAAACUUCAAUUUCAUUAAAACCCGAGUUUUUAACUAAUGUACCUUAGGCAAAAUGUUUUAUAAUUGGCUUAAUAAUUCACCUAAAUACAUUUUCUAAGUGUUAGAAAAGAAAGGAAUUAAAAAAAGGUUUUCGGGGCAAAAAAGGCUCAACCGGUCGAGGCUAUGGUCAACCGGCUCAACCGGUUGAGGAACCAAUCGAUCGGUUGUGCUUGUCCGAUCGAAGACCAAUCGAGGGAUGCCAAAAAAUUUCUCUCUCUCCUAGUGGCCUUCUCUUCCCGGUCGAGGUUCGGUCUAGGCAACGGUAACAUGUCAAGCAUUAAAUGCUCCGACGACUAGUGAAUCGGUCGACCCCUAGCCCGAUCGGACGAGGUUGCCUUUUGCUGUUUUUGACUCCCGAGCUUAGAAACCUAUAAAUUGAGAGCUCCACUUCAUUUAUUGAUAAAAGAGAACACUUGCAUUCAAUAGUCUACCUACCUUUUCUUGAUCAAAAAGCUCUCAUUUCCUUCAUAGUGCAUUAAAUCAUCACUUGCAUAUCCUUUAGUGCACUAUUGUGUGUCAUCCUAGCUUUGUUUUGUAUUUGAGCUAUCCUUAAGCUAGGUUGAGGGAUUAUUUCUUAUAAAAAUCUGAGUGUUAAAGCCUUCAAGAGAUUUGAAUCUUGAAGAGAUUGUGUAAGAGCCCAUUGGAGCCGGAGUCCAAGUGUAAGAAGAUUGGAAGCUUGGUUGAAGCUUCAAGUUAGUGGAACCCUCACUCGGUUAGGAGGUUGAGGAGAGUGGACGUAGGUAAGGAAGUGUCGAACCAUUAUAAACCCGAGUUUGAAUUCUCUAACUCUAUCUCUUUAUUUUGCUUAUAUUGUGUUUGAAUUUGUUGUGAUUGAAAAGAUUUUAAAAACCUAAUUCACCCUCCCCCCUUUUGGGUUUUUUUUUCUUAAUUAAGCAUAACCUUUGUUUUCUAAUUUUCUUUUUAGGAAAAUCCAUGCGUGGUAUGUCCAAACUCUCCAAGUGGCAGUCUGCCUUCUUCUAAAAAAUUUGUUUCUAUUUCUUUAUUCGACUACCUUCCAUGUCUUCCUAAUGAGUGCUUGUGCUCAAUGGUCAAUCCCUGGUGGUUGCCUCCUUUUCCCAUAUAUACGUGUUGCAAAAUCAACAUCCCACUAUAUGUGGGUUGCCUCUAUGGCAAGUUCACAUUUCCCACAUGAAACCUAUGAGUUUCCACCAAAAAUUGCCAUGAAAAAGUCUUUAUAUGCAUCUCAUGCAAUAAAAAGUCAAGCCAAUACUCAUCUUAUCUCGAAAAAUAAGUAACCAAAAUCAAGAUCAUGCCUAAGUGAACUAUGCCAAAAGAAGUGUCCAAGUGACCUAUUAUGAAAAAAGUGCCUAAGUGACCUAAGGUGAAUGUGUGUAAGCUGGAAGGUGUCUAGGAUGUUUAGGACAAUGCCUAAGCCUAAAAUAGGGUUGCCAAGGGUCACAAUGGGGUUAGAUAAAUCUCUCAAUCAGAGUCUCCAAGGUGGCUCAUAAAAGAUAAGCUACACGAGUAAUGAUGGGCCACCAGGGAAUUAUUGUAAAGCACCAAACGAACACAUAAUAGGACAUGUGUUAGAAUGAAAAAAUGGAGGGUUUACAAGUGGUCUCAUGGAUGAGCUUGAUAAUUUAAAUGACUCACAUAAUGAACGUAUGUGAUGUUUCUCUCCAAUAACAAGCAAAACAUCACUAGCAAUAUGAUGAAUGUCUCCUAAAUCACUUGAAGUAGUCCUAGCAAAUCAAUUAGAAAAAUCACACAUAUUGCUCUAAUGUAAUAUUAUAUACAUCUGUCAAUGAAUGGGAGAACUAAUGACACAACCAUCAUGUUGAUAUCUCGAACCCUCUAAUCUCAUAUGUAGGUGGGAUCACACUUAGAAACUCAUAACACAGUAAUGACCAAUCUAAGUCAAAAUGUGUUGGUGAUCGGAGGCCCAUGAAUAUGAAGUUCUAGGAUGAUAAUGACAUCUUAUAAAGUAAUGAUCAUCUCCUUAAUAGAUAGGUGAAAUGUGUGUGUCUUAGGACACCAUCUCUCAACAAGACUUGUGAUCAAUCCCCAGUCUAGUGUAACAUGCCUAUUAUGACAUCCAUCGUAAAAUCUAGACUAGAUAAUAUAAGGACAAAUGUGAGGGUUCAUCUCCCUUUCCCACAUAAAUUUAAAAAAUUAUUAUUGACAAGUUAAGACCAAACUAAGUUGCAAAAUAUAAAUAAGUCCAUUAGAUAACAAAUUUAUGUUUUCUCAUUUUCUCAUUUUUAAAGAGAUAUUAUGUGCUUCCAUGUACAUACAUGCUAAAGUCAAUUAUACGAGACUUAUAUCCAUCUUGUAGAACCAAAUCGAACCUAUCUAAUAGAUCCAGAUUAGAAGUAUGUCCUCUAUACUCCAUAUUUAUAACACAUUUAUAAAGAUAAAUGCUAAAAAAAUGUUAAAGAUAUAAAUUUAAUGAACCAUACUUUAUGAUUUUAAUUCUCAAUUAUUGUUCAUAUUUAUAAGAGAAAAGUUAAAAAAAUUGAUAGAGUUUUCCCUCUAUCAUGGACAUUAUCCCAAAUAAAAAUAAAUUGAUUAUGCAAAUUACAUUAAUAUUUGUAACCAAAUGAUCAAUAACUAUCUUGUAUCAAUUUAGUAAAUAAAUUUAAGUAUAUCUUUUCAUUUAUGACUAACAAAUAACUCAUACUUGUCCAAUAAAAGCCACACCUAAUUUCUAAAAUUUUGUCUUCACCUCAAGUGAGUGUUACAUUGAGAAAGAAAAAAUAUGAAAGAAAAAAUGAACACCUUUUUCUUUUAAUAAAAAAAGGCCAUAACGAAACAUUAAAUCUCACUGUUACACCUAUCUUCAAUGGAAACAUGAGGAUGUGAAUGGUGGCGGUGAUAUUCUUUGCUUGAAGCUCAUAAACAAAUAUUCCUUACUAAGCCUAUGCCAUUUAGUAUUUCAAUAGUGGACCCCCCCCCCCCCCCCCCCCCCCUCCUUGCAUUUCAGAUUUAGCAAACUUAGAACCAAAUAACAAAGUGCAUUUGAACCCAUAAAGAAGUAAUGAGACUCUCCUAUAUUGGCAAUAGAAGAAAUUUUUGGAGGUAUAGGAGAUUCACGGAUGAAGAAGUUGGGCCCCAAUUGAGAUAAGACCCAAGAAAAGAUGGGGUAGAGAGGGAUGGUUGGAAAUUGUAAAGUAAGAUUUUCAAAAUGUAGUUGAUGACUAAGAUUUUGACAAUUUAAAAAAGGUUUAAAAAUGUAGUUAGCAAUCGGGGUUUUGUAACAUUUAAAAAAUAAAAUAAAAUCUCAGGCCACAUGGUAGCCCAUGUGAUUCAGAAGCUUGAGAAUUAUUUUAUAAGAAGACUUAAUUUGUGAUUUUUUUAUAACUAUAUUAUUUUUUUUCUUAACACACGAAAAAAAUUAUGAAAUAAGACAAUUUUCCUAAGAAAGCAUGUAAGUGACUCUUGGUUAUUUUAUUUAACUUCUUCUAGUUUGGAGAGGAUUAAUACCUUUGCUUUUACUCACUUGCUUGGAUAUGUACACGUUGUUCAUGUCACUUUUCAUUUAAUUUUCUGAUUAAGGGAAUUGGAACCGUACGUAACUGUCUUUAUUCCCUCUGAAACUUGGACUUGGAGUUGGACUUUCAAUCUCAUCAGUCGUGUUUCCAUAAAAAAGAAGAUGGAUUAACCAAUUUUCCUAUGCCUACUAAUCAUACACAAAACUCCACUUCCAAAUAAAAAGGAAUGGGAUAUCACUUGUUAAUAGUGGCUAAAGACUAUUAAUAACCAUGCAAAGAAAUGUCACAUUUUUUGUUCUACGCAAAUUUUAUUCAUCAACUACUAGAACCAUUUCAUACAAUAGUAGCUUUUCGAUCCUUUGAUAAAUGGACACUUGAUGUGAUAACACCAACUACACCUAUAUAUUCAAGCAAUCAUGCGUAUAUAAUAGUGGAUAUGGAUUACUUCUCUAAAUGGGCAAAAGUUUUGUCAUUCAAGGAAAGUGAACGAGGAAACACAAGUUUACUUUCAUCGGAACUAAUAUUAUAUAUUGAUAUGACUUCCCAUUAUUACUUACGAUGGAAUAUGCUUCCAUAAAAUGGCCUAGAUGAACAAACUAUCCAAGAAGUUUGGGAUCAAAUAAUAUAUAUAUAGUUCAUGUGUGAUUCUUUGGUUGACAACCUUGUUAAGGGGUGAGUGAAGCACUUUGGGCAUACCACAUACUACAUGCUAGACUUCCACCCAAGCUACCCUAUAUUCCUUAUGAACAAAGUAGAAGUUGUCAUCUCUCUUGAAUACCAAAUCCUUUCACCUAAUAAUGCUAUCUAAAAAGGUCUUAAAAAGGAUAAAAAUGCGCAUAUUUGAAUUUUUGAAUUAGGAGUGCUACUUAAAAAGAAGCUAGAUAUACAAUAAUAGAAUGUUAUCAAGCAUAUCUCUUCAAAGUUUUUGACCAAAAAAUAUAUGAUUUCUCAUUUUAGGUAGGAGACUUAGUACUCACUAUUCAAAAACCAAUUAUCAUUACUCAUAAAAACUAAUAGAAAGUUUGGGCCAAAGUAGGAUGGACCUUAUAUUAUGCAACAAUUAUGCCUAUAAAAUUGUUGCAAAAGAGGUUUUAGAAUCAAAUCAAUGAAUGAAAAAUUAUUAAAGCAUUACUAUGCUUGAAGGCUAGUCAUUUUCCCUUAAAGUGCAAUAUUAAGUUGCAUAGUACUAUGUGGAUCCGCAUUUUUCACAUGCGUUCCCACUCAUUGUCGAGACUCACUUUUUAGAAGUGAAAAAUUAGUUUUAUUAAAGUCGAAGUUGCCACUGGGGAUUUGAACCCUAACAAAAGGUUCAAUUUAAGGAUAAAAAUAUCGAUAAUCACAUAUAUAUAUAUUGGUACUUUGAUUUUAUGAAUAUAUUGAAGAAAUAUGGACAAAUAUUUUGACACAAAAUAUGUACAAAAUAAAAAUUAUAUAAAAAGUAAAAAUAAAUAUUUUAAAAUUAUUUUUUUAAAUAUAUAUAUAUAUAAUUUGACAUAUUUGAUAAUAAUAUAUAAGGGUCUCCAAAAAGCCCGUGGCCCGCUUUAGGCCCGGUCCGACCCGACAGGCUAAAGCCCGGCCCAAGCCCGCCGGGCCCAAGCUCGGCCCGAGCCCGUUUAUGGGUGGGCCGGGCCGCGAGCCCGUAGGCCUGCUCCUUUAAAAAAAAACUACAAAAAUAAAAAGUAUUAAAAAAAAUAUUCAUUUCAAAAUUUUAUUCAUUGAAUGUAUAAUUACAUUUGAAAAUGUGGGAAAAGUUUACAUCACUACAAAAUAAAUACAUCCCAACUAGGUUGGCACCUAUUUAUUUGUCAAUCAUCUGUAUUUUUCAACCACAAAAAAUAAAAAUAAAAAUAUAAUAUACAUUUAGUCAUUAUUUUCUGGCGGUGAUGGCGAACUAUCAUGCAUCCAUGAAGAUCUUGAUAAUUUUAAAGAUUCCAUAUCGGUAAGCAUCUUUGUUUCUCGAAUGGAAUCAUACAUCCUUUUAUCUGCUAUUUCCCAAUCUUUCACACAUAUCCCUGCUUUAAUAACAUCUGACGCUAAGUUGCAUCGUUUUUUACUAACUACUCUUCCACCUGCACUAAAAGCAGCUUCUGAUGCAACUGUACUCACAGGAACUGUUAGUACAUCACGAGCAAUUAUAGAAAGCACAGGAUAUUUGUGUUGAUGUGAUUUCCACCAUAUUAAAAUAUUAAAAUCUUCUUGAUCUUCAAAUGAAAUUAUAUCAGUAUUAAGAUAUUUAUCUAAAUCAGAUGUAUUAUUUGGAGAAUUAUUUGUUGUCUUUUUUCGACUUUUCAACAUUUCUAGAGCUCCUUUAUAAAAAGAUGAGGAGUUUGUAGAUGUAGGUGGUAAUUUAAUAGUAUUAAUAUCAUUACCAUAUUUUUCUUUAUAAUAGUUAUAUAAAUUAUAUAAUAAUGAAUUUAUUUCAUUUUUAAUUUCUUCAAUUUUUAUUUGGUCAUUAAAAUAAAUAAUUGUUAACCAUUCAUCCAAAGCUUCAAAUUUCAAUCUAGGGUCCACAAUUAAAGCAAUAUAAAAAAUUAAAGGUAUUUCUCCCCAAUAUUUUCUAAAUUUUUAUAUCAUUACAAAUAUUGUAUCAUUAAAUAUUUCAAAACUUAAAUAUUUUUGAAGUACAAUAAAAAUAUUAGUUAUUUGCGUAAUAACUCGAUUUGAAGUUGGAUAAUAUACACCACAAAAAAUGUUUGUUGAAGUAUCAAAAAUUUCAAAAAGAUCUCUUAAAACAUCCGCAAUAUGCCAAUCAUAAUCAUUUAAUGCAUAAAUAUCUGCUUCAUAAUCAUUGUUAAUUAAUUGUAUUUCAUAUAAUUCGACUACUUUUCUAUAUUUUGUAAUAUUUUCUAAAAGUUUAUAUGUGGAAUUCCAUCUAAUAGCCAUAUCCAAAUUUAUAUUUUUUCUUUUCAUAUUUAACAUUUUGCAACAAUCAAAAAAUAAUUCAUGUUUUGCUUGAAAACUAUUAAUACUAUAUGCAAUGCCUCUAAUUUUUUUCCAAUGUACUAUCAACAUUUUUUAAUCCAUCCUUUACAAUUAAAUUUAAAAUAUGUGCACAACAACGCACAUGAAAUAUUUUAGCAUGAUCUUCUUUUACUUGCCAAUAUCGUUUUAGUCUAUGUAUUGCUGCAUCAUUAUUAGCAGCAUUAUCUAAUGUUAUUGUCAAUAUUUUAUCACGAAUGCCUAAAUCUAUAAUUUCAUCAUUUAUUAAAGAUGCUAUAUUUUUACCACUAUGUGGAGUAUUUAUUAAUUUAAAUAAAAUUAUUCUUUUAUUUAAUUUCCAUUCAUUAUCAAUGUAGUGAACAAUUAUAUAUAAAAAACCAGUAUGAGUUAAAGAUGUCCAAAUGUCAGAUGUUAAACGAAUAUUUCCUUCAAAAUUUGCAAAAUUUUUUUUUAAAAUUUCUUUUUGUGUAUAAAUUUUUUUCAUAAUAUCUCUUUUAACUGUAUUUCCAGAUCAACCUUUAAAUUGAGGAUUAAUACCUCGUUGAAUUGUUCUUGCAAAAUCAUGAGUUUCCAUCAUGUUGAAAGGUUGUUCUGCUCUUAUUAUAUAAUCAAUCAUUUCUUCACAACAGUUAGAUUCAUCAUAAGAAAAUGUUUUUAAAUUUCCACUUUCAUUUUUACUUAAUUGCAUAUAAUUUCUAAUAUCUACAUUAUUUUUAGUUUUACAAUUUUCAUGAUGUCUUUUUAAAUGACUUGUAUCUGCAUUUGAGCCACCAGUAAGAAAUUUAUUACAAAUUUUACAUUUUGCUUUUAUUUUUUUUUUAUUAUUUUCUAAAAUUAUUUCUAUUCUAUCAAAAAAAUUCCAUAUAUUUAAAGUAAAUUUUUUGUUUGAUGAUAUUUCAUCACAUGGACUAGACGAAGAAGCACUUGUCAUAUUAUAAUUAUUGAUAAAAUAUUAUGCCAAAAAUAAUAAAGUAAUAAAUAUAAAAAAAAAUGUAACAAAAAAAAUAAAGUAGUAGGGGUGAAGUAUGUUACUCAAUUAGAGAACCUAUGCAGAAAUUCCUAGCAAAUUUGAACUCUUGGAGCCACCAAUGCUUGUUUUGCACCAUCAACAAUAUUGUAUAAUUUGAGGGAAAAAUAAAAGAAUUUAAAAUAUUGUAGAAUGUGAGAGAAAUAGAGAGAAUUUGAUGAAAAAAUGAAAAGGAAGAAAAUGUAUUUAUAGGAAGGUUAAAAAUAAUAAUAAUAAUAAUAAUAAUAAUAAUAAUAAUAAUAAUAAUAAUAAUAAUAAUAAUAAUUGGCCAUGUGACCGUUGGAGGCUUAGCUCCAACGGUCACAUGGGCUGGAGCUAGGCUCCAACAGUCACAUGACCGUUGGAGCCUUUAAUUUUUUUUUUUAAAAUAAUAUACUUUAUUUUUAUAUAUAUAUAACUAACUCAAUUAAUAAACAUAAAAAGAAUAUAGUUCAGUUGGUUAGAACCUUGAAGUUUAAACAUGAGGGGAGGGGUUUGAAUCCCUCCCUCUCCCUUAGGGGCUUUUUUAAAAGCCAUUUUGGCUUAUUUCAAAAAGCCUGUCGGCCCGACCCGCCCUGCAGCCCGCGGGCCUAGCAUUUUAGCAUGGCCUGGUCUGUUGACUAGUCAAAUGGCUCAUAGGCUCGGCCCGAACUGGGCCGCGGGCCUCUUAUUUACGGACCGGCCCGACCCGGCCCGCCCGUUGGAGACCCUUGAUAAUAUCUUCUAUAUUAAGUUACAUUAUAGUUUAUUUUACAAUAUUAUUAUGAUAAUAUGUCUAAUUUUAAAAUAUAUUUAAUAUUAAAAUUAUGAUCUAUUUUAAUUUAAAUGUAUUCAAUGAUAUCAAAUAAAUAAUAAUAUAUGUAUAAUUCUUUUAUUAUUUAUAUUUAUUAUUUUUAAUAAAUAUAUAGAUUAUAUAAAAAAGACCGGAUAUAUCUUUUCAAAUUUUGUAUCGCUCUCCAAGGAUAUUAGAUGUAUGGGAAUUUGUAUUGCUAUCUACGGAUACGUUGAUAUAUGGGUGAUUUAUCAGGAUAAUUAGAAAUUCUAAUUAUGUAAGCAGGUACGGAGUUCUGUGUCGGUGCGAUCUUGUCGACAACAGCUCCAAAUUGUGCAUCUUGCUCAUAGAGAGUAGCGGAAUGCACCAAUCGUAGGCUCAGAGUACCACUGAGUCGUCUGGCAGAGACCCAACUGAAGGUGCCUGUGUUGUUCCUGAUCUGAUCAGGCUUCAAACUACAAGGUGGAAUACUGGUUCCCCUAUAUCAGAAGCUGGAGAUACCCACCCCAUAUGCUCGUCUGGAUGUGCUCCUACCCUUUGAAGCCUUCUUCCGAGUCAAGUCCGAAUUGAUAAGGCUAGUGAGUUCCCAACCAACUGUACUCAGCAUGCUGCCAGGUGGAGACCCUCCAUAUUUGAUGGCUUCCUAAUAUUAAAAUGCUGACCACUGGUCUUCAUGUUCCACAGGCUUAAUUGUGUCCUUUGCUGAAAGAAUGGAUAGUGAUCCAUUUUAACACAUGAUUCACGCCGUCUUUGCCAUUCUUCAUGGUCUAGCCCUUUUAUAUAUAUGCUUCCUGAACUGUUGCUAUUAAUAAAAUGUGGUAUCUAUCCCGUACACCUUCCUGAUGGCCAGCGAAUGCAGAAGCUACAGAAACGGUUCCAUCUUUUGCUUCCGCCACUUUGGCAUCCUCCAUGAUGAGAUCGAAGGUGAAUAAUCAUAUUCUGGGGAUUUAUGUCCUGGAUAUUCUCAGUAAUGCCCAAUUUCCUGGUGCCGGCCUCAUUUCCAUGGGAACUGAUGGAUAACUUAAGGCUUCUACCAUCUGCGUGGUUCGCUUCUAACACAGGAAACUUCACGGCUAAAAGCAAGAUACCAAGAACAUCAAGGCUGUGACAAAAAUUAGUAUUUUUAACUUGUAGGAAUUUGAAAGGCAACCAACCAUCUAGCUCUGUUCUUAAAGCUCCCAUAGGAGGAUCAGAGGCUGGAUUGCUCAAGAUGAACUCAUCCAUUGUUGCACUUAAAAAGAAUUGGCAUGAAUUGUGGCCGCUCUAAUAGGUUCCCUAAACCAUCAUCCAAGUGGGCUUGCGGAAGGUAGCGAGUUUAAAACACCUAGGGCGAUGAACAGUGGACUGUGAUGCUCACAAAAGAGAAAAGGAAGAAUUCAAUAAUUCCUAAGAAUCCAUUUGCCUGUCAUCCAAAUUUUUAUAUUCUCUUCAGUCUGACGCGUUAUGCCAUAUAUUAAAAAUAGCGGCUUCUUCCAAGCCGAGACAGACUGUGCAAAGUUCGCAAGGCCAAUCAUCACCAUAAUCUGAAGUUGGCCUCCUCAAUCGCAGCUUGUAUCCGAAUGCUCACUUCACGGGAUGGAUUGUAAUGAAAACUAAUCUCAGUCCCAGCUAUGGCAGCAUCCUCACUUGACAGCAUUUUCUGCAUAUUCUAGAACAAAGCAAUAAACCCUCAAAGGCUCCUUCGGAUCAGAGUUAGAAGACUGUCCCUCAGGAACGUGAACACUAUGGUGGUUCUGAUAAGCAGUGAUAUUGCAUUAGAGCCUUUUGGAACAAGAGGAUCUUUUCAGGUGGAAACUGUAAACUGCUUCAUGUUGGGCUGCAACCUUUUCUUCAAGCAAUACUUUCUUUCUGUAUCACGACUUAUGUUGCUUCCGGAGCCAUCCCGUGUGGACUGCCCUUCAGUGAAAGAAUAUGUGUGUUGACAUGUUGGAUUGUAAUCUUUGUUCCACUCUAAUGGCUUUUGGUCCUCCUCUUUCUCUUUAUGACAGAGAACCAUUUAGUGAUCCAUCUCUAUAUUGUAGCAUUGCUGGUGCUUUGCAAUACUACACUCUCACCAAGCAUAACAUCUAUUUUUCCGUGACCAAAGUAUGUCGGUUUAUGCAUGCGCAAACUCUUAUUCAUUGGCAAGUUGUCAAGCGUAUCUCAUGAUUUCCCAAAGCCACAAGUUCUUAUGGUCUUUCUGUUCAAGCUUACAAUGAUCUAUCUUUUCUUGGUUAUACUGAUGUCGAUUGGGCUAGUUGCCCUGAUAACAAGCACAAUACUAGUGGGUACAACACUUUUCCUGGUCCUAAUCUCAUUUCAUGGGCAUUUUCAAAGCAGAAGGUUGUGUCUCACUCCAAUAACGAAUCUGAAUAUAGGGGACUCACUAAUUAAUGUUGUUGCCAAGGUCACUUGGAUUGAAUCUGUCUUACGUGAGUUGCGUGUUUCUCUACCCCAACCACCAAUUUUGUUGUGUGACAACAUUAGUGCUACACACUUGGACAAACCAUGUUGAAAUACACUAUCAUUUUAUCCAUGAAAGGCUUAUGCAUCACACACUCAAAAUUCAAUACACCUCUUCUAUAGACCAACUAGUCAAUGCUAUGACCAAAGCUCUUCCUUCAUCUCACUUGUACAAUCUUCAGUGCAAGCUGAUUGUUCUUCCCAAACCACUCAACUUGAGGGGAGAUGUUAAGCCAAUUUAAUAAAUUGAUUUCUUUUGGUUAAUUUGUUAGAAUCAUUUUUAUUAGAGGUUUGUUUGUACAAUUACAUCCAUUUAUCAGGAGAGUACACGUGUACAACUCCUCUUUUAAUCUCACCAUUGUAUAUAUAUGAUACACGACCUUACUCAGAAUUGCAUAACAUUUCCUCUGCUCAUUCCUUUUCUUCUUUGAAUUUUCCCUUACCUCACUGAUUUUGAUUUAUACCUGGUGUUUUCACCUUUGGUCUCUACCUUUCUAGCCAGUUUUCUAAUUAAUCCGUAUAUGGUAUACCUGUCAACUAAUGAGGAGAAAGAGAAAAGGGGAUUGCUGUUCCACCAGCUACAUAUAAUAAUUAAUUACAAUCAUGGUAAUGGAUCCUGAAAUCCAUCCUUUGUGGAUUUUGUACGGAAUAUUGUUGUUAUGUAUGUGGGCUCACUUAGAUGUAUAUUGCUAGCCUGUCUGGGAAAUGUGAUUGCAGGUCCAGAUUAUGAUGUUGAUAUUAGUGGGAUAAGCAAGAGAUGCAGUUAACACGUAUGUGAUGGACUUGAGUAACUUUUCCAUUUCAGUCCAUUUUUUAAGAUUAUGCUUAGUCUUAUUACAAGGAAAGACCAUAAGAAUCAUGAGUCAUUGGCAAGGUAAUAUCAUUCCCUCUUUACAGGCUUCUUCACCUUUUGGUUUUUUUAAUAUCCAUCAAGAUCUUUUAAUUGGAGGACAAUUACAAGUAUAUAUAUAUGUAUUAAAAGGGGAAAAUAUUAAAACAGGAAAUUUUAGGGAAAAUAUAAUAAUUAUUUCUUCCUUCUUUCCCAUAUAGAACUACACAAAAUAAAACUUUAAUAAUUUUUUCUUAUCUUUUUUAUUAUUAUUUUUUCUUAGAAACAUCCGUGGUCUCACAAGCUUGUAAUCCUAGAUUGUUAGGCUCCUUUAACAGUGCCCCAACAUCGUGGUCCAAUGACAAGCUUCCACGCCUUAAAAUCAGAAAAUGCCAUUAAACUUUAUCAGACAUUACAGUUCAAGACAAAGCUUUCAUUUGCUUAAUGUGAUAAUGAAAUUGUUAAUUUCAUUUCGUGGGCAUCUAAAUUUGGACGAGCAAGACCUCUGAAUUCCCUGUUUUUAUCACCAGCAGAGGAGAUAAAAUCUUAAUGGUGAGAAUCUCCACGUGAAAUUUAUGUGUACUGUCAACAUAUUUUUGUUUAUAUAGUCCAGUAGCUGCAGGAAGUCUAGAUUAUAUAGGUAGCAGUAGCACUAUUUAUAGCACUCGAUAUUCGCUGUAUGAAUACAUUAAACCUUGUUUUCAAUACGCAUCACAAGCAAGUACUAGAUACUACAAGGAGUGACAGUCGCAUCAACAUUUCUUGAUAAUAGCAGUGACUGAUUUAUACACAGAACAGUACUGUACACGUACCAGUCACCAGAGAUAGGAUCUUAUUCCUACAUACGACUCUUAUUGAUCGAAGUCACUCAGUUGGGGUAGCCUGGAGUUGGAGGUUUGUGUGGUGGCUUCUUCUUUGGAGGAGGCUUUAUCUUUGGAGGCAUCAUCUUUGGAGGCAUCUUGUGUGAGUCUUCUUCAGCAUUCUCUACAGGAGGAUGGCCAGGCUUAUGACCCUUAGGUGGUUUGCCAACUGGGAUUGGUGGCUUGUGUCCUGAGAGUGGCUCCUCUUCUUCGGGAGGUUUGCCAACUGACGUUGGUGGCCCGUGUCCUGGGGGUGGCUUGUGUUUUGGGGGUGGUUUCACUCCACCGGGAGGUUUACCAAUUGGUGUUGGUGGUUUGUGCUCAAUCGGUGGCCUCUCAACUGGGGGGCGCUUGGGGUAAUCAGCGAGUGAAGAAGUGGUGAGAACCACCACUCCAAGCAACAACACUAGCAAGUAUGUGGAAGACAUCUUUGAGUUUGGCUCAGAUGGUGUAGAACUAGAAUCCUGGGUGGCCUUUUAUAUUAGUUGGGCCCUAUGCCCGAACGACAAGUGUCAUGGUGACACAUAAAGUGAUGGGGUCGAUUUGGGCCUACCGGAUUUGAAAACUUGGACAAUUCGAGAAGCGUCUCCUGACUCCGGGUUGUAAAGUGAAAGAUUAGGUAUCGACCAUUGAAGUAUGAUCACAACUUUUGGCCUUUGGCUCUCUCUACUGCCGUAUAGCUUUUUUCCUUUGGAUAUUUUUCUUAGCUAGACACAAUUAUUGAGCAGUCUAAUCUCGAAAUGGGAUUAGUAUAGCUUUAAGCAAAUUUAUUAUAGUUAGUGGAGGACUUUUAAGAGUGCAGACGACAUUUAACACAUGCAUGCAGUAGUAUAGGGGACAUAACACUAUUCUUUUUCCAAAGAUUCACAUGAUUUUUAUAUUAUAGUAUUGGCACAUUGUAUGUAGCUGGUUUUGUGGUUAAAAUUCCAUAUGUAGACACUGGCGUUUCUCCAUUUCUCACAAUUGAUGUUUACCUCCACGAUUACUAGAUUAGAUAUACCAAACAAUAACACAUUGUAUAAUCUAUCCGCCCUUCAAAAUCUACUGUAUGAUGAAAUGUUUCAUGUGUGUGUGAAGUGUUAGAAAUGCACUAUAGGCAACAUCAUCUUCUUUUGUCUAGGCUUGGGCCUCAAAUUAUACUCCCAUGCCAUGAUAAAUUUUCAUGUGCAUUCUCUAAAGAAGAGUGUCUUGAAUGUGCCAAAUCAUUUUGAUUGAUUUUAUGAUGUUAAUUGCUCCGCAUAUGGAUGGGUAUGUGCUUUAUUUGCUUAUUCAAUCCACAAUUACCUUGAACUGAAGUCCUAUUGGAGCUCUAUUAUUUUAGCAACGUCCUGUCAAAUAGGCUGCUAACUUGGGGUGGUAUGGACCCAAUGAUCCAUCUUAAUCUUGGGUUGAUUUUGUCUGACUCUAUCUAUCUCAGAGAGAACCAGGAUCACCAGUGCUGGUCUGCUUAAAGAAGACUCAGUACUGGAUUAAUAUUGGUUUGGGUCAAUAGCUUAUAAUGCAUUGAAUGCAGAAUAAACAAGAUCAAUGAAACCCAAAACACACUGCCCACACAACUUCACUCUGGUGUCUGUUAUUCAUCAAUUCUAUUCCCACAUGAACUGGUUCAAGUUUAAGAAAAUGACAACGGAUCCACUGUAUUAACUUGGUUUUGCUUGGUUUUGAGCUAGUUGCCAAACCAGCCAUGAGUUUUACCUCUAAUGUCAAUGAACAAACCCCAAAUGAACAACUGCAACAGCUUAAAGAGAAGGAAUGGAGAUGAAAAUCCCUGUUUCUUCUCAUUCUGGGGACAAAUUAGAACAUAACUACAAAGGUUCUAUUAAUUGACUUACUCUACCAUGAAUUAUGGUUCUUUGGUUUUCCAAAUUUAAAUUGUACAUGAGAUUAUUUUUUUCCUUUAUAUAUAAACAUAUUAAGGUUUUCUUAUUUCGUGGGCAAAUGCGCUAAGGAUGAAAGUCAUUUCAUUUGGCUGCAACAGCAUCUUAUAAUCAACAUGCAUAAGCAGCAGUUUUAAUUGAUCGAUUGAACACCGACUCACAAGAAUAGAUAGAAUGGUACAAGACAGCUCUUAUUAAUUUAUACUCGUUACUCAUUUUAUGUAGCCCCAUUAAGAUGGCUGGCUGGACCACCGAGGUCUGGGGGUGGUGUUGCUUGUGUGAUGCAGCGGGCCGGGCAGACACUUCUCUAGUUGCUUCUAUUUGGAGUUAGAGGAUCAGUCUCUGCCAACCUUGAGGACUCUCUACCUCAGAGGGUCCAGGUGGUGGACUCUGGUGUCGGUAGCUUUGAACUCUCAGUAGACUAGUGUGUCUUAAUCAGUCACUGCCAGAGGCUGGCGUAGGCAGUGACGAUAAGGUGAGACAAAUUACCGAAUAGUCAAUAUCGACUGCACUUGACCAUUAUAGAUUUGUUCUGACAAAAGUGAGAAAAGGGAGAAAAUCGGAUGUUGACCUUUAUAGAAAAAGAUAAGAUUUACUGCAACACAGAGCACUGAUUUGUUACUUGGAAACCAAGUUAUGCUAUUAGCUAGCCUCCAUUAGCAGCAGGGUACCUUGCUGCCUGAUCCUAAUCUGAGUUCCCAAGGUUUCAAUCUUCGUUUGUUAACGCUUCAGGAUUUGGAUAUUUCAGCUUCGUUUCUCCAUUUAGCCAACGCUGCCUGGUUUGGAUUUCAAUCCUCAUCUGGAACAUUCUUUUUUCGGUCUGAUUCAGGAAGUGUUUGGUGAUAGUUGAUUAAAAUUAAACAGUACUAUCAUACAAAUAAAGCUGAUCUAAUUUUGGUGGGCAAUAUACCAACUCAUUUAUUCUUGAAAACACCAUGGGGAAUUGGAGGUCCAUCCGAAGUACUAUUUGAUGGGACUCACAAAAAGAACAGGUGCACAUUUAUGAGAUCCGUGGAAGAGAUAACUAUGACAGCUAUGCAUGUACAACAGAUUUAUGUCGAGUUCACCUCGUAGAUAUUUUGUUUUCAGUGUCGGUGGACCCCAAAAUGGAAAUCGGAAAUUAAGGUUAUAUUUAUUUUUUUAUUUAAUUUUAAAUAGAAUUUUAAUUUUUAAUAAUAUUAAGUAUUAAAUUAUUUUUUUAAGGGUAUUUUAUUUUUAUUAAGUAUUAAAAAGUAAAAAAAAUUAAUAUGUUGCUUUUUUAUUUUAAAAAAAUUAUAUAUUUUAAUUUUUUCUAUUUACUAAAAAGUUUAUAAUAAAUUAUAAAAAAAUAAAAAAAUAAAAAACUUAAAUUCUGAAAAUAAAUUAUUUUUAAUAAAAAAAUCCAAAAAAGCAAACACCACCUAAAUUUGAGAUGACUCAAAAUUUUAUAUUUUUUUUCACCUAAAUUAUAUUCAUAAAUUUAAAAUUAAAAAAUUAGGAAGUUGAAUUUUAUUUUGGAUAAUUGGAAACUACAAGAAAUCAAUAAAAAUAUUUGGAAAAAAAAGAAAAAGAAAAACUAUCUAUAUAUUCACCCCCUUCUAAGAAACAUAACUUUAGUUUUUAACUAUUUUUUAAAAUAAUUUUUGAAAAAUGUUAUAUAAUAUUUUAUAAAACAAAAAAUCUGUUUGACAAUUUGAUAUGUCUUUAACUUAUUUUUAAUAUUUAUAUAUAUAUAUUUUAAAAAUAAUUUUAUAUUUAGAACUUUAUCUUUAAUUAUUAUAUAUAUUUAUAUAAUUAUUUUUUUUAAAACAACUCUUAAAAAAUAAGUGAAAGUAAUUGAAAACAACUCAAAGAUAUUUGAUGAAAACACUCUAAUUUGUAUUUUUGAGAAUAAAAAAAUAAAUAAAUAAAUUUCUAGUUAUCAAAUGUAUUUUUUAAUUCUUUUAUUCUAAAAAAUAGAAAAUCGUUUUUGAAAAUAAUUAUUAAACAACAUUCUUAAAAAUUCACUCGUUACAAUCUAGAUUUAAUGCAAGAAUGAUUGAAGGAGUCCUCCAAUAGAACCCAAAGUUAUAAACAUGAACAAGAAGCCCUAGAAACACCAAAGAUCUCAUAUGGUAUAUAUAUGAGCUUGAUUGAGAACUGUUUUAAAUUCAGUUUUUUUUUUUUUUUUUUUUUUUUGUUUUCAAAGUCAAAACAAGUUUACUUUUAAUUUUUACUUCUUUUUUUUAAUUUUAUAAAUAACAGUUUUUUAAUAAUUUAUUUUGAAAACAUGAUUAUUUUUAAAACUUAUAAUGAAAAUAGGAAUUUUUUUUUUAAUAUCAUGGUUAUUUUCCCUUCUUUUAAGGAGGGCUAUUUUAAAAAUAAAUUUACAAAUAUGAAAAAUGAUUCAAACUAAAGCAGUACAAAUAAAAAACAUUUUUAAGAAAUAUUUAAAAAUAGAGAAAAUUAUUUGAGAACAUUUGAAGUCCUUAAAUAGACUUUUGUUUUAGAAAAGGCAAGAUAAUUAUUUUUGAAAAUUGUUUUCAUAAUGAUAUGCAAAAACCUACGUAAAAACCAUAAUUAUAAUCGGCCACAUAUCAAAUCUACUAAAUAUGAAAAGUAAGUACAUAAUUAUAUUUGACUUAGAUGCAAGGAGGAAAAUGUCGCGAUAUUAUCGCCGAAAUAUCGUGUGUCGAAGGGUAUCGACACGAUUUUUCUUGCAGAAAUAUCGGCCAGUCGAUUUUUCGGGAUAAAUCUCGAGAAAUCGGCAAUUUAUCGCGAUAUAUCGGCGAUUUUUCCUCGAUAUAUCUUCUGGUCAACGCGGGUCAACGGAGUCAACACGCUACAGUGAAAGUCAAAUGUGCUACAAUGUCCCCGCUACAAUCACCUCCCCAAACAAAUUGCCAAAUUGCUUCCGAGGGGAUUUGAACCAGCCUUCUUGCCAUUUGGGCUAACUCGCCCUUAUGAUAUAUAUUGCAUUAAACAUAUAUAUACUUAAAGUCCUUAUAUAAAGAAAAUGUUAAAAAAAUAUUUUAAAGAGCAAAUUAAUUAUAAUUAUUUUAUAAUUAAAAGCAAAAUUUUCUUUUAAUUAAUUACCAAAAAUAUAAAAAUUAUAUAAUUUUCUUCAUAAUGUUUUUAAUAUCAUUAAUAAUUAAUUAAAUAUUAAAAAAUUAUAUAUAUAUAUAUAUAUAUAUAUAUAUAUAUUAUAAUUUAUUUUAUAUUGUUUAAUACAAUUGAAUUAAAUGGAUCAUAUUUUAAUAUUAAUAUAUAUUUUAAAAUUAGACAUAUUGUAAUCAAAUAUCAUAAUAUUAUAUGUAAUUUAAUAAUAAAUGUACACUUAUAAAAUUCAUAUUUUUAUCGAUGCAUACAAUAUUAUUAUCAAAUAUGAUAAAUCAUGUUAUACAUAUAUCAAAAUUUUCAAUAAAAUAACUUUAAAAUGUCUAUUAUACUUCUAAUUAUAUUAUUAUGAGGUUUUCUUUACAUUUUCAUGAGUUUUAAACAAUUUUAAGCACCAAUAUUUUUUUCCAAAAUAUCCACCGAUAUAUCUCCGAUAUAUCCAAUAUAUCUCCGAUAUCUCCGAUAUAUCCGUAAAAUCGAAGUACCGAUAUAUCCGUGAUUACCGAUAUUUUCAUCAUUGCUUAGAUGCAACCUUCUUCCAAAUGACAUACUUUAGUCAAUACUUAUAUUUUUUCGUUUCACUUCUUUGAUACAACACCUCAUGGAUUUAUUGUUUAAUUUAUUUGUAAUUAUAAAACUAUUUUUCAUUUUUAAUAAGACUUGAAUUAAUUUAAUAAAUAUUAUAUAAUUUGAAUUUAUAAUUCUUUUUAUAAAAUCAAAGUAUAUUAAAAAAAAAACAAUUUAUCCGAAGAAAGUUUUUUAUUUUUUAUUUUUUAAAACCGAUUUUAAAAAUAACUAGCUAGACACCCUUAUUUUGAUAAAAUACGAAAUAAAAGUGUAAAAACAACAUGGCCAAAUAGGGGCUUAAAUUUUAUUUUUAAAACAUUUUUUUACACUAAAGUGCAUUUUAAAAACACCAUCAAAACCAACUACAAGUUAUGCUUCUUCCCGUAAUAGAAAUAUUUUAGGCCAAAAUAGAACCUCCCCAAAUAAAGACCCUAUACUAAACUCCUUUUCAUUUUAUUAAUACAAAAGUGGGGAAAAAAGGUCUAUGCUCACCUAAAAAACAUGAAUAUUGUGAAUUCACCAUUUCUAUAAGGAAGUUGAAAACUUCAAAAUUUUAUCAACAAAUUCUCUAAAAUCCUCAAAAUAUAUAGGGCCUGUUUCACAAAGUUUUUUAAAAUUUGUUUUUAUAAAUUGCUUUUAAAAUAUAGAAUAAAUAACAGUUUUUUAGAUUUUUUGAAAAAUAAGAGUGUUUGGUAAGAUGUUUUUUUUUUUUUUUUUUUUUUUAAGAAUUAAAUAAAAAAUAAAAAAAUUGUUUAGAUAAAAGAAUUUGUAUUGUUUUUAAAAACAAUGUCUUACUUUUAUGUUAUAAAAAUUUUAUUAAUUUAAUUUAUAAUAAUAUGAAAUGAAAUUCAAGUUAAGUCUUAUUAAAAAAUACAAAUUAAAUCUAUAAUUAUGCAUGAGUUAAAGAUAAAUAUAUAUUUUUUAAAACUAUAAAAUAAAUUUUCUAUUAUAGUGAAACAAAAAUUACUAUAAAAUAAAAAUAAUUUUAAUAUUCAUUUUUAAUACAAGUCAAAUAAGUACUUUAAUUAAUUUUUUUUAUCAUGAUUUCUUAUGUUUUUUUUUUUUUCUAGAAAUUAUUUUAAGUAAUAUAACUAAUUUUUUUUUUAAUGUUUUAUAAAAAUAAGGAUAUUUGGCAAGUUGUUUUUAUAAAAGGAUUUUAAAAAUAAAUGGAUUUUUUUUUUUUUUAAAAAAAGAACAAAAUGAUUUGUUUGAAUAAAUUGUUUUGAUUUUGUAAAAACAUUUUAAAUUCAAUUUAUAUAAUAUUAAUUAAUUAAAUUAAAUUGAAGUUUUAUUGAAAAUAAAAAUAAUUUUGUAAUUAAAAUUAGAUUAAAAAAUAUAUAGGUUUUAAUAAAUCGUAAAUAGUAAUAUUAUAAUAAAAUUAUAAAUUAUAUUUUUAACAUAAAAUAUACUAUUUAUUACAUAUUAAAAAAAAUAUUUUAUUAUAUUAAUAAUUUUAUGGUAUUAAUGAGUUUAUUAUUUAAGUUUUAAAUUAUUUUUAAAAAUUAAUAAAUUUGUUAACAAAUGCAAUGUACUAAAUGUGGUUUAAUUUGGAGUUAAUUUGUUUAGGGAAAAAAAUAAAAAAUAAAAAUCUUAUGUAAAAGAGAAAUAAUAGAGUGUGUGUGUUUUUUUUUAUUAUUUUUAAAAAUCAGUAAAAAGAACUUUUACUUAUUGCCUAAAAAUUAUUCUCUAUUUUAUUUUAUUUUUUAAAUCUAGAAAUAGAUAACAAUAAUAAAAAAAAUUAAAAAAGAAAAAUGUUUUUUAAAACUCAGACUUAUAAUUGCUUUUGUUUCUCAUUCGCACCCCUGGAUUCCUGGAUUCUAAACACAAAAUUAAGUUGAAUCGUCCAUCUAUCUUGUAAGCCAAGAAUUCACAUAGAAGAAAUAAUCGGAAUUUGAUUUGAUAUCAGAUUUAGAGUGGCUCACUACUCAUGCAUUGUCCCACAAUAGUAAUGCUUUGGGCCGAGAUAAACCCAUUUGUGGGCCCAAAUAAAACCCCUGGUUUGAAAACAUCGAUUUUACAGUGGCCCAAAAGAUUAUCUAUGAGGGGAAGAUAACUUGGAAGUCAAGCAAACACAUUUAUCGCUAACUUUUCUCUAAUUAUAAAAUUAUAACUUGGUCUUCUACACGUCUCACUUAAGAGGCGGAGCCACUUGGCACUACCUUUCCAUAUUGUAAAAGGAGAAGAAGCAGAAGGAGAAGAUUCUUAUGCCAUUCCACACACCAUGGCUAGUACUGCUAUGCUGCUUGGCCCGCCGGCUCUCCGCCAUCCUAAUUCUCCCGCCGGCACUGUCUUUGAAGAUGGGGUCAUUCUAACGGAUUCCCUGAUCGUCCGCACCAGUAAUCUGGAGCUUUCUGAAAAACCGCCACUGGAAUCCCUGGCGUAGUGCUCUGUCAGUGGGGAUAUUGCUAUGGAUUGUUUGGAUUCCCAAGCCCACAAUCUUCAUCUUCCCGGGAAACCGCCGAUGGGCUUAACGGAAAACAAGUCUCCGACCUUUUUGUCUUCCGGGAACCCGUGCUUGGACUUCUUCUUCCAUGUGGUUCCCGAUACGUCGUCUGAUGAUCUGAUCCGACGGUUUGAGUUGGCUUGGGAAUUCAAUCCGCUGACGACGUUAAAACUGAUAUGCAACUUGAGAGAGGUGAGAGGCACCGGAAAAUCUGACAAAGAGGGUUUCUACACGGCGGUUCUCUGGCUCCACGACCACCAUCCCAAAACCCUAGCCUGCAAUGCUAGGGUGUUGGCCAGCUUCGGUUAUUUCAAGGAUUUUCUCGAGAUUCUCUACCGGCUUCUGGAGGGCCCUAAAAUUCGAAGAAUCGAAAAGAAAGACUGGCUGGAUCGAAAAGGAAGGAAGAAAAAUUCCCGGAAAAGGAACUCAAUAUUCAAGCGAGAAAAUAGGCCUGGAGUUGAAUUUCCUGUAGAAGAGAAGGAUGUGGAGUAUAUGGUGGAAGAAUUUGUGGAUAAAGAAAAGGCUAGGGUACUGAGAAAGGAGAGAGAACUUGCUCUUGCCAAAAGAGCCCUGCACAAGUAUUCUACUGAUUCUAAUUAUCAGUUCUUACAUGAUCAGAUUUCAGAUUUAUUUGCUGAACUUCUGAAAUCUGAUAUUCAGUAUUUAAACUCCGGUGAGCUUUACAAGAUUAGUCUCGCAUCCAAAUGGUGUCCCACAAUUGAUUCUUCUUAUGAUAAAUCCACCUUGAUAUGUGAAAAUAUUGCUCGAAAGGUUUAUUCUCGCGAGGAAUAUAUAUCCAGAAUACCAAGGAAUUGAGGAGGCUCACUAUGUUAAUAGAGUCAGGGAUAGGUUGAGAAAACAAGUACUUGUUCCAUUACGUAAGGCCCUGGAGUUGCCAGAGGUUUUCAUGUGUUCGAACCAGUGGGGAUCACUUCCCUACAACCGUGUGGCUUCAGUGGCCAUGAAAUCAUACAAGAGCCUCUUCUCAAAACAUGAUACAGAGCGGUUUGGUGUGUAUCUUGAGAAAGUGCAAACUGGGAAGGCUAAGAUUGCAGCUGGUGCAUUACUUCCCCAUGAGAUUAUAGCUUCAUUGAAUGAGGAGGAUGGCGAGAAAGUUGCAGAGCUUCAGUGGGCGAGAAUGGUGGAAGAUUUAUCAAAGAAUGGGAGGCUCACAAAUUGCAGUGCGGUAUGUGACGUAUCAGGAAGUAUGAGUGGAACUCCAAUGAAGGUGUGUGUGGCUCUGGGGCUGUUAGUUUCAGAGCUCAGUGAAGAUCCAUGGAAAGGUAAUGUAAUUACUUUCAGUGCAAGUCCUGAGCUUCACAAGAUCCAAGGAGACAGCCUUGUAUCCAAGACUGAAUUUGUGAGGAUGAUGGAAUGGGGUGCGAACACUGAUUUUCAGAAAGUUUUUGACAGAAUCUUACAAGUAGCAGUGGAGGGAAAUCUGAGUGAAGAUCAAAUGAUAAAGAGGGUUUUCGUUUUCACUGAUAUGGAGUUUGAUGAAGCUUGUGGGAGGUAUAACUAUUGUGAAUAUGACUAUGAUAUGGAGGAAAUUGAUGAGAGUCAGAAGGCAUCUCAGAAGUGGGAGACAGAUUAUGAAGUGAUACAGCGGAAAUUCCAGGACAAAGGAUAUGGAAAAGUUCCGGAGAUAGUGUUUUGGAACCUUAGAAACUCAUCAGAGACUCCAGUGAUGGCCACAGAGAACGGGGUGGCCUUAGUAAGCGGGUUUUCGAAGAAUCUGUUAGACCUUGUUUUUGGAAGGAGGUGGAAUUCUGACCCCUCAGGAUGUGAUGGAAUUAGCCAUCUCUGGUGAAGAUUACAAGAAACUUGUUCUAUUUGAUUAAGAUAUCAAGAGAUUUAUCAAUAAUAAUAUGUUUUUUUUUUUCUAUGUGAAAUACAUGUAAUAUUAACUAUGGAGUUAUCAAAGUUCUGGAAAUUUAAUUAUUUCUUCUUUUCAAGUUUUGUUUGUCUUUGUUAGGAAUUCCCCUUGGGCGGACCCAGCUGGGGACUUGGAUUGAGGAAGUAAGGAGGCGAAAUUGUGUUCUUCUAUGGACAGAGAAAAAAGAUAAAAAUAAAAAAUAAAAAAGGAGGUUAUUUGCAUUUGGAUGUCAUGUGGUUUCAGGGUACAACUACAAGUUCGAAAUUGUACAUAAUGUGAAAAUUCCUGUGUGGAGAACAGCAUAAAUAUGUAUCUCAGUGUGUUUUGUUUGAGCUAAUUGGCAAAUUCGCUUUAAACAUGGUCACAUGGAUGCAUAUUUAUUUGUGAAAUGAUAGUAGUCGAUUACUUGGUCAGUAAGGUUUGUAUCUCUAACUCCAACAUCUUAUUGUAGUCUUUUAAAAUGUCAAAAGUUUAAUGCUAGCUUGAGAAAUUUUGGAAUGGAGACAUUCUAAACAAAGUUAAUAAUCCAUGAGACUUGGUAAAACCGAUCAGAUGAUGCUUACGUACAUGAAUGCCUUCUUUAAGCCGUAUCCUAUUUUCAUUGAAUGAGACGUGCCAUCUAGUUUUGUUCUUGUCUUGAUUGGAUCAUGAUCCCGGGAAUUGAUUACUGUUCUGAAUUUGCGAAUGUUCAAGGUAUUAGAGAAAGUUAAUAUUAUCGUUAAUUUACAUAUUAGUAUUUAUCUAGUUAUUAUAUAUUAGUUUGAAUUAUAAUAUAAUAUAGAAUUUGAAUCAAGUUUACUAUUAGUUUGAAUUACAAUAGGAAAUAAAGUUUGAAUUAUAGUAUAACUCAAAUAUAUUUGUAUAUAAAUAUCCAUCUUUAUCAAUGAGAAUAGUAAACCAUAUUUUUCUCUAUCUUCUUCUUUCUCUAUAUAUAUGGUAUCAAAGCCUCCAAAUCCUAAACCUAGUCUCAACUUAGAGCAAAUUUAGGGUGCAGGGUUUAGGCCCCGCCUCCCCCAACCCUUACCACAAAUGGUAGUGACCUUGUUAUGCCUAUGUAUUGUCAAUGCCUCAUUUUCUAUGGUCUUCAAUACAAUAUCUAGUUUCAAUGUCUCUUUCCUUACUAUCUCCAAUGCAAUAUAUUGAUUUCAAUAUCUCUUUACAACCAAGAGCUCCAAAUUUUCCUGGUUCAAAUCUACCAUAAUUUUUAUUCUCCUUUGCUUUUUACCAAUAUUAGUUCCCCUAAUUUAAUAUAUAUCUCUUUAUUACCUUCAACUCUACCUCUCUCUUUCUUUAAAAGCUUCCUCAAAGAUUUGAUUGCUUUCUUGCAUGUUUUGGGAAAACAAACAUGCUCAUAUUCUAUUACCUCUACUUGAGAUCUGCCUUAUACUCUACCUUCUUCUUUACCUCCUAUAUCAUCUACUACAUUAGCUUCAAAAACAUUAUUUAGUUUGAUGCUAAAUAAGGCUCCUAAUCCUACCCUUCCUUCAACUAACUUUCUUUUACAAGUCCCUCAAAGUUUUUUUUUUUUUUUUUUUGGAAAUUUGGCUUAGAAAGAUUUCAUUACUCUUACCUAAUCUUUCAACCAUCAAGUCGAAUCCACUUAUCUCUUGAAUCCAAGGAGACUACCCUCCACAAAAACAAGGAGAUUGACCCCCACAAUAACAAAGAGAUUGUCCUCCAUAGAAACAAAGAGAGCUUCCUUCAUGGAAGCCGAAUACAUCGCAAUCUAUUUUCUUUCUCUCAAGAUCAAAUCUCCAAUCGGAGCUCCAUCUUGUGGGGAUAUAUUAGAAAAAGUUAAUAUUAUCCUUAAUUUACAUAUUAGUAUUUAUCUAUAUUAUAUAUUGAAUUAGAAUAGAAUAUAGAAUUUGAAUUAAGUUUACUAUUAGUUUAAAUUACAAUAGGAAAUAGAGUUUGAAUUAUAGUAGAACUCAAAUAUAUUUAUAUAUAAAUAUCCAUCAUUAUCAAUGAGAAUAGUAUUCCAUAUUUUUCUCUUUCCCUGAGGCUUCAGAAUGUGAUCUUGAACAUUUGAUCUUUUGGAUUCUUCUUGUUUCGGUGGUUUAAUAUAAUGGAAUGUUUAAUUAUAGCCUACUUUAUCACCAUGGAUGUGCUCCUGCAGAUUUCUUGAGGGUGAUGGUUAUUUUGUCAUGUUUCUUGAAUGGUUUGCAUCAGCUGCCUGAGCUGUUGUUGCUGGUCACUUUUGCAACCAGGGAAAGAAUCAUGGCUUUGGAGAAGCCAGCUUCUGUUUUUGUUGCCCAGCUGUUAGUUCACUAAGAUUGGGGGUCCUAACAUGUAUGUAUAAUCAUAAGCAAGGAAAUUUUAUGUCUUACGCUAGAUAGGUACCAUGAUAUGAUGUUUGAUUGAUUUAUUAACUCUACCUGUUUCAAAAGGCAUCAACAUUAAUUUUACCCUUUUAACACAUUGGAUUGUUUGACCUUACGAGAUUUUCUAUUUCUGUACUAUUUGAACUGCAAUCGUUAUGGUCCUUAGGUCUCUAAACCUUCGUUUAAAAUAAAAGUAAGGAGCACACAUAGUAAAAGUUAAUUUUGGGUAACUUUUAAAACAAAGAGAAAAGUAAAAGUUGUUUUUGAGAAAAACAUAUAGAAAUUGAAAGAUUUUUUAUUUUGAGAAAAAAAAGUCAUAGAAAAGAAAUAAUAUCCCCAUAUAAGUAGAUAUGAUCUAUCCGAAGUGUAGCUACUCUCCUGGAUUUAUUCUAACAUUUUAAAAUUUUUCUCAAUGGGCAAAGGAAUAUCAAAUCAAGCUUGAGUAGGAUUAAUUUCUUAAUUUUUAAAAUAACUUAUAAUUAAAAUUUUUUGGUGUUUUCUUUUUUGGACAAUUUUUUAUGAAGACUCUGAAUCAUGCAAGAGAUAUGGUUAUUUUAAAAAAAAAAAUAAUUUAAAACUCAAAUACAUAAUCAAUGUCACAAAUUUAUAAACAAAAGGUUUUUAAAAAAUACUAUUAUUUCCCCUCUACACAUAAUUUUACUUUUCCGAUUUAUUUAUUUUUGUUGGAAAACAGUCUUCAAAUCAAGUAAAAUUAAUAUGUUAAAUUUGUUAAACAAAUAAAUUUUAAAAUACAAUUUGGAACUCAAAAAUCAAUUCAAGUAAUGCUAAAAUUCAAAAAAUCAAAUUUGGAAUAAAAUGACUUUGUAAAUUUUUUUACUAAACAAAUGAAUUUUAAAUCAAGUGAGAUUUAAUACAUUGGAUUUUUAUGAGAAUAGUAAUUUUAAAAAUUAAUUUGGAACUCAAAAAUAGACACAAUAAAUACCAAAAAUCAAUGAACCAAAAUUGGUUUGGAAUAACUCCAUAAUUUUUUAUUUAUUUAUAUAUUUAUUUUUUUGUGCACACGAAUUUCUUACUAAGCAUAUUGCUUCCAAAUUGAGAAAAAUUUACUAUUUAGAUUUUUUUAAUGAGUUUAAUGGUAUUUAAAAAUAAUUCAAAAAUUCGAAAAUUGACUAAUUUAAUAUUAUAAAUUCAUAAACCAAGACUAAUUCAAAAUGCAUUGGGGGCUAAGGGGGUUGAAAUUAAUGCUCCAUUUGGUUGUGGCCACCAAUUGGCAAUGGCCACCAAUCAACCAAUCAAGGUGGCUAAGGGGGUUGAAAAUAGGGACAAUGGGGUGGGUUUGGGACAGGACACUCAUAUCCCAUUCCCAUCCCAAUUACACAGUUAUUUCCCAUCCUUAUUCCAAACUUGUGUUGGGGCAAGUUGAUUUGUUCCCAUCUUUGUUAACGAAAUGACUAAUAACCUCAUCCUCUCCUUGUCUUAGAUGUACAUUUUCUCAAAUUUGGUCAGGUAUGAUUGAUUCAAGCCCUAACCUUAAUUGGUAAUGAGUGGAUACCACACCUAAUUGCAUUCUUCUUUCGUUGCAAAAUAAUGAGAUUAUAAUAAUCUAGCAAAUAAGAAAAAAUAGUAUGGAAGUUCAAAUUAACACCAUAACUAUCAAUAAUUUUAAGCUUAUAGAUGACUUAAAUGAUUGAAAACUAAUGCAAAAUACUAAAAAAAAAAAAAAUCAUCUAAAGAAUUCACAAGAGAAUAGAACGAACAAAACCAAAUAGGAACAUGGGUCAACAUUAGUUACAGAUUUUGAUCCCUUUCAAGGCCAAUCUUUGAACCAAGACUUCAUCAAAUCUACUACUUCAAAGGCUUUUGUGUUCUUCUUGAGUUGUACUCUGGAACAAAGACUUCGAGGUGAUGCUUUAGAUGAUUGCAUUACACAUAUUUAGGGUAGGGAGAUUGGAGAAGCUUGAAGAUGCCAACGAUGGGUACAAUUGAGUGGUCAAUAAGAACAAUGUGGCCUAUGACUAGUUUGAUGUCAUGGUAUAGGAGUUUUGGGCAUUGAGGUGAAAGCAAGAGCAACAUGGAAUUGAUUUCAAAGUCUUUCAAUUAGUGUAAAGGAGGAAGAAGAAGUGGUAUUGAUCCUAGAAAUAGUGUUUUAGGUGUUGCAUUAGAGGAAAAGAAAAAGAAAAAGAAGGAACCAUUGGAAUUAGUACGAGUGUGAAGAGAGAAGUGUAUACAUAAGGGGAAGUAAAAGCAAAGUUCUAAAAAUUUAUUUUUUUAUUGGUGGUGUAUGGUUGCAUGAUUAUCCCUAUAAAUAAUAGGAGUUUUUUGGUGUUCUACUAGUAGUUGAAGGAUAAUUUCAUAAGAUAAUAUUUAGAGCGGGGUGGGGUGAGUUGUGACAAAAUCCAUACCCGUCCCAAACAUUGGUUCAGGUUUUUAAAAUAUUUUCAAACUUAUCAUAUACCCAAUUUUAUAUUUCAUACUUGUCCUAAUAGAGACAGGUUAGUCAGGGUUACUUGAGUAGCCUACAAAACUAUCAUCCCUAGUUGAAAUGCUCUUUUUGGCAGUGGCAGCUAGAAGCUCGAUCGAUUGACCUACAAGACUAGUUGUCAUCAUUUUAAAAAGAGUUUUGGCUUUGGUUGUGAGUGCAAUUGAAUCUAAACUAACAUUUCCUUAAUGCAUCUACUUCAAUCCUAAACUUCUUACUUAAGCCUCAAUUGUUGUUAAGAUUUUGGAAAACCCAUUUCCUUAAAUUGUAAAUUUAAGAAAAAAAAAAUUAAAAGUGAGACAUUUCUUGAUUGAAUGUUGUUAAAGGUCCCUUGGAAUUAAGACUUGGUUGAAGCCUUGGAAGAUUAGCAGAACUCUCAACUUAUGUUUGAACCUUGAGGAGAGUGGACGUAGGCCAAAAUUUUGUCAAACCAUUAUACAAAUUGAGUUUGAAUUCUCAUUUCUUGAUUUCUUAUUUAUUUGCUUUUUCUUAUUAUUACUUGAAUUGUCAUUUGCAUUCAUUAAUGUUAAAAUUGGUUAUAAUUAGCCAACACUAAUUCUCUUUCCCCUUCCCUUAAUUUCUUGGGUGUAAACCUAGGUUGGAUUAACUAGAUUUUAUCAAAUCUAUUAAGAUGGUAAAAGAAUAAUUAUUCUUAACAUACAUAAGAUCAUCUUCAAUCAAAUGACUCAUUGGCUGAUAUGUUGAAUUUGCUUAUUACUUGCAACUCAAAAUUGUGUUCUAGUUGAUAUGUCAAGUCCUGAGUGUAUGGACAUUAAAUUUGUAGUACGUGAUGAGUAUUUAGAUGGUCCAAUUCCAAGAAAGUGAUUGAAAACUAGUUCAAGAAAGGUGCAAAAGGGAAUUGUUUUGGUAUUUUCGUUUUUAUUCUUGAAGGUGGCAGAGCUAAAAUUUGAGAAAUCAAGCAAAACAUACUGAAAUUACAUUGAAAGAAAGAAAAUGGGAGUUAAUGUCUUGCAGUACAUGAUAAGGACUUCAUGCAUGUAGUGUGACCCAUGUCUUGGACUGAUGCCACACUCACGGUUACACUUAUACCCUUAGUUCUCUCUUUACUACCUUAGCUAACCUAGAUCAGGUUAUGAGAUAGGCACCUCACCACACCAUUACUUGCCCAUUAAUUAGUGACAUUUUCAAGCAAUGAGGUAACAUGGUGACACCAAGAGGGUAUAUUCCUCACCCCCAACAAGCCUAGACCUGGUCUAAAAAAAAUGGAGAAAAAUGACGUGUUGUUAUGCAGAAAUAUAGCAACCAUGCCUUCCUCAUUACUUAGAUUCAGAAUGUGAAGGUGAAAUUGAGAAACAGAAACUCUUGAAACCAAAAUGAAAAUUGAUACUUUUACGAAGAAUUACAACAACAUUAGAGGAAGACUACAUUCUUCCUCUUUAUUCCUACAUUUCUACACUACUUCUACUCCACUCCAUAUUUCUACAUACAUCUUUAAUCAGUCUUCCCUCCUUUAUAUAGAGCCAUCUUCACACAAAUUCCGCAAGGUAGAAAAGAGGAAUGAAACUUGGAGCAAGGUUCGACUACUGGCUGUAGCUUGUCAAGGCUGAAAGUGAACUUUUUUUCUUGGCUUUUCUGGGCAUAGGUAGUAACUUGUAGGUUCCUUUUUGGAAUGAAAAUGGUACGGCUAGAACAUGUGGCACUCUCUUGUUGGAUGAUGUGUCAAGCAUGUGGCAGCCAUCUAGUGGAGAUUAUGUCAAUUUUGGGAUGGAGAGUUGGCAUCCAAUUGCAAAGAAAUAUGACAUCUACCAACAUGCAAUGUCAACCUAUGUAGAUCAUAUGAAGAUAGAGAGGAAAAAUAUAGAAAUGGAUAUAUAACUAGAACUAGCUUUUUAUUAAAUGAGACGGAGAGCCAACAAUGAAGGAAAAUCAAAAUUUUUGGCUCAUAUCAAAGAAUUCACAUUGUGUUACCCUAGGUUUUCUUAAAACUUACUUUUAUGAUAAUAAAAAAUCAUUAUUGUUUAAUCCUUUGUUUUAAACGCAUGUUUAGCAGGUUGUAAAAUGUAAAUAUCUUUCGAAAUUCAAAUAUGAAGAUAUGACAUCAUUUCAAGCAAUAUAGUCUCUAGGAAUUAAUGUAAAGCUAAAUUAAGGUGCAAUUAAGUUAGUUCAAUGCAUUAUUUUAAGAAACUUGACCUAUCAAAACCUUGUCUUACUUCAAAGCCUCUUUUUCUUUUCUUCCAACUAACAUUUUAAUAAGUGAUCGCAAAAGUACAAAAUUAGAUGAAAUCCAUUUCAAUGGUUAAAAUGAUCAAAUUCAAACUUUUUCUAAGUAUCUUUUAAAAGCAUCAAUAUUGAAAGACAAUUUUAUAUUUAGUCAAAGCUUGGACAGAGCCAAAAAGCACACAAAAAUUUAUAUUUUCUAGCUCUCUACCUUGGAUGGUCUCUUGAUCCUACUUGGAGAUGUGCAUAAAUAAAAGGAUUUGAAAAUGACAAUUGACUAAGUAUGUAGUCAAUCAAUUACUCAUUGAUUGACUAGUUGAUCAAUUAACUUUGCAACAUCAUAUGCAAUCCUAAUAGCUAGUCAUCUAAUCAACUAGGUAGUAAAUCAAUAGGCCAAAAAUAUGUUUAUAAUGACUAUUUUGUACAAAAACCACUUAUAUAGUUAAAUAUAAUGCAUUUCAUUUAUAAAUCUUCUAAUUCUUGAAUAACAAUCCUAUCAUCCUUUGAAAGUUUUUAUUACACCUUUUCUACAUUUGUUCUAAAACUUAUACAUCACCCUUAAUUGUACCAUGAGAACCUAGCAUUUUUUUUUUUUUUUUUGUAUUUCAUCAAAGUUAGCUCUUGUACUCAUUGUUGUAUUAUUUUUAUUGUAACUUAGAGAGCGAGUGUUUUCAAGUGAGUGAAAUUGACUUGUAAAUAUUGUAAAGAUUCAUUGAUAUGUAUCUCAAACUAGGUGUACAAGUUGAAACAUUUGCUAGUAGAUUUUCUCAAGAUUUAGAAUGAGCUUAAGGCUAUCGAAUUAGGUGGGGUUGCGCCAAACCAUAUCACAUCGUUGUUUGCACCUUUUUUUUCACUCUCUUUUACUUAGUUGCUCUAUAUAUAUUGUCUAGCAAUAUCCUAAAGGCUUGAUGGGCUAGGGAGCAUCCCUCUGAAUGAAAAAUUUUCAUUCAAUUCUUAGUUGUAUUACGCAUAUAUAAAAUGCCUCAUUGUUUUAAUGGUAUUCAGUCGUGGCACCACAGAUAUGGACAUCUAAAUUUUAAAAGUUUGAAACUUUUAGCUAAAGAAAAUAUGGUGCUUUGCCUUUUUGGAAAGCAUGUUGAUGAAAUCCAUGAGAAUUGUAUACUUGGAGAGCAACAUCGAGAUAACUUUUUUUUUUUCUUUUUUUAUAAUGCAUUGUUUGUCCAAAUUCCGUACAAAUUAGGCCACCACAUGUUCAUAAUUCUCCCUUCUUGAAUUUGAAAACUCGGACAAUUUGACAAUGCGACACCUAAGUCCGGUUUUUAAAUGCUAAAGUGAAAGGGCAGGUAUGGACCAUUGAAAUGUGAUAACAACUUUUGGCCUUUUCCUUUUCUCUGUAGCCAUGUUGUCUCUUUUUAAUUUCUUUUGCAUGAUUUUCUUACCUAAACAGAAUCAUAGACUUGUUUAAUCUCUAAGUGGGAUUUCAUCCACCUUAAGCUACUGUAUUAUAUCUCGGUGGAGGACAACCGACAUAGAGCACAUGCAAGUGGGUAUAUGGGACAUGAAAUAUCUUCUUAUAAAGCUUGUUUUGCAGUUAAAUUAAUUGGAUAAGUAGACACUGGCGUUUCUAAAUUUCCCACCUAAGAUAAUGACCUUAUCCUUGACUGCUAGAUACACAAACAAUUAUACCUUCAAAAUCUACUGUGAAGUGCUUCAUGUAUGUGUGAAGUAUUAGAAAUUUCUUUCUUGGCAACUUGUUUUUUUCUUUGCGGUCUACUGAUAGGUUUGACUAAAAUUAUAUUCCCUGUCCUGCUAAUUAAUUUUCACGUGCAUGCUCAAAAGAAGAGUAUGACCUUAGUGCACCAAAAUCACUUUCAAUAAUUUGUGAUAAGUUUUUUUGCAUGACAUUAACCUUAUUCAUUUAGAUAAUGUUUAGUUCUCAUAAAUAUUAAGAAAAUGAAAAUAAAUAUUAAGAAAAAUAUUCUUAUAUUUGAUUGUAUUAUGAAAAAUAUCAUAAAAAAUCAAAUAUAAUUAAAAUUAAUUAAUAAUUUAUAUAUUUUAAAAUUAUUUAAUUUUUAUAUUAAAGAUAUAAUAUAAAUGAAAUGAGUUUUAAGUAUUAUAUAAAAAUGAUUUAUUUAUUUAUUUAUAUAUAUAUAUAUAUAUAUAUUUAGUUUUUCUCUUUAUUUUAUUUUCCUUAUGUUUUCCUCACAUUUUCCGGAAUCAAAGAUAGGGAAAUCCACAAUUACCUUCAACUGAGUAGAUUCUAUUGUUUUAGCAAUGUUAGGCUGCUAACUUGUGGUGGUACGAACCAAAUGAUCCAUGUUAAUCUUGGCUUGAUUUAAUUUGGCUCUAUCUCAGAGAACUCAAGGAUCACGUCAACUCUGGUUUCUACUAUUCAGGUCCAUUCCCAGAUGAACUGGUUCAAAUUUGAGAAAAUGGUAACAGACCUUUAGUGAUAUUGGUUUGGAGCCAGUUGCCAAACCUGCCCUGAGCUUUACCACUAAUGUCAAGGGACAAAGCCAUUUGAACAAAAACAAUAGCUUCAAGAGACUGAAUCGUGGAUGAAAUCUGAUCCACAUUUCUUCUCAUUUUGGGAAAAAAUGAGGACUUAACCACAAAGAUUCUACUGCCUCAUAGUGCUUUUCCUGAUCUAAGGUUGGCUCGUUUCCCAAAUUGUGAGGUGCACGUGCCACUCUCACGCUCAGGAGUGUAUCCACGUGGUGGACAUAAGAUGGUGGCUUAAUAUCUGGUGUCGGUGGCUUUACUUUACUAGGAGAGUAGUGUGUCUUCAUCUCAUUCACUGCCAGAGGGUGGCGUAAGCAGUGACGCUAAGGUGGGGCACAGUCAAUAUCAUUUGCAUUUGACCAUUAUAAUUUUCUCCCGGCUUUAAAGUAACCUUAUCGUGAUAAUGGAUUACUAGCACUAGUUCAGAUGACAGUCAUGUUAAAUUCGGACCAUGUUUGUGUCACAUUAUCAGCAACCAUGUGCUUGUGGUUCAUGCUAUCUGCAACUAAACUUGAUAUAUAACCAGGUGAACUUCAAUCUAAAUUCUGGAAGUACUCAUGUGAUAGAUGGUGCCUGUCUGCAGUGAGUGUAUCUAUAAGAGGGAAGGCUUGGCAAAUGUUCAGUUUUCUGGGAAUUCAACAGGGAUCUAAAAUAGAUUGUUUUCUUUGCUGAUUUCAAUGGUUGAAAUUUGAGAAGAUUGUGUCCACAUAACACAACUAUUACUGGUCCUUCUGUUGCAAUUUAUCCUCUAAGGCUCUAACAUGUCUUCCAAUUCCCACUUCCCACUUCCCUGUUACUCCAGGAAAGCUGUUUCUGUCAUUGUGAAGAAGAAAAGAGACUGUACAUAUCGAUGCUUUUAAGUGGACUGGAGAAUUCAUAUCAGGUGGUCUGCAGCCAUACAUGCCACUUUGUGAAGGUUGGAACAGUCAAUCACUAGGCUAUAUUAGUGGGGCCCAGCCACUUCAAUCAAGGACAAGUCUUCAUACUUAAAGUCAAAUUCUGCCUUUAGUCUCAUUAUAAAUUGCUGUUUAAAUAUCAAGCAAACAUUUGUUUAAUGCGAUUAAGACAGCACUAACUCAAUACUUGUUCUAUUUUUGGAUGCAAAUGCUUGAUAGUUUCAUCAUUGGAGGGGAUAAAGGUGCAUUCAUGAUUAUGAAUACUUGUAGUUAUAUUUUCAUUCUCUUUUUUCUCAAUGGGACUUGUUGGCACAAUUUUGCUGUUCAGAAACCUACCUCUCCAUGGAAAAUCAGUUGUGAUUGAUAUUACUGGAUAUAUUCAAGAAAGCUAAAUGUAGAUAGCACAAAAUAUUAUCGACAUAAAUAGCAUUAACAGCGUACGUAUGUCUCAAUGCUCAUCAGCUAUAAGCAAGGGGCAAACACUUACUAUGAGCAACUUACGUCAAAAUUCCGGAAUAGGACAUAGAAGUGACAGGUCAGUAAAUAUAGAACACUGCAUAUGAGUCACAAGAAAGGAAAUUACGGGUACAUAGCAGCUCUUAUUUUACAUCCUACUCAUACUGAUCAAAGUCACUCAGUUGGGAUGGGUGGGAGUGGGAGGUUUGUGGGGUGGCUUGUGCGGAGGAGUUGGCAGCUUCUUUCCAGGACCUGGUUGCUUCUCUGCUGGAGUUGAAGGAGGCUUAAUCUUCCGAGGUGGCUUGUAUGAGUCUUCAGCAUUCUCAGCAGGAGGGUGACCAGGGUUGUGACCACAAUGUGGUGGCUUCUCUCCCUUAGGUGGUUUGCCAACUGGGGUUGGUGGCUUGUGUUCCGGAAGUGGCUUCUCUUUGUGUUCAGGAGGUGGCUUCUCCACUGGAGGCUUGUGUUCAGGAGGUGGCUUCUCCACCGGAGGCUUGUGUUCAGGAGGUGGCUUCUCCACCGGAGGCUUGUGUUCAGGAGGUGGCUUCUCCACCGGAGGCUUAUGCUCUGGUGGUGGCUUCUCCACCGGAGGCUUAUGCUCUGGUGGUGGCUUCUCCACCGGAGGCUUAUGCAAUGGUGGUGGCUUCUCCACCGGAGGCUUGUGUUCAGGAGGUGGCUUCUCUACCGGAGGCUUAUGCUCUGGUGGUGGCUUCUCCACCGGAGGCUUAUGCUCUGGUGGUGGCUUCUCCACCGGAGGCUUGUGUUCAGGAGGUGGCUUCUCCACCGGAGGCUUGUGUUCAGGAGGUGGCUUCUCCACCGGAGGCUUGUGCUCUGGUGGUGGCUUCUCCACCGGAGGCUUAUGCUCUGGUGGUGGCUUCUCCACCGGAGGCUUGUGUUCAGGAGGUGGCUUCUCCACCGGAGGCUUAUGCUCUGGUGGUGGCUUCUCCACCGGAGGCUUGUGUUCAGGAGGUGGCUUCUCCACCGGAGGCUUAUGCUCUGGUGGUGGCUUCUCCACAGGAGGCUUGUGUUCAGGAGGUGGCUUCUCCACCGGAGGCUUAUGCUCUGGUGGUGGCUUCUCGAAUGGGGGAUGCGUAGGGUAAUCAGCUAGUGAGGGGGCGGUGAGAACCACCAGGCCAAGCAACACUACUAGCAAGUAUGUAGGAGACAUCUUUGGGUUUGGGCUCAGAUGGUGCAAAACUAGGAGAAUUGGCUAGCCUUUUAUAGCGGAUCGUACCCAAUAAUGAAAUGACACGUGUCAUUAUGACCCAUGUGUCAUGUGGUCGAUUUGGGUCCUACAGUGUUGAAAACUUCGACAUCCACUUUUUUGGCCUUUUGCUUUCUCUACAGUCGCCUUGCUUUUUCCCUCUUUUCUUUUGUUUUCCUCCUGCCCCAUUCUAUCAACUAAUCACAAUUAUGUAGUUGUUUAAUUCUUAAAUGAGAUAUUAUCCGUCAAUCAUAUUAUCUUUUAUCAAGAGAGAACGGAGUGAAAAGUGGCAAUCCAAAGAAAGAAGAUCCAUAAUGCAGCUGUAAUUUUAUCGUUUACUUUUAUCUCUAGGACCACUGCAUUUUUGUUGAGAGGUGCAAUAAUACACGUCUUUAUCUGCCAUUCAAUGUUUACAGUAAAGAGAGGGCACAAAACUCUUCACUGCUCUGCAUGUGCCCCAAAAAUGCAAUUGGACAAAUUAUGAUUUGCAUGCUAAAAAGAGGCAAAUGAGGUUAAUUAGCACCAAAAUUAUUUUGUUUUCUGGACACCCCGGGGCCCUUUGGUUGGUUUGGGGGUCAGAAAAUGAACAUCAUAGGGGGUUUUUCCCUAAUGUGCAUUUGCAUUUGUAUCUGAUGGCUUUAACUCGCCUUGUUACUACAAAGAAAUUGUCACAGAUAGGAACUUAUUCCAGGCUGAGUAUCUCCGCAUGGACCCUAUAAAAGAAGACAAGUCAUAAUGAACAUCUAACCUUUGUUCAAUUUGAUUCAAUGCCCCUAUUGUGUCCAUCUCACAAAUCUGAAUUAUUAUAUCCAUUGAAUACAUAAAUUAAUGAAGAAAAUAUGAAACCCAAGAUACAUCUCUGCACAACCUCAACCCUGGUUGCUAUGUUUCACUUCUAUUCACAUGAGGAUAUUGAUUACGGAAUAAGGAAACCUAGCAAGGGUUUACUCGGCUCUGGUUUGAUGCUAAUUGCCAAACUUGCAACAAGCCCUGAGUUUGACACCUAAUCGAUGGGCGAAUUAAAAGUCUCCUCCAAACAUAUAUUCCACAGCUUGAAGCUCACAGAAGAUGCUAUACAGGCAGGGAAAAACCUUCAGAGUUAGCUACCAAAGAUAAUUAUCAAGGAGAUAUCACCAAGAGAAUUCCAUGGAGUCUGAAUCAAAGACAAAUUGCUCGCUCGUGGGGGUUCUUACUUAAUUUCUUUUGGGUAUAACUCACUGAGGGCACUGGCUUUGUUAUUUGCAUUUCGCAUUUAGAGUUCUGUUCUGGAAGGUUUGUUCUGGAAACAUAUAAAAGGAGCAUCAUUUUGUUCUAGGGUAACCCAUAGUUGUGAGUGGGUCCAUUUGCAUGCUACUUAGUUGAAAAGUUGGACAAUUUGCUCCGACGCCUACCUCCUGGAUUCCAUGCUCGGAUAAAGCAAGAAUAAUAAAAUAUUUAUAAUUUACAAAUGGGGGAAAGAAAAAAAUGUCAACAACAAACUAGGAAAAAAGAGUAGUAAAAUUUAUGCCACAUGCUAUUGAUAGAAGGGGCAUGUAUUAGAUCCAUCACCAUUUGGUAAGAUUUUAGUAUUAUAUUUUUCAAGGUUCAUUAUUUGAGGGUGUGUUCUUCAUCUCUGUUGCAUUGCUUCUUACUAGGCCCACUGAGGUGGGUUCUUCACCUUUUGUAUAUUCUCUGCACUAGAUCAAUGAGAAAGGGGGAAUUUUGGUGAAUUUGCAGCCGUUGGAUGAUUGAUUCUAGGCUCAGUCCACCAAUGAUGCUCUCUUCACUCUUUCUCAUCUAGUGUCAUUCACAACUAUGUUUUGAUUCAUAUUUGUACUAUCAAAGAUAUCUCAUUAUUCUAGCUCAUUAGGUAGAGUUCCUAAUCUUCCUCCUUUUUGGUCUAUGGACAGUAUUGGCUUCAUAUUAAGAUCAUGUUUCAAUAAUUGCACAUUAAUGAAUGGAUCAUGACCCACAUAAACAGAGUCAGGGUUGAGUCAGUGAACCCUAAAAUUUCACAAUUCUAAAUUUGGGUUCUUUAACAAUGCAGGGUCAAGGACGCGUGGUGAUGAAGGAAAGCUGGUAAGCUCAGUGUUACUUCAAUUCCUGCCAUGUAGGAUGGUGAGGAGAUAUUCACUAUGCAAUUAAUAAUAGACAAUAUUCACUAUGCAAUAAUAAAGCAUAAAUUAAGUUGAAUGAAAAGCAUUUUCUUUGCAAGGAGUUGAUUUUGGUUUCAUAGUUUGUUCAACUGCUAUUUUGGAUAGGAAAGUGUGAGGAGAAGAAAAUAAAAAAUAAAAAUAAAACAAAAAAUAAAAAAUAGAUUUUAUAAAUUCAUUUAAUUUAUUUUUUUUUUAUAAAAAUUAACUAAUUUAAAAUAUAUGUAAAUUUCUAAUUAAUUUAAUUACAUUUUUUUUUUCAGUUUUUCAUAAUAAACCAAAUAUUAGAAAAUUAUUUUUAUUAAGACACCCAAGAUGAGGUAAUAUGCAAUGAAAACAUGAAUUAUAUUAAAAUUCAAAACAAAUUAAGAGAAAUCGGAAAAUAUACAUAGAUAUCUAAACAAAGAAAUUUAAAGAGAAGGAACCACAAACUUUAUUUACAUAAUUUGAAAAUAAAAAACAUAAAACAUACUUAUAGUAAGGAGAAAUUGAAUAUCUUACAAUGGAAGAAGGGAGAAAAGCUUUGAAGAAAGCUUUUGCUUGGAAGCUUACAUGGUGAGAGGUAGAGAAAGGAGAGAGAGAGAAGAAAAUGAAAAAUGAGAAGUGGAGAAAAUUGGAAGUUUUGUGUGCUUACAACUGAGGAUAGAGCCUCCUUAAAUAGCAAAAAAUGGAAUAUUAAAUAGUACCAAUCAGGAGACAAAAUAUUGUUUGCUUUUGAAACCCGUGCAUGAAUAGUAAUCCCGUGAGUGAAUAGUGAAUAAUAAAAGUGAAUAGUAAAAGUCACUUUCUACUAUAGCACUUUAGACUUUUUCAUCGAGAAUCUUACUUUCGGCUGAGUGAUGAUAGCUGAUAGGUUGCUUUGGAUUGUGGAGUCAUAUGUUUGAUGUUUUCGGUGCUGAAACCGCUUAGUUGGAGAAUAAUCUCGUCAGUAGAGCAUCAUGAGAAGCUUGAAUGGAGAGAGCUUAAUGAUGCCAUAUGAUUGGAAGGAAUCCUAUUUUAAUUUCCUUAUUGGAGGGAGAAUACCCUCACAAUCAUCUUCAUUAUCUUGAAGGUAGUUUGAUAUAGAGUCAUCUGACUCAGCAUAAGAGUCCUCUUGGGAGAAGCUUGAACUGCUUUUGUCAAGGAUUUUCUGAAAUUCUUGAGGGGUUUUUGCUAUUGCUAACAUGGUUUGGAGUUGCUGUUUCUUAAGAAGAAACUGUGCAAUAUCAUAAGAUGAUGAAGCUUGUGUAGGAUGCUUUAGGAAAUAUUGCUUUAUUGCUUGUAGUGAGGUAUCAUUUUUCAAGGCAUCCCACCACUUAGACUUGAAAGUCCUUCCAAGGGUUGGAAAGGCUGCUGAUUCAUCUGCUAUAAUGAUAUAAUCCCACUGGACUAUCCAGGCAAGGCCAAAUUCACUAAAAAAGAAUAAUAAUUGGGGAAAACUGAAAGUUCUCUAGGGAUAACAAAAGAACUUUGGAAUAGCUCAAAGCCAUCCAAAAUGGGUUUUGGGAGAAUUUUAAUAGUUGGACCAAAAUAUGUCCACCAAUUGUGGAACCAAAAUGGAAAAGAGGGGAGUUGAUGCUUAGAUGGGAAAUAGAACAUCCCUGAAUGAUGGAAGUCCUUGUUCUGGAUCAGAAAAGCAUUGAACCAUACUCUUUGGUAGUCUCAAUAAUUGAAAAUUUUAGGUUUUGAAGGCUUAGAAAAUUCUCUUGAAAAAUUAGGAUUCCCACCCCACUGCUUAACUGUAAGGAUUUUAUAAAUAUGGUAAGUGGAGAAUGCCAAAUCCAAAUUGCUGAAUUUAUCAGCAUUGUGCUUGAUUUUAACAGAGCCGGUUUCCAUAAGGAUUGCUUCAUAAAAUUCUCUUGUUUUUAAAAGAUCACCAAAGGGAUAAUGAAAAUUUUCAUGAAAAGCUUUUGCUGCAAUAUCUCUAGGGUUUUUAGAGAAAAACUCUUUUUCAAUAACCAAAAGAGGUUGAUUUAAAUCUUUUUGCCAAUAUCUUGCUUUUGCUGAAAGAGGUGUGGGGUUGGCUACCACCACAAUUUGCUUAUUUGAAAAAGAAGAGCUUGAUGCUAAUUCAUUUUGAGAGGGAUUAGCUUUAGUAACCUGCUUAAAGGUCUGAGACACAGUAAUAGUUGGAUACUGAGUAGCCUUGACUGGUUUAGAAGGAUUCGAAGGAUCAUAGUACAAGGACAAAAUCUUAUUAGGCAUAUGGUCAGAAGAAUGAAGCCUUGCUUCUUCUUCUAGCUCAACUUGUUGGCUCCAAAGUAUUUUAUGGGGAGAAGGUUCUUUGCUGGUUUUAGAAGACUAGGAUUCUGGAAGUUUAGGAGCUUGGGUAUUCUUUUUAGGGGCCAUGGUUUCGUGAAUCCUGUAAAAUUCACAAGUUAAGAAAUCAGGGCUCGAAGAAUGUUCUCCUUUAAUAUACUCAAUUUGUAAAUUAAAAUUGCUUAAAAUAGCUUGAUAUAUAGCAAAAAUAUGCUUAGAAGUUAUAUUCUUAACAUCCUUUUGUAAAACUAAUUUUGCAAAUUUACAAUCAACUCUUAAUAAAAACUUUUGAUUCAAAAGAUCAUCUUGAAAUUUUGAAAUGCAUAAAACAACGCUUAAAGUCUCUUUUUUAAUGAUGUUAUGAAUGAGUUGGGUAGUAUUCCAGGUUCUUGAAGUAUACCUAACUAACAUCUCAAGGUUACCAACACUUUGCUUAAGAAUCCCACCAUAACCUAUGUCUGAGGUAUCGAUCCCAACAAACUCAAAGGUUUCUGGAUUGAUAGAGCCUAAACAUGGUAGGGUCUUGACUUUGGACUUAACAUCAAUAAUGAAAACAAUGGUGAAAACAGAAAACUGGUUAAAGUUUUCAUCCAUUAUAUUCUGGAAUUCUGAGGUGCAUUCUUAAGAUCAAAGGGCAUUAUGAACCAUUCAUAAUGUCCAAGAGAUACCACAAAGGUGGUCUUAUUUGGAAUAGGACACCUAAUCCAACUUAAUGUAUCAUUAAGAGGCAUGUAGUUGACGACUAGUCUAGGUGUUCCUUUUUCUGAUUCAACUUGUUCCUGAACAUAGAAGGUUGAACAACUCCAAAGGGACUUAGACUUCCUUAUCAACUUUUUAUCAAGAAGAUCCCAAAUCUCCUUAUCACAAUAGCUUAACAAACCCUUGUUCAUCUGGAUAGGUCUUGAUUUAGUGGGAAUAUUCUUGUCACUAAAGUCUAGUUCAUAAGGUAAUUCUACCUCAUGUUGUUUCCUAUGCCAAAAUGCAUUAGGAAUGUUAGAGCAAACUUCUUCAACAAUCAGAUUAAUUUCUUGCUCAUGACUUUCCUUAGCUUGAAUCACCUGAUCCCUUAAGGUGUUUAUAUUUUUCUUAUUAGGUGGUUGGCAAAUUCAAAAAUAAUUUCCUUAUCUAAGAGCUUUGUUCUUAUACUUUGGUCAUCUACCCACAUGGGAUAGAUGGAGCUUAAAAAGGGGAUUCCAAGGAGAGCUUUCUCCUUAAGAUCCUUAACUAGAAUGAAGGUUUGCUUGAUGCAAAUGCCUUGGUUAUUUAUGUGAGCAUCUGACAGCUUAUACUCAAUGUCAAGCCUUUUACCAUUAGCUCCAAAGAGAGAUUCUUUGGUUUUCUUACAAAACUUAAUAGGACCUAGACCUUCUUGUAGGCAAUUCAAAGCUGUUCCUGAAUCAAUCAAAGCAACAAUAUCAAUGACAAAUUUACUCUUAAUUACUAUAGUAAGGGAGACUUUCCACCUCUGGAAAAUAACCCUACUAACAGUAUUUAAGUAUCCAUCCGUCUUUUCAUCAUUAGCAUGUGAAGAUUCUAGAACCUCUUCAAGGUUUUCCUAGUUAUCAACAAGAUUUUCUAUAACAAUCCUAUUUAUUUGUUCUUGGAGAUCUGAAAAACCUAAGCUUGUGUAUUGUCUUAAAUCUUUAAUUUCCUUCUUAUACUGUCUUACUUCUUCUUGAAGAUCCUUAAUGGUUACGUCUUUGGUAGACUACUGGUUAAAUCUUCCUAAGAUUUCAUUUAAGUUAUAAGAAUUUACUGUCUUCUUAAUCUCUUGCUUAUCGACAAAUUUCUUAAAAACUUCAUAAAGAUCUUGUUUAGUUUUUUCAUCUUCAACUUUCCUUAAAACAUCUAGGACAAGUUCUUGAUCUUGGCUUAUGACAUUUAUAGUCUUAGGUUGGCAAUCACAAUUAUCCUUAAUGUAUUCUUCUUGGUCACUAGAAGUUUGGCUUGAGAUUUCCUCACCACUACUAUCUAGUUGGUUAAUACCAUUUUCAUUAUCUGAAUCAAUCCUUGAUUCAGACUCUGUGGAAUUUAACAUUACUUUACAAAGCAUAUCUUUUAAGUCUUCUGUGACAUUUAAGUUAUUAAUUUUCUGCUUAACCCUACAAUCUUUCUUAUAGUGGCCUAUCUUACCACACUUAAAACAAACUGGCUUAGAUUGUGAAGGAGCUUCUAGCUUUUUAUGGGCUUCUUUGUUCAUCAUUCUUUGGAUGUGCCUUUGUUUCUUAGUUUCAUUCAUCCUAUAGUUGCCAUGAGUUCCUCUCUUGUUGUGAUAGGACUUUUCCUUACUAGGCUUUGUACUUACUUGUUUCUUACGUUGCUUAGAGGGGGGCUUAGUUUCUUUUUGGUUGAAUCCAAACUAGCUACAAAAUGAACCAAACUCAUUCUUGUAGAUCCUUUGUUCAUUUUUCAUCUGUUGCUUAAGCUUAAAGUCAUUGCACAGUUUAAUUGCUUCUGAUGUGACAAUGCUUAUAAUUUCUCCAUAAGAAAGCUUAUCAUAAGGGAUUUGUCCAUUAAACUGUUCCCUUAUCUUAAUCCUAAUCCUCUCAGAGAAAAGUCUAGGUAGUCCUAAGAUGAAUUUUUCUUUCCAAAAAGACUGGUUAUAGUUUGAUCUUAGUAUGACUUUGGUUAGGAAAACUUCUCUAUACCAUCUAAAGUCAUGAAGCUUGGGACACUUAAGGUUGGUUAAGAGAUCUACAAUCUUAUCCUUAAUCUUUGCAGGAUCUCCAAUGAAGUGCUUUGAAAUUGAAUAGAUUAGAGUAGCCACUACAUCCUCUAUAUCUUGUCCAUCUUCAUCCUUAACCACUUCAUUUUCCUCAUUAAUCCUAUAGGCUUUUAGGAUACCAUUUCUAUCCUCAAAGGUGAGAUAAUUAUCCCACCAACCCUAAAGUUGACCUGUAAACCCAACAACAAUUGUUUGAGCUACAGCAUGGCCUGACAAUCUAUUGUUUAACUUAUAGGUUGUACUAACCAUGGUCAUUUCUUGAAGCUUAGUGAGUAUGUUGUACUCAAUCAUACCAUCUAUGUUCCAUUCAUAGAUAGUGUCACUAGUGUAGGAAGCUUGAGUAUGCUGGUUUCUUUCCUCAUACUACAUAUCAGGAAAAGUUGGUCUAGGGUAGUAAUUCCUAGUUCUUGGUUGUUGAUAAUCCUCAUAACUGUUUGGUUAGGAGGUUCCUUAAAAAUCUUAAUUAGUUCAUCAGCCUCUGCUUCAGAACUAAUUUCUCCUUUAACCAUAUUGAUUCUCUUGUGAGAUGGUUGAGGUGUCUCAGAGACAACAAGGCUAUCCUUAACCUUUUGGCUUAUCCUAUCAAUGAGGGCUUGAUCAAUAUGGAGAUUCUCUAGGAAUUUCUUAGAGAAUUCAAAAGGCUUAAAUAAAGACUUAUUAUCUUUCUUAACAAACGUAGUCUUAAUGUAGUCUUGUGUUUCAAUGAUAUCCUCAAACUUGUUGAGUUGAUCGCCUGUAGUCUUAAGAAACAUGUUAGUGUAGUUGUUUUGUUCCAUGAUUCUUCUAACGUCAACAACACUAUCAAUUCCUUUAUUCUUUGGCCUAGUCUUAAAAGGUGAAGCUUUGACUAUGGUUCAAUUAAUGUUCUUUUAUAUCUUAGCUUCUAGAGGGUGGAUGGAUUCUAUGAUAGUAUCGUCACUAGUUUUCCAUAUCUUAGUUUUUUUGGAUGUGUCAUUGACACGCUUACUAGGGUAAUCUAGAUAUUCCUCUUGUUUGAAGAGUUCAAACCAGAUCCAAUACUUAAUGUUCUUCUUUUCUUGUCUUAAGUAUGUGUAGAAUUCUUCUUGGUAGAGGGUUCUAAUGUCUUUAAGGACCUUGCUAAAGAACCAAACUCUCCUUUUCUUAUUGACUUCAGAAUAGAAGUCUUUCCUUAAGAGGUCCUUGUUGAUUCAAAGUCUUCGUUAAUUAGGCUUACAGUGUUAAUCAACUGAGAAUAAGUAGGAGACAUAUCAGGAGAUUCGUCCUGAUGUGAUUCUUGAGUAAACUCAUUUUCCUCCAUGUAAAAGGGUUUGGCCACGUUGGUGUGACUUCUAACACCUGUUAGCUUAAUAUUCUUAGGAUUUGCUGAACUAGAUCCUUCCUCUAUCCUAGUGGUUCUUAUUGGGAUAGAUGAACUUGAAGCUCUAGAGGGCUCAUAAUAUGAAAUUCUAAGGCUGCUAGAAUGAUGAAAAGAGUUGGAGAAAAUUAGAUCUCGUUCUCCAUCAGGAUAUUGAACAAUCUGUUCAAUUCUUUCAGAUCUUUGCUCUAUGGCUGGGACAACAUUAGCAAAAUGCCAAUUUUCUGGAAACUCAACCUCAUUCCACUUGAUUUUCAUGGGGACUAUGAAAUUAGACUUGUUUAUCAUAUCUAAGUGGAAGAUAGUGGUUUCACCCUUGGGACUGGUGCACAAUGCUCCAAAUCCAACGCUUAUGGUCAUGCUCUUAUAGGCAAAUCUGGUGAUGAUGGAAACAUGAUUGUUUCCUUGCUUGAACUUAAAGUCAUGGGUCUUAACAUGAAGGACAACUGAAUCUAAGAUGUUGACAUCUCUUAGUCUAACUGUGAAGUUAGGGAAACACUGGAAAUAAACAGGACCAUCAUUUAAUCCUGCUUGGGUAGCUCCAAUAAUAGAAUCUCGGUAAUCAAGAUGUCUAUUAUCUCUUAAACACAUGACAAUAAAGGUGUUUAGACCUAGUCUUGUCAAGGGCUUAGCUGCAACUUGAAUCAUGCCAAAGUGUAUGAAGUUGUAGUCUCGCUUAUGCUUAUCAAUGGACUUACUAUCCAAGAGUCUUAUGACUUGAUCGUCGUGUUCUAAACUUACUGACAUUUCAGGGGUUUUAAUGGUGUAAUCUGUAAAGAACUUAAAGGUUCCUUUCUUAUAAAUUUCUUGAUUAGGUACCUUGGGUAACUUCCAAUCAUCUAAAUCAUCUUGGAUCUUAGGAUAAUUGAUCUCUUCAUUGUUUACUCUUGAGAAUUUGUGGAUUUCCUAGACAUGGUUCUGAAAAUCAAACUCAUUUUAAGGUUUUAAUCUAGAGCCUAAUAGCAGAUUAACAGACCUAGUGAGUAAUCACCCCAACCCUUUUCCAACCUUAACAAACGCCUAUCUCCAGCUAACAAUGGGCUCAACUCGGCAAGGAUCGCACUCAGGCACACUACUAUCUUUCCUAGGAUAGAUCAAAACACCCAAAACAAACCCGACUUCCUUUUCCUAGGAUAUAUAUAGUAUUUUGGGUUUGAGUAGGAGUUCAUGUUUUGUAUGUAAUUGUAGUCUACGUUGGACUAGGUUGUUUGCUCCUAAUUGAAAUAGGAAUGGUUGGUGUCACAUCUCAUUCAUUUUCUCAUCUAUUUCCAUGUUUAGAUAACUCAAGUAAUCAUAGGAAUGAAAUUAAGAAUGAUUUGAGGGAAAUGAAAUCUCACUUGUAAGUGGGAUCUCAAUUCAUCAUUAAUAGAAGGUAUUUUGAUUACAUAGUGCAAGUUAUUUUUAAAAACACUUUUCAAAAAUUGAAAAACCAAAAACUCUCUUGGAUAAGUUGUUUUUAAAAAGAAUUUUUGUAUUUUUAUUUUGUAAAAAAAAAAAAUAGUAAUUCAAUUUAUAUAAUAUAAAUAGACUUUAAUUUUAUUAAAAAUAAAAAUAAUUUUUUAAUUACAAAUAAAUUAAAAAAUAAAUAUUUGUAAUAAAAUAUGAAUAGUAAUAUUAUAAUAAAAUCAUAAAUAAAUUAAAAAUAUUUUUAAAAACAAAUAAGUUUAAUUUUUUUGAGGUACAAAUGAGCCAAAUUUUUCAUUAGGUACACAACCAACAAUUUUUAUUGGAAACAUUCCUCAAAAAAGAAUUCGUUUCCCAUAUAGCAAAGAUAUUUAUUAUUUAGUAUCUAACCAUCCGUAGUAAUCAUAUCAAUUCUACUAAGUUAUUUAAUAAUUCAUUUAUAUAUAGUACUCAAUUAUGAAUUUUUUUAUUUGAUGUAUAAUUAAUUAAUCAAUGUUUUGAAUUUUGAAUUAUUCUUAAAAUUUAAAACAUUAAUUAUGUCUAUUACUUUUUAUAGUCAUUAUAUAUAUAUAUAUAUAUAUAUAUAGAGAGAGAGAGAGAGAGAGAGAGAGAGAGCUUAAAUUUAUCUUUAAAAAUUAUUAAAUUUAUUAAUAAAUUCAAUACAAAGACUCAUUUGAUUUGAAAUUCAUUUCUUUAGUGAAAAUUUUGAAACUAAAUAGUACUUUGUUUUACUUUGUUUUUAAAUCAUACUCACAAAUAAGUUUUUAUCAUUUAGCCAAAAAAUCUCAAAGAUGUUUCUAAUUUUAUUUAUUUAUUUAUUUGUAAAUGAAAAUAAAAAAUUAGUUUAAACUAAAUAUGCGGAUAUUAUUGUUAAUUUAUUUCAUUUUUUAUUUCCAUUGUUAUUUAACAUUGAAACGGAAACAAAUAAUCAUUCCAAUCUUACAUUCUUAUAUGCAUCUAAACACAAGAAUUGAAAUCACCAAAUUCAUAUUCAAGGCAAAAUAGAAAUGGAAAAAAAAUAUUCAUUUUCAUUCCUCAUUCUCAUGUGCUAAACAUGACAUUAGUUCUACUACCUAUUUCACCAUUCUUCUUGAUAAAUUUGGUAUAUGCAAUAUUGAUCUAAGUGUGAGGUGAAUAAGAAUGAUGAUGGGAUGGGCUUGGAAAUAAGGGCAAAGUUUCUAGGUGCUAUCUAGAGGGGCAACGCGACUUUUUCAAAUUUCGAAUAUUUGUUCUCAACAUAAAGCAAAACUUUACUCACACAAUAGAUAAGACUCUGUUUGUUUUCUUCAUCCACGACUAUAUAAUGUAUAGCUCUUACUCAAGGGAUGAGCUACUUACUAUUAAGGAUUGGGUAAGAUAUUGCCUAAUGGCCAAGAAGGCAUGUCAAAAAAUAAAUCUAAUCACCAUAAAAAAUAAUAGGGGAAAAUUAAUAUAUUAUGAAUGAUGACUUUACUAUUUCUCUAUAUACAUAAUUAUAUAUUUUGAAUUUUCUCACUAGGUAAUGAGAUUCUAAAUCAACUGAAACAUAAUUAAUAAUUUAUAUUUUUAAUGAAUCUUUUAAUUUUUAAAAAUAAUUUAAAAUUUUAAAAAACAAUUCAAUUAAUUACAUAUUAAAUCAAAACAUUUCAAAAUAUUGUGUUUGUAGAUGAGUACUAAAUGCUUGCAUAUAAUAAUAAUAAUAAAAAAAUUGACUCAUUUAGAUGUUAAAAAAGUUAAAUGUUUUUCAUUAUUCAUUUUAAGUAAAAUAUUAUUGACAUUAUUAUUAUAAAAUUAUUAUUAUUCAUUUUUAACAAAAAACAAAAUAAGUUAUUCUUUUACCAAGAUGUCAAUAUCUAUAUUUUUCUAACAUAUAUUAAAAUAGUAUACUUUUCUUUUAUUAAAAAUAAUAAUUAUUAUUAUAUUAUUAUUCAAGUUUUAUUAAAAAAAUUUAUCUUUUAAUUCAUUUGUAAUUACAAAAUAAUUUUAUUUUAUUAAGAAUUUAAUUUAAUUACGCUUUUUUUUUUUAUAAAAAAAACAGUUAUGCUUUUACCAAGAUGUUAAUAUUCAUAUUUUUCUAGCUAACAUAAAUAGAAUAGUACACUUUUUCAUAUAAAAAAAUAAUUUAUGAUUUUAUUAUAAUGUUACUAUUCACAUUUUACUAAAAAUAUUUAUUUAUUUUAUUUAUUUUUAAUUAUAAAAUAAUUUUAUUUUCAAGAAUUUAAUUUUAAAAAAAUAGAAAUCAUUUAUUCUUUUACCAAGAUGUUAAUAAACAUAUUUUUCUAACAUAUACUAAAAUAAAAAAGUUUACUUGUUCAUUAAAAAAUAUAAUUUAUGUUUUUAUUAUAAUACUACUAUCUAUGUUCUACUAAAAAUAUUUAUUUAUAAUUAAAAAAUAAUUUCAUUUUUAAUAAGACUUGAACUAAAUUAAAUUUAUAAUUUUUUUUUAAAAUAAAAUAGAAAAUUAUUUUUUAAAAACAACUUAUUGAAAGAAAUUUUUUAUUCUUUACUUUUAAGAACUGUUUUUAAAAGCAACCUAUAAACCCCUUUGGGUCUGUUUGGCUAUGUUUCAUGCAACUUGUUUUUAAAAAUUGUUUUUUAUUCUUUAAUUUAAUUUUUUUUAAGUUAAAGAAUAAAAAACAACUUUCUAGUGUUUUAUAAAAAUGAGAGCUUUUGACAAGUUGUUUUUAAAAACCAUUUUUAAAAAUAAAAAAUAAAAAACUUAUUUAGAUAAAUUGUUAUAUAUAUAUAUAUAUAUAUAUUUGUAAAAACAUUUUAAAUUCAAUUUAUAUAAUAUAAAUUUAAUUUAAUUUAAGUCUUAUUAAAAAAAAAUUGUUUGGAUAAGUUUUUUUUUUUAAAUAGUUUAUUAUUUUUGUUUUGUAAAAACAUUGCAAAUUCAAUUUAUAUAAUAUAAAUUAAUUUAAUUCAAGUCUUAUUAAAACCAAAAUAAUUUUAUAAUUACAAAUAAAUUUAAAAAUAAUUUUUUUAGUAAAACAUGAAUAAUAAAAUUAUAAAUUAUAUUAUUGUGGACCCUGCAUUUAUGCUCAUGCGCUUCCACUUGUUGGCGAACUCAUUUUUUAUUUGAAAAUGAUUUAUUUUUUUAGAAAAUGACUUAGAGUCGCCACUUAUUUUUGUUUUAUUUUUAAAGGGCAAGCAAAAUAAGAAAGAAAACCCUAAGUGUGACUCCUUAUUCGAAAAAGGUAGUCUGUGUAAAACCGGAUCAGGGUUCAGGGAUCAGGUUACUUAUUGGGAAGGUAUGACAAUGACCGUAGCACUCCUCUAAGUCCUUAAAAACGGGCCUCUACUAAAAAAAAUAAAGUAAUCAUGGCAAUCAGUAAGGAAAUCACUGGAUACCCAGAACAAUUAUGCACAUGUGAGAAUUAAAACAUGCAUAAGAAUGGACAAAGUGAGAGUGGGUGCGUACCUUGACAACGAACCACAAUGCGUUAUCAAGAAAUGGGGUUAGUGCACGAUCAAUGAACAUAAAACACGUCACACAUGUCACUAAGCAGAGUGAGAAAUCAUCAGAUAUUACAAUUCAAUCAAAUUUAUUUUUAGAAGAAACAUCUGUUGAUGUAGAGCCCCUACCAAAGCCUAAUUUAUUUUUGCAUGAAUCAAUUUCAUAAAUUCAAUCGCUUGGAAUUACAGAAUUAAAUUCAUGCUUAUUUUAAAACAUCUUUUUAAAAUCAUGGAAGAUGUGAAAAUGGUUUUCCAAAGAGAAAAUGACAACUGAUUUUAUUGAAAAUGGGAUUUUGGGGACCUAAACGUUAAAGAGGGAUUAGGAAUUGAAAAUUAAAUCAUUUGAAAAUUGAAUUUUUCAAAAAUCAGUUUUGAAAGCAUGCAUGCAAGUAUGGACUGUGAAAGUGGGCCUAGGGAGGGUGGCCAUGCAAAAUGAGGUCAUACACGUGGGCCUUGGGUACAAUUGGGACUACUUUGCUGGUGCCAGUGGUGCUUGCAGCUGUCAUCCAUGAUUUCUUCAUUGGGAUCAAUUUCCAUUCUUACUGCCAAACAUUCCAUAACAAUUGACCAAACUAGUAACCCUGACCUUGCAUGAAAAUGAACGUUACCUAGAAACUCACUGCCAGUGAGAUUCAUUGCUCUUUCAAAAGGUCUCAUUUUCUUUCUCAUCCAAUUGCUUUAAGGAGCAUUCUAGCGUCACGAUUGGUGACUGCGCAUCAUCUAGAGCCUUCUUUCUUCUCAGAAUCAGGUUUGCGUGCAGAGGCCUGUGCUUGUUCAAGGUUGACCUAAAUUCAUCUAGGUUUAGAACCGACCAGUUGAGCUUGGGGAGCAACGACAAGAAUAUCAGUCACUUGCGAAGAGAAAACUCGAGAUCUUUCAAGUAAUGCCUGACAUAGAUUCCUCCAACCUGUGGCCAAUAUCUCAUUCCUUGUUGGCCAGACGCCUAUUAGGGCGUAUCUCAAUCAAUAAUAUGAUUUUUCGUUUGUUCACAAUAAAGACCGGAAGCCAUGGUUGUGAUUUAUGCAGUACAGAAGAAGUUGCCAUGGCUGGUAUCCUUACAAAUUCUGGUGUUUCUGCUAUCUGUUCAAGUGCAAAACACAACAGCUUUAUCAAGUUUGUCCCUAACAACUGAUAUUGAGCCCUCUGGAGGAAACCUUGAUAAAUUCAUAAUCACUUUUGACUCAUGCAUGGGCUGCCCAUCAAAUUUUCCUAGCAACGAGACGACUGCUGUCAUCUACUGCAAAGAGAAUUUCUUCUCGCAAAGACAAGAGGAGUUUAAGAAUACACACUAUUCUGCCAUUUCAUUUCCUCUUUCUCCACAACCAACAUAAACCAUAGUGUCUACAUUAGAGUACUUAGAAAGAGCUUAACUGAUGACCGUUUUUCCACAACCAAAUGCCCCAGGUAUGGCACAAAUUUCACCGAAAACAGAAGGGAAAAGGGCAUCAAGAACACGCUGUCCUGUAAGUAGUGGGGUAUCAGGACUACUCUAGGGAAGUUAUUUCUGUCAUUUUGAAAAAGAAAAAUUAAAGAAUGUACACAUGCUUUCAAGUGGACUGGAGCAUUCUACAUAUCAGGUGGUCUGUAGCCACAUGUGCCACUUUGUGGAAGUUGGAACAGUCGAUCACUAGGCUAUUUAGUGUGGCCAAGCCACGUUAAUCAAGGACAAGUCUUCAUACUUAAAAGUCAAAUGGUGCCUUUAGUCUCAUUACACAUGGCUAUUUAAAGAUGAACUAAUCUUUAGUGUAAUGUGAUUAAGACAGUACUAACUGAUCAAUAUUUUUUCUAAUUUUGGAUGCAAAUGCUUGCUGGCUUCAUCAUUGGAUGGGAUAAAGGUGCAUUCAUGACUCUGAAUACUUGCAGUAAUACUUGCAGUAAUACUUCAUUCUCUUUUUUCUCGAUGAGACUUCUUGGCACAAUUUUGCUUCUCAGCAACCUACCUCUCCAUGGAAAAUGAGUUGCGAUUGAUGGUACUGGAUAUUUUCUAGGAAGCUAAAUAUAGAUAUAUAGCACUCAAUGUCAACGAUAUAUAUAGCAUUAACAGUAUAUGUCUCAAUGCUCAUCAGCUACAAGCAAGGGACAAACACUUACAAUGAAUAACUCACGUCAACAUUCCUAAACAGGACAUAGAAGUGACAGAUCUAUAUAUAGAACACUGCAUAUGAGUCACAAGAAAAGAUAAUACGGGUGCAUAGCAGCUCUUAUAUUACAUAUUACUCAUACCGUUCAAAUUCACUCAGUUGGGAUGGGUGGGAGAAGGAGGCCUCUGGGGUGGCUUGUGCGUGUGAGAAGUGGAAGAAAGUUGAAUGGAAUGAAACUGAAAAACAGGGUAGAAUAGAGGUUUCUUGAAUCUUCUGAAAUCUUUAUUUUUCUGAGAUUUAUUCUCUGUUUUUGUGAGUCGUGACUCUACAUAUAUACAUGUAUUUAAAGUUAGUUAUGCCUUAUAACUAAUUAUCUAACAGUACCAAAACUAAUCAUCUAGUUGCAUGUUUCUAAUUAAUGCUAUUUAGUUACAACUAUAUAUGGCUUAACAUCCUCUCUCAAACUCAAAAGUCUAGCUAGAACAGUGAGUUUGCUUCAUAGAUUGAGAAAUUGUUGAAUAGGUAAGGCUUUGGUAAGAGCAUUAGCAAUCUGGUCAUAAGAAGGAAUGUGUUGAACCACCAAAGUCUUAUUGAGCACCUUUUCCUGAACAAAAUGGCAAUCUAGUUCCACAUGCUUAACUCGAGAAUGAAAAUAGGAUUGGCAGCAAGAAAGGUGGCUGAAAGAUUGUCAUAGAACAAAACAAAAUAGGAGAAUAAGAAGAUGAGAUAGAAAACUCCUGAAGAAGAUGUUGAAUCCAUUGAAGUUCAAAAGCAACAUUUGCUAAGGCCCUAUACUCAGCUUCAUUGCUGGAACGAGACACAACUUUCUGCUUACUGGAGUUCCAGGAGACUAGAUUAGAGCUAAAAAAGAUGCAAUGACCACUUGUACUUCGACGAUCAUCAGGGCAACCAACCCAAUCAACAUCAGCAUAAGCAGUAAGUUGAAAAUCAGGAGAAGAAUAAAAGGAAAGACCAAAGGAAGUAGUGCCCUUAAGAUAAUGCAACAAUCGUUUAACAACUUGCCAAUGAAGAUCAGUUGGUUAUUGCAUGAAUUGGCAAAGUUUAUUGAUAGAGAAAGAGAUGUCAGGCCUUGUAAUGGUACAAUAUUGCAGGGCUUCAACAAUGUUGCGAUAUUGAGAAGGGUCAGCCAAGAGGGAACCUUUAGAGGCAGAUAAAGUGUGAGAGGUAGUCAUUGGUGUAUCAAUAGGUUUAAAAUAUGGAAGACCAGCACGAGUUAACAAGUCCUGAAUAUAUUUGGUUUGGGAAAGAUGAAGAGAAGAUCCUUGCCAACAUACUUCUACACCCAAGAAGUAAUUCAGAAUACCAAGGUCCUUGAGAGCAAACUGAAAGUGUAAAGACGAAACCAUUUGGUGGACUAGCACGGUAUUAAGACCACUAACAAUAAUGUCAUCAACAUAGAUGAGAAUAAUGAUCAUGUCAGUCCCUUUCCGAAGAGGAGCUUGCUUCAGACCCUACAAGGCUUUGCGAAGUUUACAGAAAAAACCGGGUUUAGAAUGAUCAACAAAGCCUGGAGGUUGAACCAUGUAAACCUCUUCUUCUAACUCACCAUUGAGAAAGGCAUUAUUAACAUCUAAUUGUUCCACUAACCAACCAUGAGAAAUAGCAAGAGAAAGAACAAUUCAUAUAGUAGUUGGUUUAACAACAAGGCAAAAGGUUUCAAAAUAAUCAAUACCAUAUGUUUGAUUAAAACCCUUUGCAACUAAGUAGGCUUUAAAACGAUCAAUUGAGCCAUUAGCUUUGAGUUUCAGCUUGUAUAUCCAUUUACAACUAAUAAUGCGUGUAUUAACAGGUUUAGGAACCAAUGUCCAUGUGGAAUUGGUGAGAAGAGCAUCAUACUCAGUCUUCAUAGCAGCUUGCCAAUUAGGAUGCAAUAUUGCUUCUUUGAAAGAGGAGGGUUCGACAACAGUAGUUUGGAUAGCAAGGCUAAAUAUUUUUUUGGGUUUAAAAAUACCAUUUUGGCUACGAGUAACAAUAGUUCGGUUUGGAAGUGAAAGAGGAUCAGUGGAGGAGGCUGGAACAAGGGAUUGUGGUAAAGUAGGAAAGGAAGGUGGAUGAGAUGGAACAAAAUCAGUAGGGACAAUAAUGGGAGAAGAAAAAUUAGGUGGAGAAUGAUGAGGAUUCCUUGAAGAUGGUGUAGGAAUAGAGAGAAUACCAGAAUCAAGAAGUGUUAAAGAAGAGUUGGAUGAUGAUACUGGUUGACAGGAUAAAGACUUUGUUAAAAAUGGAAAUCGAGUUUCAUCAAAUACAACAUGACGAGAAGCAUAUAUCCGAGAGGAAGCCAUAUCCAAACAGAGGAAUCCCUUGUGUUUAGCACUAUAACCCAAAAAACAGCAAACAACAAAUAUAUUUGCUAGCUUGUGAGAAGCAUAAGGGCGAAGAUAAGGAAAACACAAGCAUCCAAAACUUCAAAGAGAUGUAUAAUAAGGUAAACGAUUAUAAAGAACUCCAUAAGGAGAAUUUUGUGAAAGAACAGCAGAGGGAAGGCAAUUUAUGAGAAAAAUGGCAGUUUGAAAUGCAAAUGACCAAUAUUUGAGAGGGUAUACCAGCUUGUAUUAACAAAGAAAGACCAACUUCCACAACAUGACGAUUCUUUCUUUCAACUCUUCAAUUUUGCUAAGGAGUAUAAUGACAAGAGACUUGAUGAAGAAGACCAUUUGUAGCCAAAUAAUUCUGAAAAGCUGAAACUGAAACUCAUCAAAUUGAUUUUUAGUAUCAAAUUUUCUUCAGACUGAACACAUUGAUUUUUAGUAUCAAAUUUUCUUUCAACCAUGGCUUGAAAAUGUUGGAACAUAAGUAAAGCUUCAUCUUUAGUUUCCAAAAGGUACAACCAUGAGAAUAUGCUAAAAUCAUCAAUUAGCAAGAGGAAAUAUUGAGCAUUACCAUUGACAGAAACUAUAGGAGUUGCACCCCAAAGAUCAACAUGGAUGAGACCGAAUGGUUUUAUUGCUCUAGAAGUGGAUAUUUCAAAUGGAAAACGAUGGCUUUUAGCCAACUGACAAGACUCACAUACAGAGUUAUUAUUGUCAUGUUUCAAAGGUAUUUUAUAAAGAGAUAAGAUUUUGGAAACUACAUUAAUAGAGGGAUGACCAAGUCUAUUAUGCCAAAGCCUCAAAGAACCAACGGCUAAAGUACUACUAGUAGAGUAAAAUACUAGUGGAUGACCAACAACUCUUGGUGUAGCAAGAAGUUUAUAGAGACCCUUCUCAAUUUUUCCUUGAAGAAGAGCAAGUCUCGUUUCCUGAUCCUUUACCACAAAAUGAGAAGAACGAAAUUCAAUAAAGGUGCCAUUGUUUGAGUAAAAUCGUUGCACGCUAACUAAGUUGGUGGUAAUAGAAGGAACAUGUAAGACAUCAUUGAAAAACAAAGAACCACUUGAAGAGGCAAGAGAAAAUUUACCAAUAUUUGCAAUGGAUAAACCCUUACCAUCUCCAACAAUUACUUUGUCACCACUGGUAAAUGGAUUAUGGAUUGUUAAAUUGUUAAGAUCAGAUGUGAGAUGAUGGGUAGCCUUUGUAUCAAGAAACCAAUAAGUGUCUCCCAUUGUUGCAGAAGUUGUAGUCAUAGCCUCAGGAUUGUUAGAGGUGGAAUGUUUAGAAUCUUUUGGCUGAUAAUCAGAGUUAAACCGAUACCAGCAUUGUAAAGCGGUGUGUCCGAACUUACAACCGAGAGAAAUAAUCUUUACUUAUUCUCUAAAAACUGUUCUUUAUUCCACACAUUAUUUCUAAAAACUGUUUCUAGAUAACAAUGACAAAAUAGUAUUAGGAAUUUUUAAAAAUAAAAAUUGUUUUUAAAUUACAUGAUCUAUAUCAUUCACAUUUGACCAUUAUAGCUUUGUUCAGGAAAACACUUGAAAGUAACCUUAUCGUGAUAAGAGAUAUAAGUUGGCUGUAGUUUCAAACUGAAAACAGAGGAUGGCAAUAGAAAGCAAAGCAUUAGUUAUCUGCAAUCAGUGGUGAUCAUGCCCCAUGUCAAUUUCGGACCCAUAUCUUAAAACCGUAUAAUUUGCAUUUCAACAUUUCUGAUUUCUCAGAUGUUUCAUACUCCACAGAAGAACAUUGUUUGUGAAAGCAUGCAUUUAUGCUGGAUUUUGGAUGAUGUGGGAACUGGGGCAAGGAUCAUAUGGAAGAGUGGUCGAUUUUUUCUGUACUUUAACAUUUGAAAUAGGAGCAGCACGGGCAUUUGUGGGGCUUAAUUGAUUUUGAAGCCUGAAAUUGCGUUUCUGUCAUUUUGUAAAAAAUAUGGCAGAUUCCAUGCUCUCAUAUGUUUGGUCUGUGGCCAUGUAUAGAUGCCACUUAGUGACCAGUUUGUAACUGUCAAUCAUAGUGUUUUGACUCUGGCUCAACAACAUCAGCCAUUGACGGAUUUUCAUACAUGCAAAUCAAAUAGUCUUCUUCCUCCCUUAGGAAUUUCGGUUUAAAUGUUAUUAAGCAUACAUUUGGCUGACAAUUAUUAACCACUUCAUGAUAUGGUUUCUUACCCUUAAUCAAUGGUUUCUAAGUGAAUAUAUGCAGAAGGAAAUCUGAACUGUAGACAGCAGUAUUGAUAAUUAUCAAUAUUCUUUAUAUAAGAGAAUAAACAACGUCAUAGUGAUCGUCGCCUACAAGAAAGGUACAUUUCCCAACAAGAUGUAGUUGUGACUGGUACAUGGACGUAAUUAACUCGUAGAAAAGGAUAAGACCAGUGCACGGCAGCUCUUAUUUUACAUGCUAAUUAUGCUAACCAAAGUCACUCAGUUGGGAUGGGAGGGAGAUGGAGGUUUGUGCGGUGGCUUGUGGGGCGGAGUUGGUGGCUUCUUUUCAGGAGCUUGUGGCUUUUUCGGAGCUGAAGGAGGCUCAAUCUUAUGAGGCGGCUUGUACGAGUCUUCUUUACUCUCGACAGGAGGGUGGCCAGGGUUGUGACCAUAAUGUGGUGGCUUCUCUCCCUUAGGUGGCUUGCCAACUGGGGUUGGUGGCUUGUGUUCAGGAAGUGGUUUCUCUCCCUUGGGAGGUUUACCAAUUGGGGUUGGUGGCUUGUGUUCUGGGAGUGGUUUCUCUCCCUUGGGAGGUUUAGUGGGUGACUUGUGUUCUGGAGGUGGCUUCUCCACCGGAGGCUUGUGCUCCGGUGGUGGCUUCUUGGUUGGAGGGGGCUUGGGGUAAUCAGCAAGAGAUGGGGGGGUGAGAACCACCACUCCAAGGAACAACACUAGCAAGUAUGUGGGAGACAUUUCUGAGUUUGAGCUGAUCAGAUGAUGCAAAACUAGAAGAAUUACGUGACCUUUUAUAGCAAGUAGCUCCCAAUACCCACAUGACACGUGUUACUGUGACCAUAAAUAUUAUAGGGUCCAUUUGUGCCCUACCGGGUUGAAAACUUGGACGCUUGGCCGAGGACACACCGAACUAUGGAGGACUAUUGACGUGUGAUCACAGCUUUUGGAUUUUUCUUCCUGUGCAGCUGUCUAGCGGUUGGCAUUAUUUUUUUAAUCUUAAAUAAAGGCAUAGUUAUAGAGUACAUUUAUAUAUCUUCAGAUAGCCAUUAAUAUAUUUGAUGAAGAAAGACAAGUGCAUACAACAUGUAUACGGCUUGCUUCAAUCGAGUACAUUUAUGAUCAGUUUUCCAGUGCAAGUAAACCAGUUUUUUGUUCCACAACUAUUUUGGAAUCUUGUUUAUCAGUUUCUAUCAUUAUAAUGUCACAUAGGCUGCAAACUUGGGCACCCAAAGAUCUAGUUGGGCAAAUUUGUUUCAGAAUUUCAAUGGUGGAUUCAGUAAUUGUUAAAAGGUGUUUCUUCAUUAAGGAAAGAGUCCUGUAAAAAUAUUGUUAAAAGGUGUCAUAGAAACUAUAAUAAUUAAAUAACUUCUUUUCCCCGUGGGUGGUGUUUCUUCUGGGGAUACCCAAAAUGAGUUCAGAUUAAAAUUGGUUCGAGUCAAAGCUGUCUCUUUUGUCCAGAAAUCAACUAUUUUGCGCAUUGCAUGAAUCGAUAAAGAAAAAAUGAAAGCCAAAUCACACCUCCCCUGCAAAACCUAAACCCCGGUUGCUAACUUUCUAUGUUUCAGUCCUAUUCAUACAGGAAUAUUGGUUCAAGUUUGAGAAAAAUGGCAACUUACCUAGGGAUUACUUGGUUGUGGUUUGCGACGACUAUUUACGCAACCAACCAUGAGUUUGACUUUAACGUCAUGGGUUGAAGCCUCCUACAAUCGUGUAUGAUAGUUCAAAGCUCGUAGUAGAAAUUAUACAGGAAGGAAGAAACCUCCAAAGCUAGCUCCAAAAGAGAAUUAUCACAUCGAUAGCUCCAGAGAUUCCCAAGGGGACUGAAUCAAAGACAAGUUCCUCACUUUUUCUUCUUUUGAGGCCAAAUAUGAACCAAGGAUCACACGACCUCAUUCAACUUCAUAAGUUUGAUUUCAUGCAGUUGAACACUGGGUGAAGGCCAUGACAAGAAUUGAUUAAAAAAUUCUACCACUGUUUUAAGUAAUGGAAGAUUAUUAUCUCUGAUUGGCACCACAACAGCACAUGCUGCUAGAUCUUUCUAGACACUCCAUGCAAUGAAAGUACAAUGGAUCUUGUAACGAUAGAAACUAAGCCAUGCUACAGUACUAGAUGACGAGGUAAAACUAUUAGACAUGGGUGGCAGCCUAUAUGGGAGGGACACAAGUCUAAUUGAUUUGCAUUUCAGCGUUCUAGAUGGGUAUGUUUUGGAAGAUUUGUUCUGGAAAUACCGCACCAAGUAGGAUUCUUUUUUCUCUUGAGUGGGUCCACUUGCAUGCCAAUUAUCGAGUUGAAAAGUAGAGCACCUACCUCGUGCUCGUGGAACCGAAGGUCAGUGAAGUGGGGCUCCUUUUGGCCUCUUGUGUUUCUGUUCCAACCAAGGCGGCGGAGGGAAAAACAGCAAUAUGUCUCCGCUAAAUAUCAACGCAUGAUAGCGAAUGAGGGAGAAAAAAAGUAAUUGGCAUCUCAAUCUCACAAACUUGGUACAGUAGUGACAUUAAUAGUCUUCCACAUGGUUUUUAUUUUAUUUUAUUUUAUAUUUUAUAUUUUCCAUUUUUUUAUUUUUUUGUAUGUCAAGGCUAAUGAAUAAAAUGCGUUAGCUUGUUUUGUGAUUGGAACUGCAAAUGUCCAAAUUGGAGUUUCUCCAUUUCUCAGUUCGGAUGGUUAACUUUAUAAACAAGAUAUAGGAAACAUGUGAACGUCUUGAGGAACAAUUCGAAUUAUUGAUUAGAACUCCUAGGUUGAGUUCCAAGAUUUAAAUCAGACCCCUCUAGCAGCUUCAGGGGUACCUAGCAAUUAGAACAUAUUAAUGAAGAUUUAGGAUUUAGACUCCGGAAUACAAAUUAAUAUGUAUCUUAUGCUCUGACUAGCUUCCCUGCAUAUGCACAAAAUGGAGAUGACCCAAAAAAUAGCAGAAUCGCCUUAGUUUAUGUGGUUAAGGUGAUUCUCCGGUUAAUAUCCACAUUGGCUCAUUAUGCAAAUCAACUGAGCUAUUUUUUUUUUAAUGUCAAAUAGGAACUCCUAAUUAACCUAACCAUUGGCCUGUGUAAAUUGAUUUCACAUGCACAAUGUUGUAGUAGAAGUCCACAUUUUGAAUUUUAUUUUUGGAAAGGUAAGGAAAAUGAAGCAUUGUGUAAUUAUAAAAAUAACUUCAUUGGAAUUCACAAGGUUCACCCAAAAUGGAGCUACAUCCGUAUUCUAUCUUACAGUAGACUAUAUAGAUUGUACAAUAGUAAAUUGCAAAUACAAUUAAUAAGUCUUGUGUUUCCUUACUAAUAAUCCUUUGACAUAAACAUUGCAGCACUAAGGUCCUCUUGGGCAGACACCUUGCACCCAUGAGAGCACUAAGAGGAAGCAAGGCGGAGUCAUGGGUGCAAUGUCAUGACUUGUUGCACUAAGAGAGGCUUGGUGAUGGCAUAGUGCUGCAGUAGCAAGAAUGUUGCCUUGGCAGGGACACGAUCUAGGGACAGAUGCCAAGAAAGGCUUAGCACUCACAUGAGUUGCACAAAGAUGAAUGAAAUAGAACAUCAAAGAGACAUCUUGGCAAGCUCAAGAAAGACAUGUGGGUUGGUAAAUGAAUGGAUGCAAGAGGCAACAACAUGAGGAGUUUCAAAUGGAUAGGGAAUGAGUCAAAGACAUUUGAAAGCUACAAGUUGGAUUCUAAUUACGAUUGCAAUUUGAGUUUGAGUAGGAGUUUAUAUUAUGAUUGUAAUUGUAGUAUGAGUUGGACUAGGAUUGCUUAUCCCUAGUCAAAAUAGGAGUUGUUCAUGCCACACCCUAUGAAAAGAGUUUGAGUAGGGACUAGGAUUGCUUGCUCCUAGUCAAAUAUGGAGUAGGUGGUGCCACACCUAUAAAAAAAAAAGGGACAACAUGAGAGAGAGAGAGAAUGAAUUCACCAAAGAUAUUGUGGGAGUUUUGCUUUGUUACAUCUUGUAUUAUUAUUUAGAAUAGUAAUAAAAUACAAGUUGGGGCUAGAGCCCCAUAAUCUCGUGUGCCUUUGUGGGUUAUUCUUUAUUUGCCAUCUCGUGUGGAUUGGAUUAGAUUGAUGAGGCGAAAUAUUAUGUGGGAAAUUUAUGUUGGGACACUUACCAUAACCAGGUAAAAUCUACCAAGUCUUUUGUAAUAUCUUCUACAAAUAUUUUAGACCAGUUCUUCACAAAACAUCAUAAUAUGUUUUGUGUUUCUCUUGGAUUUUGAGUUGAAUUGUCUUAGAUCAAUUGAAUGCAUCUCAAUAUUAUUAUCUUGUUUGAAGGCUUGAUGAUUUUCCAUUUAACUUUACUUUCUUUAGGUUAUGCUUGAUUCCUUAAAAGUACUAAGGAAAACAAAAAAUAAAAAAAAAUAAAAAAUGCAGAGGGUUAGGACAUGUGUUAUCUAAUUGUCCUAUCCAAAGAUAUUAAGAAAGUCAUGUAGGAAAGUAAUUGAAAACUAGGUCAAGAAAGGAGCAAAAGGGAAUUGUUUUGGUAUUUUCUUUUUUAUUCUUGAAGGUGGCAGAGCUAAAAUUUGAGAAAUCAAGCAAAACAUACUGAAAUUACAUUGAAAGAAAGAAAAUGGUAGUUAAUGUCUUGCAGUACAUGAUAAGGACUUCAUGCAUGUAGUGUGACGACCCAUGUCUUGGACUGAUGCCACACUCACGGUUACACUUAUACCCUUGGUUCUCUCUUUACUACCUUGGCUAACCUAGAUCAGGCUAUGAGAUAGGCUCCUCACCACACCAUCACUUGCCCAGUAAUUAGUGACAUUUUCAAGCAAUGAGGUAACAUGGUGACACCAAGAGGGUUUAUCCCUCGCCCCAACAAGUCUAGACUCGGUCUCAAAAAAAUGGAGAAAAAUGAGGUGUCGUUAUGCAGAAAUACAACAACCAUGCCUUCCUUAUUACUUAGAUUCAGAAUGUGAAGGUGAAAUUGAGAAACAGAAACUCUUGAAACCAGAAUGAAAAUUGAUACUUUUACGAAGAAUUACAACAUUAGAGGAAGACUACAUUCUUCCUCUAUAUUCCUACGUUUCUACACUACUUCUACUCCACUCCAUAUUUCUACAUACAUCUUUAAUCAGUUUUCCCUCCUUUAUAUAGAGCCAUCUUCACACAAAUUCCGCAAGGUAGAAAAGAGGAAUGAAACUUGGAGCAAGGUUCGACUACUGGUUGUCGCUUGUCAAGGCUGGAAUUGAACUUUUUUUCUUGGCUUUUCUGGGCAUAGGUAGUAACUUGUGGUUCCUUUUUGGAAUGAAAAUGGUACAGCUAGAACAUGUGGCACUCUCUUGUUGGAUUAUGUGUCAAACAUGUGGCAGCCAUCUAGUGGAGAUUAUUUCAAUUUUGGGAUGGAGAGUUGGCAUCCAAUUGCAAAGAAAUAUGACAUCUACCAACAUGCAAUGUAAACCUAUAUAGAUCAUAUGGAGAUAGAGAGGAAACAUAUAGAAAUGGAUAUAUACCUAGAACUAGCUUUUUAUUAAAUGAGACGGAGAGCCAACAAUGAAGGAAAAUCAAAAUUUUUGGCUCAUAUCAAAGAAUUCACAUUGUGUUACCCUAGGUUUUCUUAAAGCUUGCACAAAGCCAAAAAGCACACAAAAAAUUAUAUUUUCUAGCUCUCUACCUUGGAUGGUCUCUUGAUCCUACUUGGAGAUGUGCAUAAAUAAAAGGAUUUGAAAAUGACAAUUGACUAAGUAUGUAGUCAAUCAAUUACUCAUUAAUUGACUAGUUGAUCAAUUAACUUUGCAACAUCAUAUGCAAUCCUAAUAGCUAGUCAUCUAAUCAACUAGGUAGUAAAUCAAUAGGCCAAAAAUAUGUUUAUAAUGACUAUUUUGUACAAAAACCACCUAUAUGGUUAAAUAUAAUGCAUUUCAUUUAUAAAUCUUCUAAUUCUUGAAUAACGAUCCUAUCAUCCUUUGAAAGUUUUUAUUACACCUUUUAUACUUUUGUUCUAAAACUUACACAUGUACAUCACCCUUAAUUGUACCAUGAGAACCUAGCUUUUUUUUUUUUUUUUUUUGUAAUUCAUCAAAGUUAGCUUUUGUAUUCAUUACUGUACUAUUUUUAUUGUAACUUAGAAAGCGAGUGUUUUCAAGUGAGUGAAAUUGACUUAUAAAUAUUGUAAAGAUUCAUUGAUGUGUAUCUUAAACUAAGUGUACAAGUUGAAACAUUUGCUAGUAGAUUUUCUCAAGAUUUAGAAUAGAGCUUGAGGCUAUUGAAAUAGGUGGGGUUGCACCAAACCACAUCACAUUGUUGUUUGCACCUUUUUUUCACUCUCUUUUACUUAGUUGCUCUAUAUUUGUUGUCUAGUAAUAUCCUAUAGGCUUGAUGGGUUAGGGAGCAUCCCUUUGUGAAAAAUUUUCAUUCAAUCCUUAGUUGUAUCACGCAUAUAUAAAAUGCCUCAUUGUUUUAAUGGUAUUCAGUCGUGGCAUCACAGAUAUGGGCAUCUAAAUUUUAAAAGUUUGAAACUUUUAUCUAAAGAAAAUAUGGUGCUUUGCCUUUUUGUAAAGCAUGUUGAUGAAAUCCAUGAGAAUUGUGUACUUGGGAAGCAACAUCGAGAUGACUUUUUUUUUUUUCAUUUUUUAUAAUGCGACACCUAAGUCCGGUUUCUAAAUGCUGAAGUGAAAGGGUAGGUAUGGACCAUUGAAAUCUGAUCACAACUUUUGGCCUUUUCCUUUCUCUGCAGCCAUGUUGUCUCUUUUUUCUUUUGCAUGAUUUUCUUACCUAAACAGAAUCAUAGACUUGUUUAAUCUCUAAAUGGUAUUUCAUCCAGCUUUAAGCUACUGUAUUAUAUCUUGGUGGAGGACUUUUAAGAGUGAAACCGACAUAGAGCACAUGCAAGUGGGUAUAUGGGACAUGAAAUUUCUUCUUAUAAAGACUGCAUGGUUUUUAUAUUAGAGUUGUUGAGGCGCAAUGUAUUUAGCUUGUUUUGCAGUUAAAUUAAUUGGAUAAGUAGACAUUGUCGUUUCUAAAUUUCCCACCUAAGAUAGUGACCUUAUCCUUGACUGCUUGAUGAGAUACACAAACAAUUAUACCUUCAAAAUCUACUGUGAAGUGCUUCAUGUAUGUGUGAAGUAUUAGAAAUUUCUUUCUUGGCAACUUGUUUUUUCUUUGCCCUCUACUGAUAGGUUUGACUCAAAUUAAAUUCCCUGUCAUGCUAAUUAAUUUUCACGUGCAUGCUCAAAAGGAUCACGUCAACUCUGGUUUCUACUAUUCAGGUCCAUUCCCAGAUAAACUGGUUCAAAUUUGAGAAAAUGGCAACAGCCCUUUAGUGAUGUUGGUUUGGAGCCAGUAGCCAAACCCGCCCUGAGCUUUACCACUAAUGUCAAGGGACAAAGCCAUUUGAACAAAAACAAUAGCUUCAAGAGACUGAAUCGUGGAUGAAAUCUGAUCCACAUUUCUUCUCAUUUUGGGAACAAAUGAGAACUUAACUACAAAGAUUCUACUGCCUCAUAGUGCUUUUCCUGAUCUAAGGUUGGUUCGUUUCCCAAAUUGUGAGGUACGUGCCAUUCUCACGCUCAGGAGUGUAUCCACGUGGUGGACAUAAGAUGGUGGCUUAAUAUCUGGUGUCGGUGGCUUUACUUUACUAGGAGAGUAGUGUGUCUUCAUCUCAUUCACUGCCGGAGGGUGGCGUAAGCAGUGACGCUAAGGUGGGGCACAGUCAAUAUCAUUUGCAUUUGACCAUUAUAGUUUUCUCCCGGCUUGAAAGUAACCUUAUCGUGAUAAAGGAUUACUAGCACUAGUUCAGAUGACAGUCAUGUUAAAUUCGGACCAUGUUUGUGUCACAUUAUCAGCAACCAUGUGUUUAUGGUUCAUGCUAUCUGCAACUAAACUUGAUAUAUAACCACGUGAACUUCAAUCUAAAUUCUGGAAGUACUCUUGUGAUAGAUGGUGCCUGUCUGCAGAGUCCAUCAAUUGAAAAAUGGAGUGAGUGUAUCUAUAAGAGGGAAGGCUUGGCAAAUGUUCAGUUUUCUGGGAACUCAACAAGGAUCUAAAAUAGAUUGUUUUCUUUGCUGAUUUCAAUGGUUGAAAUUUGAGAAGAUUGUGUCCACAUAACACAACUAUUACUGGUCCUUCUGUUGCAAUUUAUCCUCUAAGGCUCUAACAUGUCUUCCAAUUCCCACUUCCCUGUUACUCCAGGAAAGCUAUUUCUGUCAUUGUGAAGAAGAAAAGAGAAUGUACAUAUCGAUGGUUUUAAGUGACUGGGGCAUUCAUAUCAGGUGGUCUGCAGCCAUAUAUGCCACUUUGUGAAGGUUGGAACAGUCAAUCACCAGGCUAUAUUAGUGUGGCCCAGCCACUUCAAUCAAGGACAAGUCUUCAUACUUAAAGUCAAAUUCUGCCUUUAGUCUCAUUAUAAAUUGCUGUUUAAAUAUUAAGCAAACAUUUGUUUAAUGCGAUUAAGACAGUACUAACUCAAUACUUGUUCUAUUUUUGGAUGCAAAUGCUUGAUGGUUUCAUCAUUGGAUGGGAUAAAGGUGCAUUCAUGAUUAUGAAUACUUGUAGUUAUAUUUUCAUUCUCUUUUUUCUCAAUGAGACUUGUUGGCACAAUUUUGCUGUUCAGAAACCUACCUCUCCAUCGAAAAUCAGUUGUGAUUGAUAGUACUGGAUAUAUUCAAGAAAGCUAAAUAUAGAUAGCACCAAAUAUUAUCGAUAUAAAUAGCAUUAACAGCGUACGUAUGUCUCAAUGCUCAUCAGCUAUAAGCAACGGGCAAACACUUACUAUGAGCAACUUGCGUCAAAAUUCCAGAAUAGGACAUAGAAGUGACAGAUCUAUAUAUAUAUAGAACACUGCAUAUGAGUCACAAGAAAGGAAAUUACGGGUGCAUAGCAGCUCUUAUUUUACAUCCUACUCAUACUGAUCAAAGUCACUCAGUUGGGAUGGGUGGGAGUAGGAGGUUUGUGGGGUGGCUUGUGCGGAGGAGUUGGCAGCUUCUUUCCAGGACCUGGUUGCUUCUCUGCUGGAGUUGAAGGAGGCUUAAUCUUCCGAGGUGGCUUGUAUGAGUCUUCAGCAUUCUCAGCAGGAGGGUGACCAGGGUUGUGACCAUAAUGUGGUGGCUUCUCUCCCUUAGGUGGUUUGCCAACUGGGGUUGGUGGCUUGUAUGAGUCUUCAGCAUUCUCAG
rnacentral:lncRNA from 1 species